rnacentral:lncRNA from 1 species
UUUAAAAAUUAAACUACUAGAAAAUUAAUAUCAUAUUAAAUUAUAUAAAAUAGUUAUUUCUUCAAAAAAUUUAUACUACAAGAUAAUAGUAUUUUUGAUAUUUAUAUUUAAGGAGCAAUUCCUUAUAUACUCCUGAAAAAUUUUUUACUUUUCGAUUUACCACUCUUAGAAAGUUCAUAUUGAAAAUAUUCUUUCUAAGUUCCAACCUAUUUCUAAUAUAUCCCUAGAGUUAAAAUCUGUUAAUGAACUUGUUAUCUCUAUAAAAUUACUAUUUUGCCCUUUCAAAUAUACCAUUCCACCAUCACUGACUUUCUUAUUUGCCCUUUUAAAGUCGGGGCACAAAAAAGUAUUUUGAUUUUUGAUUUUUUCCAAUAUACGCCUCUACCAUCACCAACAUUUUUUAUUUAUCCUUAAGUUAAGGAUAAAAUUAAUAUUUUAAAUUUUUUUAACUGCGAUAAAUAUUUAACUCACAUUUAACUCAAGUUAACUUAAUAAAAAAUAACUGUAAAAAUAUUUUACAAUAACAAUAAAAUAUAUAAAAAAUAUUUUAAAAAAAUUAAAUAUUUUCAAACGGAAAGUAUAUAGGCAAUUAUCCCUAUAUUUAAAGUAACUGGUAGUCACACAAUUGGGUACACCACUACACCAUACACUUUUUUAUUUUUAUUUUUAUUUUAUUCCUUAGCUCUCUCACACCCACACAAGCGUAUACAUACACAAACUCCACUUUUAUUCCUCAGCUCACACGCGCGCGCGCGCGCGCACGAGCGCACACACGUGUACGCACAGACUCACACAACACGCACCCACGGGACCACCACCCCCCAAAUUAGCCUCACCCAGCCUCACUUACGCUUGUCCUGAUCGGCGGCGGCGGCGAGCUUGGAGGCCUCGAGGUCGGCGGCCUGCUGGAGGAGGCCGGCGGGGUCGUCCUCGAGGGCGAGCUGGACGGGGGAGGAGCCGAGGCCGUCGGCGACGGCGAGCAUGAUGCGGCGCAUCUCGGCGCAGAACUCGUCGCGGUCGACGGCGCCGCUGCGGUCGACGUCGAACUGCUCGAAGACGGCGUCGUAGAGCGCGGCGACCUCCUCCGGCUGGGGGGGCGGGGCGGCGUCGUCGCCGAAGUCGGCCUCCAGGAGGCGGAAGGUCUCGAGCGCGCGCCGGAGCUCGCACCGCGAGAGCACGCCGUCGCCGUUCAGGUCCAGCGCCGCGAACCGCGCGUCCACCCCCCGCCGGAACGCCGCCUCGUCCCCCACGAACGCCCGCACCGUCGACCCGUCCAAAAUCACCACCCCCAUAUCUCCUUCACUUUGCCCCUCUCUCUCUCUCUCUCUCUCUCUCCUCCCACCCUCCUUGCGAUAUUCUUUCGAUCUCUCAAUUUGUUGGGUGCUUGAUUGACGGGUGUUUUUAUUUUUUAUUUUUUACUUCUUAGUGGUGAGGGAAUAUUAUUAUUAUUAUUAUUAUUAUUAUUAUUAUUUUGAUGAGAGUCGGUUGGCAGUGAAAUUACCAGAAUGCCACUGGCGUUGCUGGCGCUUUUGAUUUUGAAACGCUGUUUUCUGUAGAGACGGAAGAGUAUAAAAAAUCAAGUUAGAGCGGGAAUGAUAAUCAGUAGCAAAUAUAUUUUAUUAUUAUUUAUUUAUUUUUAAUGAUAGAAAUUUUUAAAUUGACGAUCAGCGUCGUUAAACAUAAUCUAUAUCACUUGAGUUACCUAGAAAUCAAAUUUCGUUCUUUUUUUUUUAUAUUAUUCUCUUGUCCAUCAAGUGGACACAAAAUGAAAAGCUGAAAAUGAAUAUUCUUUAAGAAGUGAUGAUAAGAAUCUUGUAAUCAAGAUCGAAAGUAUAGAUCUUAUUCUAAAUAGUUUAAAAAAUUUUCUAACAAAAAUUUAAUCGAUUUGAAUAUCUUUACACCGUUAGACAAGAAAACCCCUCAUAUCAACCAUUAAAAUUACAAAAAUUGAAAUCAUUUGAUCAUUAGGUCAAUAAUGUCGAAAAGAUUUAAAAUUUGGUUUAUAGAUAUUUUAAGUAGUAUAAAUAAUGUUCAACGAUAUUGAUCGUCGAUUUGAAGGCUCCAUCGUCGAAAAUAAAUGGGUGGCAACGAAACCCGUUUUGCUACUGAUAGUAUUCUAACUUUAACUCAUAAAAAAUUUAAUUAAAAAUCGGAUAAAAAAUAAAAUUUAGAGUUUAACAGUAAAAGUUUACCAAAUUUCGAUUCUUCUAAUAUGUGUUGCAAGGUUAAGCCAAAUCAAGGACUGAGUAGGAUUAAAAUUUCCCGUAUAUCAUCAUCGUAUAUUAUACAGCGAUUUAUCCUGAUCCGAUGUGGUCAAGGAAUGAUACUGUAUAACUUGAGUCCGAGUCCGGUUCAAAAUUAAGGACUUUGAGUCAGGCGGGGCGAGACUCUGGGUACACAGUUACAUUGCUACUAGAUUUCAUCAAUAAGAUUUUAUCGAAUAUUAUAGUUGAGGUAUAUUUGCGCGCGCGCAAAUGCAAGUUCCCUCGCCAACUCUCUUCCUAUUAGAAUUCGAGGACUAUAAUGAAUAUCUAUCUCUAAUUAAUAUCUAUCUCUUAAACAUUUUUCAUACUAGUACUCGAAAACCCUCUGAUCCUAUAAAUAAUCCCUAAACCCUAUCUGGUAAUUACAAUAUUUCUUACGUUGAUCUUUCGAGUUCUUCCGGUGGAAAGAGAGAGCAUUAACAUACACGAAGAGAUGGCGAUGGAAUUGAUCGACGGAAAGAUCGUCGCGGACUUCAUUGCCGAUGCCGCCGCGUUCAACAGAGCUGCUGACGAGUUCUUCGCAGCCCUCGACGUCGACGGCGACGGCCGACUCUGUCGCAGCGAGCUGUUCACGGGCUUCGACGGCCUCUUCUGCUACGGGGAGCCGCCCGAACUAUCUGAAUCGACGAGGAAAGACGCUGCCGGUUUCUUUGCGAGGUUCGAAUCGGACGAAACCGGGAUGGUGGGCCGGGAGGAGUUCCGGUUCAGAUUGCGGGAGCUGAUGGCAGCGGUCGCGCAGGGUCUCGGCGAGGUUCCGGUCCAGAUUGCGCUCUACGAGGGAUCGGUGCUCAUGAAGGCGGUCGAGCAUAGCCGGUCCGCGCCGGGAUCCGGUGCGGGCUGUUGAGUCCUUUUCUGGUUCCUUCACUCUCGUAGCUCUUUGAUACUAUUCUUUUCUAAAGAUACAUUGAUUACUACAUGGUAGAUUAGAGUUGAUUUCCACGAAUAAAUUUUUUAUUUGUUUUGCAAAUCAAACGCAGUAUACUUUUUUUUUUUUAUUUGAUUUAUUUUACUUCUUUCUCUAAUGGAAAGUUUGGUUUACGGGAGCAUGAGUCGUUUUCCUUGUAUUUGUUAGAUAUAUAAUAUAUGUGAAAAUUUCGUGAUUGUUAAUUAUCUUCUGGUGUAACUAAUCUAUUUUGGACAACAUUAUAUCGAAUGUUGAAGAUAGAAUUAAUGGCAACUAGUUUGUUAAUUAAGCCACCAUUAAACUCUGAAAUUCCACCGCUUGAUCGAGGAAUAGGAUAAAAUCCAUGAAGCCUACUGAGGUAUAUAAGGUUAGGGUAGUACCAGUAACAUUAAUUUCAAUGUAAUAUAGUUUGUAAUUACUAUGAAUUCUCAGGAUCUAAGUAAUGUGUAAAUAGAAUCUGGAUCAAAUCUUGCGAAGUUAGUUUAGAGUACUAGUUGUUCCUUGAUAUAGAAAAAGAGAUUAACUUGAGAGAGAUUAUCCUCAAUACAAGAAAAGGUUGCUCAUUGAAAGAAAGAGAGAUUCAAGCCGAGCGACUUUCGGUUCUCCUCCUCUAUACCUACUUGUAAAACCGAUCAUUUCAUAUCUAAAUUUUCACUAGCCCUUAUUUCUUCUCUUUACUACUAGGAAGUUUGGAGAUCCUAAAGUUGAAACUAUCUCAAGAUAGCUUUAAUCACGCAGCAAGAUCAAAAAUCAUCCAAUAUUUUCAAGAUUAAUAGUUCAUGACUAAAUCCUUGAUAAAGGUCGCAUGAAUGAAUAGUUGAAUAAAUUCGUCUGAGACCCCAUCUACCAAGAGGCUUGCUGGCCUACAGUUUACAACUUCUCUGCAGAGAGAACUACUAUCUUCAACAUCUCUGCAGUAACAAUAAGAAUGAGAAUCUCCCAACCCUAUCUGAAUCUAAAUUCAAUAACCUAAUUUGUUCAAUGGGAGUUCUCUUAUUUUUCUUUGAUCCAUUCAAUAGAAAUUUCUGUUUCAGUUCAAGAUUAUGCAAGGUCAUCAUCUGCACCUGACAAUUUAAUACACUACAAAGGGGAGUUUCGUGACACAAAAAAUCGGUACCAUAGUCUGCAGCGCAAAGCGCGAUUACAAUAACAAGAUUUGGAAGAAGAAAUUUCGGUUUUCGACAAUCUAAUUCACAACAGAAAAUUACAGAAACCAAAUAGAAUCAGUUCAUGACAUUGGUUCGCACAAUUUGGAUACUUAAUCAUAUUUUGGCAUUGUCAAUCAAAAUAAGAUGCAGUAAGAUAUCUCACGAAACAGUGCGCAAUAAAACCCAACUUCUUCUUUUAUUUAUUUAUUCACAUAUCAAUGCCUACAAGUUAAAGAGUUCACUAAAGGGCAUAUAAGGGCAACCAACAAUAAACUCCUAAAGAGUGCCCAAGAAUCAUGUAAGAUGGUGAAACUAUAUAACGGAUAGAAGAGACAUAAAGAAAGGAGAAGCAAUUCUCACUGCGGGAUUCGUCUAGGCGCCGCCGGGGACGGCCGGACCGAGGGUGUUGACGUACGCCACGUAGUCCCCCUCCGAAUCUGGUGCGACCCCCUCGAACCGGAGCGGCCUCAGACAUCCGGCCUUGAGGUCGACCGCCACGAUCCGGCCGUCCACCCACAGCACCACCUCGAGGUUCCCGCUCUCAAACCGCAGCGGCCGCGGCGCCUCUCUGCAAACCAAUGGCUCCGGCCCUCCAAUGCCGCUGCUGAGCCCCGUCGCCUCGUCUCCGCCCUCUCCGGCGAUCGAGAGGGCGUAGGAUCCGAGGAGGUCCCAGCGAUCGGAGGGGCCGAGGGCGAGGAGAUCCACGGCGGCGCGCGCCACGCGCGCGCAGCAGAGCCGUCCCGCGGCCUCGCCGAGCUGCCACCGCGCGCCGCAGUCGCCGCACCCCGGCGGGGCCGGGAGGAGGCGGGCGGCGCCGGAGACCGGGUCGAAGGCGAGGAUCUCCGGCUUGGAGGUCCUCCAGUAGGCGGCGCCGGCGGCGGCGACGGCGGAGCCGGGGACGAGGGCGGAGACGGGGGCGGCGGAGGAGGAGCGCCACCCCCCGGCGGCGGAAGAGAAGGUCUCGAAGCGGUACUCGCCGUCUAGGGUUCGGAAGGCGCAGACGAGGUGGAAGUGGGGGGACGGGGAGGGGUCGGCGACGAGGGCGAGGUCAGGGGGAGGGGAGGCGAGGGAAUGGGGCCGCGGCGGGCGGGGGACGGGGCCCCAUUGGGCGUUGGCGGGGUUGCAGACGUAGUAAGACGACCAGGGACCCCGGAGGAGGAGGAGGCCACGGGAGGAGGAGGCGACGGAGAGGGAGGGGGGGAGGAAGGAGAGGGAAGGGUCGGGGAUGGGGAGCGAGCGGCGACCGAAUGCGGCGAAGGUGGCGGCGGCGGCGCCGCCGCGGCCGCCUCGGUGGAGGAGGGGUUUUGAGGGGGAGGGUAAGAAGACGCCGGAGACGGAGCCCUCAUCGCCAUCGGUGACGACCCAGUCGCCGUCGCCGUCGCCGUCAUCGUCGUCGGCGUCGGCGAGGAUCCACUCGGAGUCGUCGAACUCCGUGGCCAUGGCGCGGUCGAGGUACGGAAUCUAUUACCUACCGAGGUUUUGGUUUUUUUUUUUUUUUUUUUUUUUUUUGGGCCUUUUUGCGUUUUUUUUUUUAGGACUUGAAAAGAAACCAGAGGGAAAGGGAGGGGAUCAAGAAGGAGAAGAAGGGGAAUAUUCGUGGGUGUGAAAUUUGCGGGUUAGUUGGUUGGUUCCUUGUGGGGUCAUUUAUUUUUAUGUGUGAGGUAAAAUGCAUGCAGGCCCCUUAAGUUUCAGCAAUUUUGAAUUGCUACCCUCCUUUUAUUUUUUUUAAUCGUAACAUUUAAUUUUUCAAUUCUUUUUUAGGUUGAAAAAUUGAAAAAUUAAAGUUAUUUUCUAUCAAAAUUUAAUUAAUUCCAUUGACUUUAAUUCAUAUUUAUUAAAUUUAAUACGAACAUCAAUAAAUUUGGUAAGUUUGUAAUUUAUUCAAUCUCCUCAUUUCAAAAUGAUAUGCAAUUGAGAUUCACAUAAAAUAUAAAUCAAUAAUUCGCACCUACAGUCUCCUCAUUUUUUUUUAAUAAUUUAGUCUUAAAUGUAAAGUUAAGGAGAGAAUUUAUUUCAAAAUUACCUAAAUUUGUGGUUAAUAUAAUAUUAUAAAUUAAGAUUUGGAUACAAAAUUCUUCAUUUACUACGCACAACCAUCUCCUCUCUCUCUCACCUCUCCCCUUUCAAACCCUAGUUCAAAACCCUAGAUCCCCUCUCCUCGUCUCUUCCUCCUCCUCCUCCUCCUCCUCGCCCUGAUCCCCUCUCCAUCACUCAUGGACAGCACCGUGGAGGCGCUGAGCGCCGCGUACCAGGCGUUCGUGGCGGCGGCGGCGGGGGUCCUCGAGGCGCGGGAGCUCUCCGGCGGCCAAAAGACCCCGGCCACCGACGCCGCCCUCGAGGCCUUCAAGCAACGCUGGGAGCUUUUCCGCGUCGCCUGCGACCAGGCCGAGGAGUUCGUCGAGUCCAUGAAGCAGCGCAUUGGCUCCGAGUGCCUCGUCGACGAGGCCACCGGCGCUGCCCCUGCCGCCCCCGCCGCCGCGCCCGGGAUCCCGCCGAUCAGCGCCGUGCGCCUCGAGCAGAUGAGCAAGGCCGUGCGUUGGCUCGUCAUCGAGCUCCAGCACGGAUCCGGUGCCGGCGCGGCCACCGCCGCCGGCGCCGGAGGCACCGCCGCCGCCCAUCCCCAUGGUUCUGCCCCCUUCGACGCCCGAUUCCCCGAGGAUGGGGCUCAGUAGGUGUGUUUAUAUAUUUUUAAUGUUAUAACUUUAUCUAUUUAGGGUAUGGUUUUGGGAUCGCAUUUACUUACGUUUUAGUUGUAGAAUGUAAAUGAGGGAAAUUAUAGUAAUUUCGAUUUGCUUAAUAACUUUGUAUAUCUGGAAUGUGGAUUUUACUUAAUUCUUGCGUCUGUGAUGUUAACUUGAAGGAAUGAAUGAUGAAACUACCAGUAGAUUCAAAAAAACCUUUUUUUUUUUAUAAUCAGAAGCAUCUUUUUUUCCCCCAAAGAAAAAGGUUUCUAUUUAGGCUUGUAUGAGCUUUUCAUAGUCAGAAUCAUGAUAAGCAUAUAUUAUCAUAAGUCAGAACUAAUGUUGAAACUUUUAUCUCUCCAUCCGUCAUUCUUAUGAUGCAAUUUUUUUUUUUUGGUCUCAAAGAGUCAGCCGACUACAAUCAACCCUAUCCUGGAGCUAUAAAUCUUAAUUGGUCAUCAAUUUGGCCAUUUGUAACUAUUCUGCUCUGUAACAUGUACAGUGCUAACUGAUACUGUAGUGAAUUCGGUAAAGUGAUUAUGCUUCUCAAAGAUGACAUACAUUAAAGAUCAACUUAAUUGUGAUUCCCUAUCACUAAUGUAUGCAGUUUAAACUGCUCUCUUCGAGCUUACAACCAUUUUUGUGAUUCUUCUAUUACAUCUGAAGUCAUAGGCCAAUUUUCAUCUAUGUGAAUUUGUCCAAUGUCACACUAUCUUUUGGCUCAUUUUGCUGAUCCUUCUGUUACAUCUGGAUUCACAAUCAUUUUUAAUCUUUGUGAAUUUAGUUCAUAUGAUAUUGUCUUUUGGCUACUUCUCAUGUUGUAAAAUUCUUCAACUUCUUGAUAAUUGCUGCAAAGAGGAUAAAACUUGGCUCUUAGGCUUAACUAUGGCUUAAUGAUGAGAUAUACAUACUCAAAAAAUCAUCAUCCUUCUUCGUUGCAAUAUUUACUUCCAUUUCUUAAAAGAAGUAGAGGGAGCUAAAAGCGGAAUAUUAACAUUAUGUUCAAUUAUGUGACUCGUUAUAUAGAGCGGACAAAAAUGUGAAGUCAUUGGUUUCCCAAACUUAAAUAUGAAUAGCAACAUAGAUAGCAACAACAUAGUCUCUGGGUUGUUGAUGAACACCUAUUUCACGUGACAGAGACUUUCUUCUUUUGUUGUCUCAGAUUACUUAAAAGUAAAUAUUUAAAUGUACGGAGAUUAUAUAUACUAUAUUUUCAGGCUGAGAGUUGGAGUUGACUACUUGUACAUCAAUUGUGAAGCUUGUAGGCAAUGCCGAUGUUGAAAUUUGUUUUUCGAAUUUUUCUUUGACUUAAAUUUUCUGAAAAACCAUAUAGCUCUCAUCGUUCAGUUGACAGCACACUCCCAUAUUACUAUUGGUUGAUGUAGUGGUUAAGAGUCUUGAGCAAUGACUACAUGCUUGCAGGCUUUAUGUAGCUUGAUUUCCAUGAAGAACAUACUGUUAUGGUCCUGUAUUCCUCUUUGCAGGAUUAAAAGUACUCAAGGAAUUAUAUGCUGCUUCCUUUUUUUGUUGCUCUCAUUCUACCAUAUGAGAUAUGUUGACAAUAGAUGUAAUCUCGAUUCUCUUUCAUGUCGUAAUUAUUUUAAUCUUUCUUCCCAUUUUAUUAGAUCAAAAGAAAGAAAUUGCAUUUAUAUAGUAAUGCAUGCUGUUAUCCCAGAGAAAAGGAAAUGAUUUUUUUUUUUUUUUGAAAUAUGUUUGCUUGGUUUCUGUGAAGGAACACAAUAUGUAGGCCAUCCAUGCCACGAUAUGACUAAUGCUCGAUCAUGUUCACCAAGUAAGUGUCUAACUUGAUUUGCAUCUAUUGCUUGGUUUUCAUAGAAAAUCUCAAGUAGUGAUGCUAUCACAGUUACUUAUAUCUCUCUUAGGUUUAGUUUUCUGUUCUUGUGCCUUUGUUUUCAGAGUUGCUUCGCGAAGAUCUUGUUCUUAAUUAUGUCUUUUGUUGGUUUCCUGUUUUGCCUUUGUUUAUCACCAUCUGCUCGUUUCAAAAGGUUCUGUUGCUGGUGGAGUUAUUAUGGAUCACUCCUGAAAUGAACCUUUUGAUAACAGCUAUAGUAUUACAACUGUUUAAUUAUAUAUAUGCUAUGUAAAUGUUGUAUAUUUCUUCUGUUUACAUCUCAAAUGCUAUGCCCUCGUCGUACAUAAGAUUUUCACCUCAUAAUAUAAUAUCUCGUUCUUUCUUAAAGUAAUUGAGUCUCUUUCGGCAUCUAAGAAAAAGAUCAGGUCUAAACCCAUAAUGAUGCAGGGAAGGAGAGGAACCUCCACUGUUCUGUCGCCAUUCCGAGUGGGGAGGAACCUCCCUGCAAUAAGUAGGUAUUAUGUGUCUAUUGUCACUGUGAUUCCAUUUUCGGUUUGUGUCGUUGUCGAUGGCAUUCAAAAGCUGGUACAAAUUUUUGAGACCUAAUGGUCCACACAGCAUCACUAGAUGUUGAAAGUGCUACCAACUUUAAUUAUGUCCUUUGUUGGUUUGUAAACACCACUAAGUCACCAAUGCCUAAACCCUCAAAAGGGCAUGGUAAACAUUAGUCAUUCUCUUGUUUAUCUUUUACGAAUUUGAGGAACAGUUCUUGCUUGGUCUGGUUUUGUAAAACAGUGUUUUGCUGAGUUGGGGGAACAACUUUAGAAAAUCAACUUUACUAUUCAAGUAUUUUGUUUGAGAAGUUUUUAUUCAAAAAGAGCUUCUGCUUUUUGUGCUUCAGCACUAAGCUAGUGGGAACUUAAAACUUAAGUUAAAAAAAAAACUAUCUGUGGCUUUCCAAAUUUCUCUGUUGUAUUUAGAAAAUUAUAUGAAGAAGUAAUUUGUAUGGUGUGAAUGGCAUAGAAUCAAUUAAACAGAUCAUCAGGUUGUUUGGGGAAAUUAUGGGAAGCUCCAGAAAAAGAAGAUUGAUGAAAAGUUUCUUCUCAUUUGGCGAAUUUUUAACAUUUUCAUUUGUGAUUGUGACUCCUAUUUGCCUAAUCUGGGUAUCCACAUUAAACUUUCUUUUUUCCUUUUUCUACUACUUAAGCAUUAUUAUUAUUAUUUUUUUCUUUUUCUGGGUGCGUGAAACAACCAUUCUGAGUCUCGUUUUCACACCAUAUGUUUUGAGACCUAACAUGUCCUUUUCUGCUUCGUGUGGUUUCCGCCCACCUGGUCAUAAAUGCUUUAUUAGAUGAGAAAUAAUAUUUGGCCAAUUUGCAUAAAAAAUCCACUAAUUUUGCGCUUUUGCAAAAGUGGGCCACCUUUUUAGUUUUUGCAGAUUCGGACCGAAUUUUCAGAAGGAUGACCAAACUACCCUUCUUUCAAAAUUCAUAAAAAUUAUAUACUUUAAAUGUCUAGAAAAAUACAACUGCUAAGCCAUUAUGUAUAAAACUUCUUGGAAAUGACAACUGCUAAGCCAUAAUUAUAUGCAUGUACCUUUCUUGUAAAACAAGAAACCUCAUUCAAGAGAAAAUAAAAAAAAUAAAGAUUAAGUAGUGCAACAAUCUCUUCAAAAUAGUGCAAUAUCUGUAUAUGUAGUGCAACAUAUGCAUUGUUAAUAAAUAUUUUGUAUGACUUUUACACUAAAUUACACAGUUUAGUAUAUUACACGAAAAUAAUAUAAUAUAUUACAACAUACUAUAAAAAUUAUACAAUAUAUGUACAAACGGUGCAUAUUUUACACUAUUUAUACAUAUAUUUACACCAUUUGUGUAAAUGUUGCACUAUUUUGAGAGGAUGUUGCACCAUUUAGAUGUGUGUUGCACUCUUUCUUUUUGAAAAUUAAAUUUCAUUCCAUAUGUCAUUAUGUAUAAAACUUCUUGGAAAUGACAACUGCUAAACCAUAAUUAUAUGCAUGUACCUUUCUUGUAAAACAAGAAACCUCAUUCAAGAGAAAAUAAAAAAAAUAAAGAUUAAUUAAUAAGAUGAAAGAGUGCAAUAUCCUCUCAAAUAGUGUAACAUUUACACAAAUUGUGUAAAUAUCUGUACAAAUAGUGUAAAAUAUGCACCGUUUAUACAUAUAUUGUAUAAUUUUUAUAGUAUGUUGUAAUAUUAUAUAUUAUUUUUUCGUAAUAUACUAAAUUAUGCGUAAUUUAGUGUAAAAAUUAUGCAAAAUGUGUAUUAACAAUGCAUAUGUUGCACUACUUAUACAGAUAUUGCACUAUUUUGAAGAGUUUGUUGCACUAUUUAAGAGGAUGUUGCACUCUUUCAUCUUAUUAAUUAUUAUUUUUUUUAUUUUCUCUUGAAUGAGGUUUUUCGUUUCACGAGAAAGGUACAUGUAAUUAUGACUUAGUAGUUGUCAUUUCAAGAAGUUUUACACUUAGUGACUUAACAGUUGUAUUUUCUAGGCAUUUAAAGCAUAUAAUUUUUAUGCAUUUUGACAGAAGGGUAGUUUGGUCAUCCUUCUAAAAAUUCGGUCCGAAUCUGCAAAAACUAAAAAGGUGGCCCACUUUUGCAAAAGCGCAAAAUUAGUGAAUUUUUUAUGCAAAUUGGCCAUAAUAUUUAGAAUUUAAUAAUAAUAAUAAUAUAAUAUUUGUGAUUUAUUAUUAUCAUAUAAAUCAACCGCAUUUUAGGACAAAUAUUAGGGGUACUAGCAACAACACUCUUUAUUUUAUUAUUAUAACAACCACUCCUUUGGUCAAAACGAGAAUAUGUUUGUCAACAAAUAUCAACACAAAGGAACAAAGGAAUUUAAUUAAAAUAUAUGAGUAAGCAGCACACUUCACAACGCAACAAAAUAAAAGAAAUAAAAUUUUAAUGCGAGCCUACGAACAUGCUCCUCAUAUAAAUAAAAUAAAAUAAAAUAAAAUUUCAGUAAAUAGCACACUUUACGACACAAGCUGUGUACGUAGAGCCCCUAUUAUUUCUAUACGCAGCCAACGAAACGAGUGUGCCCUAUGGGAAAAUCAUCUCGUGCACCUGACUAAUUAAAAAAUUAAAAAAUUAAAAUUUAAUUCGAUAAUUAUGAUCUAUAAUAUUUAAAUAAUUUAUUUAUAAAAAAAUUAUAUAAUAUUUUGCAGCUUUAAAAGUCAAUGGCAUGAAAAAAAAAAAUUGUUUCAAUUCAUAAAAGUUAGGGUCAUAAGAUGUAUUUAGGGAAAACUUCAAAAACACCCCCUGUGAUUUCGUGCAUUCUCACUUUGCUACCCUGUGGUUUAAAACGUAUCAAUUUACCCCCUGUGGUUUCAUUUUUAUCUUUUCGGAAGCUUUUUCGUUAAUAUUUCGUUAAAUUAUAUACAAAAAACUUCAGAUAACCAUCUAUAUUUAUCGAAUAGUCACUUUAGUAUCCUUUAAUUUUAACUUUGUCACUGAUUUAAAAAAAUAAUAAUAAUAAAAUUGAUAACAAAAAGAUAAAAACGAAACCACAGGGGGGCAAAUUGAUACGUUUUAAACCACAGGGUAGCAAAGUGAGAAUGCACGAAACCACAUGGGGGGUUUUUGAAGUUUUCCCAUGUAUUUAUUACUAAUUAAACUAUAAUUUUGAGGCCUAUAAAUUUUUGAUUUAGUUUUUUUUUUUAAAAAAGGAGUGCGGUCUACAGACAUAUGCACCGGGUGUAGGAUGUAAUUUCUCAUAUCCAUCUCUAUGCUCUCGCUCUCUCUCUCUCUCUCUCGUGUAUGAAAUGUAUGUAAUGUUACAUUACUAAUGUUACAUUACACAUCACAUCUCAAUAUUCCACUCUACAGUAAACAUUUUGCCGCAGCUCCAAAUCCAUUCGAUCGAGAGGGAGAGGGAGAGGGAGAGGGAGCUCGCCAUUGACGACGCGUUCGUGCUUCGAAUAGCUGAUGAGAUGAAGGAGGGGGCCGAUCUACUCCCGACGUCGGCGGCGAAGGCUUCCUCCGGCGGCGGCGCCGCGGCAUCGGAGGCGGCGCUGUUGGGGAAGGGGCGGUACAAGUUCUGGGCCCUCGCCGCCAUCGUCCUCCUCGCCUUCUGGUCCAUGCUCACCGGCACCGUCACCCUCAAGUGGUCCGCCGGCGACCUGGCCCGCUUCUCCGACGACCUCGACCGCCCCCUCCACGACGACCUCGACGUCCUGGUAUGUUCCCUCUACCCCUAACCCUAACCCUAACCCUAAUCCCCGUUCCCCCUUUGUUUACGGAUUUGAUCGGAUGAAUUUGGGACUGGAUCUGCGUGGGCGUGGCCACAGGAGAUGGAGGAGAGGGAGAAGAUGGUGCGGCACAUGUGGGACGUGUACGCCCACAGCGAGCGGAUCAGGUUGCCGAGGUUUUGGCAGGAGGCGUUCGAGGCCGCGUACGAGGAGCUCGCCGGCGACGACGCCCGCGUCCGCGACGACGCGGUGGCGGAGAUCGCCCGCAUGUCCCUCCGCAUGGUCGAUCUCGAGCCCCCUCCCCGACACCGCCGCCACGGCCCUAAGGCAAGCGAAAAGAUCCCACCUUUCCCCAGUAAUCCACUCAUUAUUUUUUCUUUCACUGUUUGAAUCUUAAGAUCUUAGGAUUCUUGCCCAAUUUAAGACCUUUAGUGGAUGCAGUAGCCUGCUUGUUUUCGACUGACAUUUACGCGCUGCUUAGCUAGAGAAAAGAUGAAUUGUAGGUUGUUCGAAUACGAGCUUUGGAGAUUUGAUUUUCUCAGGGUGAAAUUCGAUUGGUUGGAAGCAAAAAGGUGUGUUUUUUGUGCAGGAUUAAUAGAUGGAAGAAUUAAAUUCCUUACCUUCUUAGAAUUUCUUAUUUCUGAUUUGGAAUGGCAGGAUGCUCCAUUAAUUAUUUUGUACAAGAAACCAUUCUUUAACAUUUUUUAAAAUUUACUUAUUUUUCAGAAUGCGGUGAUUGUUUUACAUGGUAUUGGACCAGGUGGUGAUUCGCAUCUACUAGGUUGAAACAACCGUCUAAUCGGAAAGAAACCUCCGUCCAUUAAAUUCAAUGCCCAUGGUUUUGAUCUUUUGACAAAAGUUUGGAGCUCAUACUUGAAGGGAAUUAUUCAAGAUAACAUAUGUAUAAGACAUUCCUCUUUAACAGCUCAAUUUUUUAGAGAAGUCAAUUGUUUCAGAAAGUAUUGCUCUUCCUAGUGCAUUCUUUUGUUCUUAGAUUAUGUUGGCCUUUCUUCAAUUGAUUUCCUGGAUUGACUACUGUUAGUCUUGUGUAUGUAGACAUCUAUGAUCGACAAGUAAAAGCAAAUGGUAUCUUUUCUUGAUUGUUCCAGAAUAGCGAAAUGGAGAAUAAGCAAAGAGAUUCAAGCAGCAGGUCGAAGGGAAAGUCGACAACUUUGUUGUCUACAGGAGCCUAAGAAGAUGCAGCAUUAUUUACCGGACUCAAAAUGCACUCAACAAGUAAUGGUGCAAAAAGCUGAUAUAAUCAAAGUCGCCGAGGUUAUUUCCUUGUUUUAGAUUGCAUGCCAAAAAGUUCCCUGUAAUUGUUCAUAUGUUCUUACUCUGGGUGCAUGCAUGGGGCAACCUUGGCACAAAAGUGAAAAUUAUAUUAUUAAACUAGUCAAGCAUUGUAGUAACUUUGAUAUUUAAUUACUGAUAUUGCUGAAGGAAAUCAGGCUUAUAUUACCAAAUGAGUUAAAAUUUCGCUUCAAAAUUUUGAUUUACUUUUCUCUAUAAUCAGUUUGAUGCUUUAGGAAGAAUGACUUGUUAAGAGUUAAGUGGGAGUUGUGGCUCCAUAUUUUAAACGAGACUCAGCUCGUCCACUACCUUUAUCUUUUUUGUUUCGUAGAUCCCAAGAUCUGCUGAUAUUUUAGCUUGCCAUUUUGUGUGAUUAUAUGAAAUUUGAUUCAGAAUUAGAAGCACUUAAAAAGAAAGAAAUUAAAUGUAGUUUGCGCUUCAAAGACAUGGUGCAAAGGCAUUGUAGUUUGGCUUAGGUGAAAUAAUGGAAGUGUCUUAUGGUGUUUCUUUGUUAUCUUUUACUAUUCUUGCUUAAUGUAUAAUAAAAGUCAUGUGAUGGUUCAUUUACAGUGUCAAAUCCUAUAUGAACUUCUUGUUUGAAUUGGAAGCUUCUCGCUCUUUCCUCUCUACGCAGUAAUGGUUUUAUCUGGUUUGCAUGAAAAAUCGUACAUGCUUGAAAUGGUUUCCACCUUAUACUUUGUUCACCGUUCAGCAAUAUAUUGUGAAGUCGCAUAGAGGGAUUGGUCUCUUUAAAUAAACUGCAAUGCUAUGCCCAAAAAUGUUCACACCACUCCAGCUUUUUACUGUAGCACUGUUUAUCGGUUGUGUUGAUUGUAAUAUUCAUUGUAAAGAUUUUCCUAAUCUUUUUCUUUUGUUCAUUGAGAUUGUCUUACUUUUUGGCUAUCCAACCAAGAAUUUACUGUCGGAGAAUUUGUUCGGUGACAUUGGCUGAAUCAAUUGAUUGGAGCUUUUCCGGUUACUGCUUAAAAGGUUUUAAAUCAUUGAGCUGGUAAAUCAAAAGUCUAUCAAAGAGCCUUAUUGAAUCCGCGAUUUGAUUUGUGUAACAUCAAGAAGCUUUACUUGACUCAUCUUUGGUGAUUUCAUUUGUCAACUGAGGCAUCUAGUGGAAUCCGGGUUUUCUAAAUCAACCAGGAUUUUCCAUUCUCCUUGUUAACUGCAUCAAGUUUUAUUGCUCUUCUUUCUCCACUUUUUUUCUUUAAAAAAAAAUUUCCUUCCCAUUUCCCUUUUUGCUUGAGAAACCCAUCCAUAUUGGCAUAUUGCAUGGGCCGUGUCAAAGUAUAUAGAUGUCAAAGUAGAUAGAUCAUGAGCUUUCUUGUUACAACAUUCGGAAAGAGGAUGAUGAUGAUGAUGAUGAUGAUGCAUGCUGACUCUCAAGUCCAAAUGUUGCCUAUUACUGGAACGAAAAGGACUUCUAAAAUGCGUCGACCUUUGGAUCGAAAAGAAAUUCAAAGCAGGAAGGUCAGAACUAGAUGAUAAGAAAAUAAUACCCAGUAGUCAACGUGAUCCAAUCAUGAAUAUCAAAAUAACCAAAAAUAUUUGCAAAAAAAGAUGCGCUAACGACUCCCAAGAUAAACAAAGAUUUGAGAACCUUCGAAAGAGACCUGUGCUAAGAAAAAUGAUUAGCCACGUUCUAUUGAUGCGACUGGAGUACAAGAACCCAAACCCAAACUUAGUCAAAGAUACUCGAGCUGCAUAAACAAGGCUGAGCAUAAACAAAACUGAGCACCAUAGACGAGAGAAACCAUUAAAAUGAUCAAUAUAUGAAAUCACUACACUUCGAUUAGAUGUCAUAAACAGCACUACCUUCAAAGGUUAAUCCAAAGUUGGAAGUACUUGCCCAAACACAUGCUACAACUAUAUCAGGACACAAUAGCACAAACACCCCAAGCUAGCUAGUAAAGGAGGCCGUUGUGCAAUUUUAACUUUUUGCAGAAUGACAUCAAGAACUAUAGCUAAGGUUUCACGGAAAAGCCGCACUCCAGGUCACUUUAACAGCCGUGUCCGUACUUCUCCUAAACUAAUUGCAAUUAAUUAGCUCUAAUCCUCAUAAACCGUGUCAGUGUAACUUUACCAGACCUUAUAUUCAUCAAUCUAUGUACAGGAAACCUAAUACCAAAGACCCGACUCUUGGAAACCUCAAUUCUCACCACCUAAUUCCUCGUCGCAGUUUUCUUCCACACUUUCAUCCCUAGGGCGCUUCCCAAGAUCAGUUUGUUUCUCAUUUUCCAGAUGCAUGGAACUAUUACCAUUCAAACUGGUUUCUGCUUGCUUAGUUUCUCCGUUUGAAUUGGUUUGCAGGGCGGCAGCUUCUUGGUCGGACAUAGCAGAACUGCCCGAUUCUGCCCUUUUGGUGGAGAUUGAGCAUAAUGUCAUCCUUGUUCCAUGAUUCAUUGCAGGUACUGUGGAUAAGAUAUCCGGCUUAGCUUCGAUAUCAACCCAUCUGUUCCCUACCCAGUCUUUUGAAACCCUUGCAUUUUUCCGUUGGCAUACUAGAAGGACAUCUUCACCUGAGACCACAGGAGAAUCAGCCAUUUUCAACCUCCUUAACGUCAAGCUGAAGCUUGAGUUACAGAGAGAGAGAGAGAGAGAGAGAGAGAGAGAGAGAGAGAGGAAAGGUGGAAAGGAUUCUGAGCUGUAUAGAUGCACACAACUAGGCAAAAAGAUAGCUAACUGGAAAAUAGCAUGUUUUAAUGUUGCAAACUGUUGACUAGAGAAUCUACGGGAAGGAUAGAUACCUGGGAAAUAAACAUGUAUGUUAUCAUCCCGACAGUUGUCUACACCAACAACGACGCCUUCCCACCAGCCAUCAUUCCACCAGACAUCAACAGCAGUUCCAGUUUUAGAAACAAUGUCAUCUGGCAAACGAACACAUGUAGGACAUGGACGAACUGUAAGACGGUUCGAACAUCUCAUUCCCAGCUUAUCAGGAGCUGCUGGCCUAAAAGCAGGUACCCAUUCCUACAUUGAAAUUGAUUAGUUUAUAUCCAGCCGAAGAAAAAAAUAGUAAUAACAAUGACAAAAACAGGGUGAAUAUAAAGAAAAGAAGUUUCAUCGAACUAGAUGAGAAAUCAGCACAGAAAGAUAUAUAUUACACCAAAAGUAACAACAAGACGAUUUUAUAUAAUACAACUACGCUACAUGUAGUUAUAAUUGAACUGUGCAGUUGAGAAUUGAAGGGCCUGCAGUUAAAAUUAGUUUGCUCGAGUCUUGCCACUUUUUCACAGUUUUUAUUCAUAUGACCAGAUAGGCAAUUUUAGAUACCAAACACACACACACACACACACACACACACACACAUCAAGUAACAAUAUUUAGGGCCUGUUCGGAUGCAUGCUCAGCAUAUCUCCUUUUCUUUAACCAAUGGGCAUGACAUACUAUAUUUGGCUUGUGAAUUCUUUAUCUUCGAGUGCAAUGCCAAUCAAGGAUUUAAGUGUCCAUCGGCACGGACAGUAUCUACCGUACCGCAUCAUGCCAACAAGAUAUCGGCACCAUACAACUUUCGUGCUGAUGACACAACUUAAAACCCUCUAUUCUUUAAAUUAGUAAGUAAGUUUCUCAACAAAGUUCAAAAGAUUUAAUAAAAAUACAUAAAAAACAGUUAGAAUAUUUUGUUGCUAAAGAAAAUAAAUAUUUCAUGUCAUUAUGUGCCGGCACAUAUAAAUUUUUUGUGACUGGCACGCAUCGGCACAGCCCGACACGCACUAUGCCAUAUCAUGUCGGCAAGUUUCCAACACAACCCCAUGCCACCACACUUAAAUUCUUGAUGCCAAUAAAUCAUCUCGUAAGUGGAAUAGCCGAAUCCACUAUCUUGAAAAUUUCCUAAAUGUAAUCACAAAGGAAAGUCCCCAAAUUGACCAAGUUAUCACCAGAUAGCAUGGUCCAACAUCUAAACAGGCCGUUUGGUAAAAGCCAAAUAUCAGCUUGAUCUAUAACACAUGAGGUCUAUAAAUAGAAUUUUCUUCAUGCAAAUGUAGGAUCAUUUGAAGUACAGUAUGAAUGUCUGUACCUCCAAACUGCCAGAACCAUCAGCAUUCAAGAGAUCAUCAUAUCCAACCUUCAAUCUCUUAUGUGAUAAUUGUAGCACAGUACACUUGAACCAGCAUCCUCUAAUGCCACUGUCCUGACACAGCAACUCUAUCUUCUCACCAACUUUAUAAGGUGGAUUCAGUUGACUGUGUGGCCCAACAAACUUCAGUGAUAGAGGCCUUCUAAUUAGUUUCUCAUGCUUAAAUUUUUGAUAAGCCAGCCCGUAGUUUGUUAUACGGCCCGGACGGCUGACGAUUCUAGUACCCAAACAGCUCGCAUAGAGUCUAUUAUGCUGCUUGACAAACUUAAUCCUUUUGGGUCCACCAUUCUUCGUAAUUUUCCCCCAGCCUGAUCCUUCCACUUCCUUCUCCAACAAAGUACUAAGGCACAAAAGGGCAGAUUGAUUAAAAUAUCCACGCAAGGUUCUUAAAUCAAAGGGUUUGAAUUUAUUUUUGCUGUACUGACGAAAGCAUAACCGAAUUCCUGAGGAAUUCGAAGAAAGGGGCAGUGAAGCCAAACACUUUUCAUAGUGAUCAGGAGUUAAAAUUGUUGCAAUAUCAUCCACACACUCCACACUGAUGACUUGAGAAUAAGGCGUUAUGAACACUUCACUGGGAUGGGGAGAAGGUGGGGGUAUUGUACAAGCAAAUUCUUGAUUAUGAUGAAACCACCGCACUUUAACCUUCUUUUGCCCUUUUUUAUCCUCAUACAUAUCCUCCAAAUAUGCAAGAUAGCGGUUUUCCUCCUCAGACAUGACAAGCACAAAGGAAUGGGCCUGCGCAGAAAGAAGAGAUUGUUUCAAAAACAAAUGUUUAAGUUCAUUACCAGAAGUUUAGCUCAUUUUGAAAUGGGUAUGUAAACUUUGUAAAUUGUGAUUUUGAUAACUAAUCUUAUGAUAUAUUGAUUUAACUGUCUCCCUAUGAGAACUUGGUGAUAUUUUUUGUACUUUUUGAUUGAAUAUUCUUUAAAAUCAAUAUUUUGCUAGUUUCGGUUCUCGUUUCAGAAUAUACUAUGGUUCAGGCAAAUUCUAUGAAUUUCACCAAAAAACAUGAAGGACGAAAAUGCAUAAAAUUGGUGAUACUGACAGCUAUGGUAGUUCCAUUGCGACAAAAUGCUUGAUAAUGCUGGAGUUGCUUCCCACAAGUCCAGGAAAUGCCAGACCAAGUAAUGUCGGAGUUGAACCCUUUAUUCUGAGAUAGAAAUUCAAAGUGACCAAUGUGCUUUCAUGUGGGAAGAAAAAGAAUGAAAUUUUAUUAUUUACUACACACCGCAUGUUUGCACAGAUAGCCUCCAGUAUUACCGAAUCCGUUUGACUCAACUGCAGCACCAAGAGGGCAUGUGAGCUCAUACUUCUGCGACCCUGAAGUAGGAUGUAAUAUAUUAUCUAAGUAAUUUUACAUUAUUAUUAAAGAAAUAAAGGUAUGAGAACAUCCAUCAACAUCUCUUUUGGAGAAAUAAAACAAUUAAACAGCUUUCAAACAACAACUUGCUCCUAAUAUGUAUUUCCUGUAAGAGAUUGACAAAGCAUGAACAUAUGCUACUGUUCAAGUAAAUUCCAACAAUCAAUUCAACAAGGCUUUUAGUAGCUUAAAGUUAUGUUGCUAGAGUUUUUAAACUUAACUCAGAAUCUUGAAAAGAGGGAGGAAGAACAGAACAAGCAGGCAUGUCCUAUUAAUCUUGAGAAAUGCCAGAUAAGUUUAAUUAAGCUAAUUAUUAUGCUAAUAACUCAGAAAGGGUAACCAUAAAAGAGAUAACAUACUUAUAAACAUUAUGUACUGAUGUAUAGCAGCUGGGAGACAACAUAUUCAAAAUAAAAUCUGGGUUAAGAAUAAAGAUGCGGGCAGUGGGACGUAAGAUGUAGAGUGGAAAUGGAUGGGCGGAUAUUCAUACCAAUCUAGAAAAGGAAAGGUAAUUAUUGGCAGUAGAAUGGAAUGGAGAUAGAUACACAAAAUGGCUCAGGGACGUAAAACACACGAAACCAUUACAAUUAGCCCAAAGACGAGGUACGAGAUAGGGAAGAUCAAAACAAAGGGAAACUUAACUACCAAGAACACCAAAAAGGCAAAAAGAUUGAUGCAGCCAACCACACUUAAUUGGCCUAUGAUGCUUUCUCAGUGAAGGAUAUUGCAUAUAUACUAACUUGUAUCGGUAUAUUAAGAGAAGAAUACAACAAAAUUUACUGUUUAUGUUUAAGGUUUCAUACGAAACUUUAUGUUGUAAGUUACUGUCUAUGGUACAUACAAGACCACAAUAAUGAAACUGACAAAAAUGCAUAAACACCAGACAAAAAAUUGCCAUGAAGCAUACCAAAUGUAAGAUGAUCAAACUAACCCACAAAUUCUAGUACAAAUUGUUCUAUAGACCCUGCUAGAAUCUAUAUGACGACCAUCCAUAAUCAAUAUGCAUUAAAGGAGAUGCGCAAAACUACAAUAAAAGAAAGAAUAUAUGAAAAAGACAAACCACAAUACUAAGGGAGGAAGGCAAAUAAUAGCGAAUUAAACACAUACACCACUCAUGCAUCUAUUCGAAUCAGGGGAAUAUGAGAGAAGUGCAAUCUAUAUAGAGCGCAAAUAGAGUCAAACAGAACAUAAAUUCCCCAACUUUUAAGCACAUAACCACAUGAAUCGAGCGCGAGACCAGGGAUUACUUUGAAUCAGGCCCUUCGCUGAGAGAAACGAAGCAAGCCAAUCUACAACCUCUCUUCUCGACCUCCAUUUGAGGCUAGAGACCACCAAUUUCUCCGACGCAUAAGUUCUAUAGAACUCUUCCGAGACGACGUAAAGCAUAUGUCUCAGACUCCUCUCCGUCCCGACAACAGCGAGAUGCGAGCCGCCGGAAGAGUCCUCAAGGUAGUAAUGAACCACCCGGCUCCCGCGCUCCUGCGAGACGAACUCCUCCCUCCAUUUCACAAACUCCGGACAACUUUCCCCCAUUUCCACUUCCACCGAGCGCCAAAUCGCCUCAAGGUUUCAUCCCAAACAAGGAUCUCUCUUAACAGUUAGCGAGCGUGAGAGAUUCCGAGAGGAAACAACACAGAGCUAGGGUUAGAGAAGCCAUAAUACGACCAAAACCCACCACCCAAAACGGCAAGUUCCUAAGCCUACAGGGCUGGAGGAAACGGGAGUGGGGCACCGAGAAGCUUGAAGCGGAAAGGGUUAAGGUUCAGCAAGAAUCUCUCCAUGGCCGCAAAAUCCGGGGGGGUUGUGGGAGAGGGGGAAGUUAGGUUCCCUCCGAUCCGCACCAAAAGCCCGAGAACGGCGAGGAGAAGCCCUAGAACGGGGCGGCGGAGCUCACCCAGGAAGCAGAAACCCUAGAGGAGAGGGCGCGGCAGGAUCGGAGCCUAUGGCGAGGCGGAGAGCUCAAAGGGAAGGGUGGGGCCAUGGUGGGAAGGGGGAGGGGGAGAAGGGGUCUGAGGGAGGAGGAGGAGGAGGACGACGACGACGACGGAGAGGAGAGGAGGCAUGGGUUGGGGAAGGAGAAGGGAGAGCCCGAGGAGGAAGAAGAAGAAGAAGAAGAAGAAGAGGAGGUUUGUGUUUCUCUCUCUUCUCUUUCUGUCUCUAAUCUCUCUCUACACUUUCAAUUAGGCUGAGGAGAGAGAGAGAGAGAGAGGAGAGAGGAGAGAGGGAGAGGAGGGUGGAUAAGAAUUAAGAAGAGGAGCCUCUCUCUCUCUCUCUCUCUCUCUCUCUCUCUCUCUAUUGUUUUCUCUCUCUCUCGUCAGUUUCUCUCUCUACUUUUUUAGAGAGAGAGAGAGAGAGGGAGGGAGAGAGGGGUUAAUUAAAAUUUAUUUAAUUAAGAGCACGGUGAGGUGGUUAUGGAUCGUUUUUAAGUCCAAAGAAUCCCUGCGCUCGGUCUCUCUAAGCACGUGAAGUUGUUGCCUGAACCUGGUCCAUAGACCGGACUAUGAAAAUGAUGAAAAAAGUUUCCUUUUCACUUAUUACAGUGUCCAUUUGGUUCAACCAACGUAAAAUUAUAAAAAAUAAUUUUUUGUUAAAAAAAUAUUUUAAUGAAAUUUUUUUUACAUUUUAUAAUGUUUGAUUUGUAGCAAAUUUUUUUUUGUCAAUAUUUGUUUGAUUGAAAAAAAAAAUCACAUUUAUUUGAUUCGGUGGAAAAAUAAAUAAAUAAAUAAAUUUUACGCAGCUUGAAUUUUUGUUUUCCGUUGAAAAAUAGCGAAAAACAAAAACUUCAAUUUUUUUUCCAAAUCCAUAAAAAUAUUUUUACGAAAAAUAUUUUACGUCGAGCCAAACAAGCAGAAAAGAAUUUUUCAUACCGAAAAUUUUUUUCAGUUCAUUUUACAUCGAAUCAAAUGCCCCCUUAGUUAAUCUAAGGGAUAUUUUCUCGAUUGUUAUAUAAUGAUAAUAUUAUCUUUAUUAUAUUUUUAUAUUUUUUAUCAUAAAAUUUAUAGGUAAUUCUAAACCCUCAUAACCCUGAAAAUUCGAAUAAAAAGUUCUUGAUUUUAGACUCGAACCUAGGAAGUCUUAAUUUUGGUAGUUAGGUAUCUAAUUGUCUGAGCUACAAUUUAUUGGUAACAUCUUUAUUUUAAUGAUUCAAUUUUUUCUAUAAUCUUUUUUUUUAGUUUCGGUCUAUCUCUAUCUUAGAAUUAUGCAAAAACUAUUUUUUUAAACCAUUUUUUUUAUUUAGAAUAUAUUCGGCCAUAUGAAAAUAAUUUUGCAUUUUGUUGAAAUAAGUCCUUAAACUUACCCCCUAUAUAUAUAUAUAUAUAUAUAUAGAACUAGACUACUAUACUAUCGGUAGUAUGGAGCGCUCUAAGAAAGAAAAUUUGGUUUUUCUUCAAUAGUCAUAAAUUUUUUUAAAAAAAAAAAUCGUGCUGUGGUGUUGGUGGACUCCGACCACGCAAAUUUCUAAGUUACCAUCAGGAAUCAGUAAAUAUGAAGAUUCCUAUUGCGAAAGGACUUUCCAAAUAUAAAAGCUAAUUUCUCUUAGAAAUGGGUGGAUCCAAAUGUAAAAUCAGGGUGCAUUUAUGGGCUCAACUUUGAUCGAGCCCAGGUCUAAUCUAAUGAUGUCGCAAAGAUCAGAUUGUUUAACUCAAAAGUUUGACUCCAUUGUAUCCGCAUCAGCGUCUGUUCGACCUUCUCGAAGUUUCUAAACAUUAUUACUCGACAGAAAUUCAUCUGGUCUAAGAUUUGAUUCUCAGCAUGCUCAAUUCGGUCUCGGGUUUAAAGUGAACGCAACGAAAAUUCACAAUUCAUCUCAUGUUUAAAUGAUUUUAAAGAAAUGAAUUUAGAGCAACAUGAUAGUUAAUCUCUCAUAGCAUUUAUUUUUCUGAAGUUACAUGACAAAGUCAUGUUCUUAACGUUUCGGAAUGAAAUGAAUUCAAAUUUCCACGCACGAACUCAGAGUCAUAAACUAGGUGAGAAAUAAUUUUUAGUGUGCUGAAGAAACCGGGUCAAACAGGGGAUGAUCUCCUGUGGCUGCUGAUGCUUAUUUUUAACAUUCUACAUUGCUAACCAAUUAUAAACACUCUUGACAAGUAAUUUUUAUCAAACGCGCGUUCCUCUUUCUAUCGCUGGAUAUCACUAAUAAUAUUUUUAAGAUUCGAGCAAAGUACUAUUCAACAGCAGAAAAGAAGUGUCUAAAAAAAACUGUGUCUGAUAUAAAUUUUACUGUCACCAUGAGAUUACCUUGGUUAGUGAUCUCUAAUUUAAAAUAAAGGGUAAACUUCAAAUACCACCUAUGUGGUUUCGCGCUUUCUUAUUUUACUAUUCUGUGGUUUAAAGUAUAUCAAGUUAGUAUCCCGUGGUUUCAUUUUUAUCUUUUCGUCAGCAUUUUCGUUAAUAUUUUAUUAAAUUAUAUAUAAAAAAACUUCAGAUACUCCGCUUAGGUUUUUCGAAUAUUCGCUUUAGUACCCUUUAAUUUUAACUUUGUCACUGAUUUAACGAAAAAAAUUAGUGGAAUCCAUAAUAAAAAGAUAAAAAUAAAACUACGGUGGACUAAAUUAAUACAGUUUAAACCAUAUGAUACUAAAAUAAGAAAGUAUGAAACCACAGAGGUGAUAUUUAAAGCUUUUUUUCUAAAAUAAAAAAUACAAAAUUCUGAAGUACCUACUUAGUCUUAAGAAAAACCAACUUGUAUGAGUAAUCACGUGGUAGACCUAGUCGACCAAAUCAUCCAUGGUUUAAGCAAAUUAAAAUGCAUUAGCUACCUUGAUUCAAUAGCAGCCCUCUUAUUUUUCUUUCUAAUUAUUUUUCUUGCUUGAAUUUUGGUUGGUUGGUGAAAUAUCAAUAUCAAUAACUUGUUGGGCCUAAAUCAUUAGCCUCAAAUAUUUAAACCCAGUUAUUAUGUGAGGUCAAUUUCACACUUCCAACUAGUGUAUCGGCUCUGAUACCAUCCAGUCCACUCAGCACGCACUAAUAAUUUAAUGGGUCCGAACCAUUGGCUCAAAAUAUUUACGUCAACGUAUUAUUAUUAUUAUUAUUAUUAUUAUUAUUAUUAUUAUUAGAGCUUUUGAUCUUUAUAUUUUAAUCAUAAAUUUUUUCUUCAUCCGACAUGAGACUACUGAGGCGGCAGAGUUGAUUCAUUAUUAAGUUGAAAACCAAACCUGAAGUUGCAGCUUUCAUUGUCAAAUGCACCACAAAGUUCUCAAAACUUGAUGCCACUGGGUUACAAAAAUGUUCACAAGGCCACUACUAAUCUUUUUAUUCCUUUUUUUAAAGUAUUGUCAAAUGCACCACAUAUUUGAUAUUUCAAACCUACUGUCCAAAAGUCACCACCAGUGGCUUCAUACUCCAUUGACUUUUUAUCAUGCUAAUGUAUUCUAUUAAUGUGAAAAUCAUCAAUAAAAAAAAUAACCAAAUCAAUGGAAAAUGUAUGCUAGUGUCAAAUUUUUUAAAAGGUACAAAAUAGGCAUAAGAUUUAACUGUUUAAGACCUUCUAAGUCAAAUUUAUUAAAAACAGAAAUAUCAAAUAUUUUAGAGCUAGUUUUUUCUUUGUUGUAAACAGAUAUGGCUUCCCUUGAAACACAAUUUUGAAACCUUUCCAAGUCGAAGUUUUCAAUAGUUCACAUACCACAAACUGUCGACAUGAUCGACAGCAAAGCUAACAUCUUUUACCUGCUCUGAAUUUGACUUGCGUUCGAAUUGUUUGAUAAGUUCAUACGAAUUCAAUUCCUGUUGUUAAGAUGAAGAUGAAACCAAAAAGCUAAAGUAACGACGAAACAACAUAACUGAAACAAAGUUUGUGUUUCCACUAAACAAACAUUGAGGUCAAUCUCACAAUAGAGUUAAUUAAGAAACAUGUGAACUUCAUGAGAUAUUUGAGCUUUUAAACUUUACAGUGCCUUUUCAACUCAUGUGCAGAAUAACGCAAAAUGCAAACUUUUCGCACUAUUAUCUUCUUUGUUUCCAAUCAUCAUACACACUAUUAUCUUCUCUGUUCCAAAUCAUCAUUCAACAUGGUAUAUCGUAUUUGCUCUUUAGAACUCAACAGAACAUUAUUCGCAGCCCAACCUGCGGCUCGAAGUUCUGCACUAAACUGCUCAAUAUGUUUGUGGGCAUGGGCCUGACUUUCUUCCACGAUAUUAAACCAUUCAACUAGCCUUGGAUCUUCAUUGAUGUUGCCUUUUGAAAAGCAGCUCCAGCUGAUCUUGCGCUCGAGGAGCGUUUUCCUGAUGAAACAUGCCUGUCCGGGACAAAAAGUGUAUCCAUUAAAUCAUAGAAAUAUUAGAAGUUCAACAAAAAACAAAUAAAUAACGUGCCACUGAAACACAGCAAAGUGAAUGGUUUAGUAUCCUUCUACGCCGCAGUAAAAGGUAAGUCCGCCAAAUUUUACUUGAAGUGACAUUACCUGAAACAGGCCAACAAUGAUAUCUGAGGUAGCUGCUGUUUCCCGUAAACAUAGAACAAUCUCCUACAUAUCAGAAACGCAAAGUUGAAUAAGCUAUAUGGCAAUUAUCAACCAAAUAAUUUUUAAAAAAGUGAAGAGGUUUCUGGAAACAGACUUGUUUUCUUCUCAAGCCUUCAUAAGACUCUCCCAUGCAAAUAAAGUAAAGAUCUUCGUUACGUAAUGAUUUUAAGGUCGCAACCGACACCAUCGAUGACGAAUUCUUUGGAUCGAGGCAUCCAAUUCUGAUUGACCACAGCUUGCCUCCUGAUCCAUACCUCAUUAAUUAUCUGUAAGCUCCAUGACUGGUUUUCUCUCAACUCAUAUGAUAGCAUAACAAUGGAAAAUACAACAGAAAAGAAUAGUAUCUUUUCCAGGAAGGCCUCACCUCUCUGCCUGAAGACAUCUAUACCUUCCUUGCUGCUAACCUCUGCAGGUGAUGGAAUGCAUCCCGAGCAAAUCCAUGUAUCUAUUAUUAUCUCCAACCUAUUCUGAUGUUAAAAUAAAAGGAAAUUGAGAAAUAGAAAAAAGAAAAAAAGACACUACCAAAAACAAUAGAAGUUCGGAUGGCCAGAAACAGCAGUUCUUCACAGAUUCUACAUAUCCAAUAAUGCAAUGUAAGCAAGAAUAAAUGGACCACAAACCUUGGUUAAUGUUUGUAGAUGCACACUCUUCAAUCCGUUAUAGAUAGCAAACAAAUCUACAGUUGCGAAUAUAGGAUAUACAGCCAGUGGAAGACCUGCUUGAAAGCUUAUGGCAACAAUCGAAAGUUACUUUCCAUCCGAUGAUACAGAACACAGCCAAUAAGGGACCCAAACCAUACAGCACAAGGAUAAAUCCUGACAAAUGAUUUUUCAGCACAACUGCUAUGCUAACAAUUUCAAGAAAUCCAAUGUCAGAUAGACGAAGUACGAAUGUUUUGAACUAUAUUUUCAUGAAGUACUCCCAAAUUUGAGUACUAAUCUAUAAUUUGCCUCAUGCAACAUCAUUUGCUAACUUGUAAAUGAUCACCCAUUUCUGAAACAGCAGAAUAAUACAUGAAAAUCCACAAAAUUACCUUUGGUUACUUUUGCACAAUAAAUUCAACAGCGCAGCUAGCAGCAGACCAAAGUUAUCAAAACAUACAGUUUGAAUCUGGCAAAAGAGAGAUGCUGAACAGGUAAAGAAAAAACAAAAUAUAGCAAAAAAAGAAAAAGGAAACAAAAUAGAAACAUUUCGAAUUGCCAACCUGAGAUUUGGCAGAAACUUCACCAAGAUUAUCACCAAUAGCAAAGCUCCGAUGAAUAGCAGACUACGACAAAACAAAAGAAAUUAGGCUUUUGAAAUACAAAAUAUGUAUACUAGUGAUUUCACACCUAAAGGUGUAAAUAUAUAUUUCAUGUCAAAUAUUCCAAAUUAGUAAAAACUACUCUUAAGUACAAAAUUUUUUAUAUUAGUAGGAAAAAAAGAUUGGAUCAUACAUAAUAUCCAUGCAGUAGAAAGAAUACAGCAGACUAGAUGUACGUAGAACCAAGGAAUCAUAACUUUUUUUAGGUGUCCUACUGAAAGUAAGAAACCGUAAAAGCAACAAAAUCUAUAGAUUUCAGAUACCCUUGUCAUACCGAAUACUCUUCUAAGGUCGUAUUCCAGUCUGAGAAACAAAUACUAAAUAUUCAUAGACAGGAACUUAGAUAGCUAGUACUGGAAUUACUUUGUAGUUACUCAUUUACAAAUACCAAAUCAUAAUAACUCGGGGAUGCUUAAUAUGGCAACAUGCUGAAAGCAUGAUAAUGAAAGUCAAUCCGGUAAUCUUGCAUCAUAUAUAAGCAAGCGAAAACUUCAACAUGCAAUUAGUUAAAAGUUUGAAAGCAUACACUGGUUGCAAGGUAUGCAGCAAGACUAAUAGAUUUGCCGAUGUUGGCCGCAGUUGCAAGAAGCAGAAAAUAUUGGGGGAAUGCAGGCGUCAACAAUUCCACCCCAAUACUCAAGCUAAACAGAAUAGAUGUUGAGAAUCGCACCCGCUACAUGGAGCAACUGCAAUUUUUUGUUAACCAAUUAAUUAAUAAAAAAAAUCACACGCACAGCUCAAACAAAAUUACACCUUCAAAUUCGUAUCGAAUGCAGAUCCAAGGCUGGCUGUGUAUAUGCAUCUGCUAAGACGCCCCAGGCCAUCUUUCAGUACCCAAUUUAAAGCAGCUGCAGACGGAAGGGAACGAGCAGAGCCGACUCCCAUUGCUCGAAACAUAGCCUACAACAAACUACUAGACUUUUUCGGAACCAAAAUAAAAAGAAAAAAUUACUUAUUUCUUGGCUACUUAGAUACCAUAUAUAUUAAAACUCAGAAAAAAAAAAAAAAAAAAAAAAAAAAAAAAAAAAAAAAAAAAAAAAAAAAACAGAAACAUGCUCACAAUAAAUUGGCGUAAAAAACAGGAUGGUUUUCAACCAUGAGACCUUGGUCACUAAUAGGCAUCAAAUUCUUAUUUUUGACCAGUAAGGAGAUACUAAAAAACUUAAAAUUUUGUCUAACAUAGAGUAAAUGUAGGGAAAUGAUGACAUGAACUAAACUUAAGGAUUAUAUAGUUACACCAAAGGCUUACACUGAAGCAGUAUAUAAUCAACUAAAACCCAACUCUUAGUAAUGGUAAUCACUUUCAACUUUGGGGAGCAAAGUUAUUCGCCGAAGUAGUUAAUUUUAAUAAAAAAAGGAAUUUUUCCACAUCAUUUUGCCUUAACCAUACAAUAAUAAGAAGAAGAGAAGAAACCAAUCUGAAUUAUACCUGUGUCGCAAGAACCUGCAAAGAGGAACUAAACACCCGAUGAAUCAACUUCCACUUCAAAUAAAUCAUAUAGUUCUCCUGAACCUGCCGUGGGAUAAACACAUCCCUCACGGCCUCGACGAAACCCUCGAAAGCCUUAUGAAACCCAUCGAAGUGAUCGACGUCUUCUCGAUCCAAUCGCACCAUGCGGAGCUGGGCACCAUCCCAAACGUACCGCAAAGCUUUGCCGGAGCCCUGGACGACGACGGGGAAGCGUACGGCCUCCCAGCCACCGCAUCUCUCCGCAUCGCCGAGCUUGAAACGGCACGAAACCCUCGAAAAAUCGGGAAAAAUGGGAGCUUUUGGAGAAGAUUUAGGGUUUAGGUUGCGGACGAAGGAUUUGUCGAGGAUUGAGUGGGAAUUUAGGGUUUUGCGUCGAUGAUCCCAUGGGAGAAUAGCGAGUUGAGAUUGGAGAUCGAUGUGAGAGGCGAAUUGCAUGGGAAUUUUUUCCCAAAUUUCUCGAAUUAUGAUGAAAAAAAAUUUGUUCGGGGAGGUUUCAAAAAACCCUAAACCCUAGGACGUGUGCUGUGAACGGCCAAUGAAAUUGCUUUUACUAUGAACUUUUAAUUUUUUUUAAACAAAUUAUUAUUUAUUGACUAAUUUGAUCAGAUUAACACAAAGUGAUUGUGAUGGGAGUAGGUCUUGUGUGCAUCAGUGCUCCUAAGUCGAUUUUGAUAAUAGAGCUUCCGAAUCGACGAUCAGCUCCAUUAGACUUGAUCUAGCAUAUUUGAAGUAUCUAGAAAAUAAAUUUUGUGACUUUUCGAUAUCAUUUACCUAACGAUCGAAAGGGUUCAAAAUUAACUGCUGAAAAUAAAAAUCUUACAAAAAGUGGUGAUGUAGUAUAAAAAUUUUCGAUCAAACAGAUCUUGCUGUAAAUAGUAUAAAGAAUUUUCUAUCAAAAUUUAAUCUAAUUUGAACACUUCUACACCGUUAAACUUGCAAAUGGUAUACAUCAACUAUUAAAAAUUAUUGAUUUUGAACCCUUUCGAUCGCUAGAAAAAUAAUACCGAAAAAUCAUAAAAAUUAUUUUCUAGAUAGUUCAAAUAUGCUAGAUCAAGUCUAAUAGAGCCGAUCGUCGAUUCAGAAGCUCCAUCAUCAAAAACGACUUAGAAGCGCGGAAGUCUCCGUGCUCCUAAUAGCACAAAAGACUUACUCUUAUGAUGGUAAUAUUUUUUCCUAAAUUUGGUUAGGUGUAGAAAGGACGGUUUGAUUUCAAACUUGAGUAAUUAUAAAAAAAUCAUUACUAUUGCAUAAUAAAUGACAAUAAAGUGAGGAAUUAUUAUUAUUAUUAUUAUUAUUAUUUUUGCCGAAUGUAAAUGAUUGAUACUCGAGAUCACAUAUCAUGAAUAAAAAAGAGACUCGAUUACAUAUGCAUGAUUACCUUCGAGAGGAGUGUCUGUAUUAAAAAAAAAAAAAAACACAAAAACUCUCAACAUGCAAAUUGCUGGGAAUUAGAUUCUAAAAAGAAACUCAGCAUUAGGAGCAUAACUGAUCAAAUUCAGUAGGAUUAACACACUUUACGUGCGGAAGAUGAUUAAAUUAUAACUCGUAAUUUACACCCAUCAAAAUAUCAAUAUUUUAAAAGUCGGAUCGAACAUCAACUCGAAAAUAUUACUAAGCCGCUGGUUGAAGAACUAGUGACCUUAAUUAACAUGACAUUAUAAAUAUUAAAUUAUUAUUUUAAAUUUUAUUUUAUAUAUAUAUAUAUAUAUAUAUAUAUAUAUAUUAUUAUAGUAUCAAAUUUAAUUAUUAACUACUGAUUUUUAGAUCAAAUAGAUAUAAAUUUUUAAGUUUUACUUUUUAUAAAACUAAUUUAUACUAACAGAAAAUAAAAUCAGCUAAGUUGAUCUUAAGCUGUUGGAUUUUAAUAUAACUUGAUUUAAAAUAAAAAAAAAGCCGGUUUGGCUAAAAUUGAACCGGUUCAAUAAUUGAACUACCGGUUCAAAUAGUUUAAAAUAAUUUUUUAACUUAUAUGGUUUAAAAAGUUAAAUCAAAUUGCUUUAUAUAUUAAUUGGCUCACGAUAGGGGGGUCAAACUGGCCGAUUAGAGAAGAUUUUUAAAUCAUUGCAAAAUAUGCAUAAAGCAUACAUAAUAUUCAUAACUCACACCUACCGUCCUUAGUGCAAGUGGUAAAGAGUUUGGUGGUUGAUAUCCGAGAUCCCAAAUUCGAAUCCUAGUUGAUUUACAUUUCCAACUAAGUUUAUUUUUAAAUGAAAUAAACGAAACAGCUAGCAUGCUACCUAUAUCUCAAAGAAAAAAAAAAAUCAUAACUCACACAUGUAUACAUGGUUACAUUUUAAGAUAUUAAAAUAUUCAGUAUUACAGUUGCAAAUGGGUGCAACCAUAUAGCUUCUCAGUGUAGUUCUAACCACUGCAUUUGAACCUUUUUAUGCAAUUCGAACUGCAGCAGUUGGAUUCAAACCUAUCAAAUCAAACACUGAAUUUGAAUUUACAUAUAUAUUUACAACUUUAGUGUAGUUUUAAUUACAUACAAUCAAAUGGCCCCUAAAGCAACAUAAUUAUGUGUGGAAGAUGAUUAAUUCUAACUAUUAUAAGCAAGAACUAGUUAUUAGAGGGAUAGGUAUAAGUAUGGGGAUAAGAAAAAAAGUGUUUGGAUGAAAAUUGGGUUGUUCCUGGGGAUAAGAAAAAUAGCGUUUGGAUAGAUAAUAUGGAAUAAGAAAAAUAUUAGAUAGUUUUAUAUAGAAAAUGGAGGUGUUGGUGGGGACAGUUAUAACCGGUUAUUAUAGAUAACUGAGAACUACUGUUCUCAGAUAAAAAAUUAGUGUUUGGGCAUAAAGGAGGGGAUAAGGGCUUAUCCCUAUCCCUAUUCCCUAACCAAACACUGCCUAGCCACCAAGAUAUGCAUAAACAUAUACAAUAUCUAUAACUUGAUCGCAAGCAUAUAUAUAGUAUAUAUAUAUAUAUAGAGUUACAUUUUAGGAUGAUGGAAACUUUAAUAUUACAUAACCGAACAAGCAUUCGGAUUCUCGUCACUGAACACUUGCGGAGUGUAAGCAUACUCAACAUGGUCUCUAUAAGGCCAAUAUUCAUAUUUCUUCGCUUCGUUGCCUUCUUCGCCUUCUUUCUUUUCUUCCUCCUUUUCCUCUUUGUUUUCUUCUUUCUUCUCUUCCUCUUCGGGCUUCUUCUCCUCCUCUUUCUUCUCCUCGUCUUGAACUAUCGACGCUUGUUUCCUUGUCCUCCUGUAGACAUUCUCCACUAGUACUCCAGGGUCGAUAAUGCCUUUAACGAUCACUUGGUCGUUCGACAAGUCCGUUACUACCGAUUCCACACCUAGAUCAUGCAAAAAAUAAAAAGAGAGGACAUGUUAGAUUUUAAAGAAAUGUAUUAAUAUGGCAAGUCGAGUUACGAAGUAACAACAACAGUUGAGCUAGCAUACCUUCCAUUUUUCUUAUCCGCUUCUGUAAAACUUGAGCGCAUGCCUCGCAAUGCAUCCGAACUUUUAGGAUGACGGUAAUCGCCUUUGGCUACAAUUGAAAUAAGAUAAGACAUAAAAUGCAAAAAAUUAAAGGUUGCACAAUUCGAAAGUAAGUCGAAAGCAAAAGAAACCAACACAAAUACUCUAUAUAAGCUUCACGAAGAUGAGUAUGUUUCAACAUAGUAUAUAUCAUUAAUAAUAUACAAGAGAAAGAGUAAAAAAACAAUUUCCUACUCGAUUAAAUUCUUUUUUCAACAAGACAAAAUGUAAAUAUAGUACCUCCUCUUUCUUUUCUUCUUCAGCUUCUUUGUUCUCCUCCUUUUUCUCCUCCUCGGGAGGCUUAGGAAGGGGUGAAAUCAGCUCAACCUUUUUGCCGGUCUUCUUCUGAACCCUCUCACAUAUUUUUACGGGAUCAACUGUCUUCCCCUUUAUCACUACAAUUUUUGAUUUGCUAUCUGCUUUCACAUCUUCGACACCUGCUAAUUAUGAAAAAACUUGUAUUCAGAAUAAUUUCUAAGUUUGUUAAAUAUAGAGAAAAAAAUAUUGACACUUGUGAUGUUGAUUAAUUAUAUAUUCAUAGGGUAUACGACAAAAUAAGAAAUUUUGAACAAGAAAAGGGGGGGAAAAAUGAUGGGGUAUGAAAUUGUAUACUAUCAUAGUCCUUUUCACUAUUAUAUGCGGCAACUUGAUGAGUUUGCUAUGGUAUAUUCACAAGUGGCUCCACCUAGUUACAUGAAAUUUGCAUAACAUUCUAUUCAUAAUGAAAUUCUACUUGGAUGCUCAAUGCUAGCUCAACUUUCAACAACUAAUUAAUUUUCUUUCUCACCAAUUUCGCUUAUCAGAUUUAAAUCACUCAACAAAGCGUUGCGAUAUAUUGUAACGUAGAGAGGAAAAGAAAAUUUAGAGGGUAGAUAGAUAAGAAGUUAACCUUCAAAUUUUCGAAGACACUUUUCAACCUUUCUCGCACAUCCCUCGCAGUGCAUGUCCACUUUGAGCACUAUCUCGGAGGGUUCCUCUUCUUUUUUCUCUUCCUCUUUUUUCUCCUCUGUCGCCUCUUCUUUCUUCUCCUGUUGCUCCUUGUUCUCCGUUUCCUUUUGCUCCUAUAACCAUAAAAUUAAUUGAAUGGUGUUUUCUCCAUGUGAAUAUCGUAUGUAUAUACCUUUGCAAAUUAAGUUGGUAUUCUAAUUGUACCCUCAAAAAUCUUGUUUACUUACAUGCAUAUUCUACUAUGAUUAUAGAUUUUUCACGUAGAUCAUAACAUGGUACCAUGCACAUAAGUAAGGUUUCAAGGGUAAGCGUGAAACGUUGUUGAAGUAGUGAUCAACGAUUGAACAAUUAAAAUCAACUGCAGAUUACUUGGAAGAUUUCAACAUAGAAGAAGUAAACUUACUUCUCCCAUAUCCUUUGCGAAUCACAAAAGAGACUUAAUUGGCCCGAUAUGUAACUGUUAAGAUGAUACACAAGGGCUCGAUCUUCUUUUUCUCUCUUCUUUCUUCUUCUUUUUUUUGUAGUAUAUUUACAAAAGAUAAAUGGGGAGAGAGCUCUCUUUUCCUUGGAGGAAAAGAGAGCCUAAGGCCCUUCUCCCACUCUUUGGUUUCUUUUCCUCUCCCUCUCUAUCUCUAACACAUGUUCCUAGCUAGGGGAUAUGGGGGUUUAUAUAGGUAGGGGAUGUGGAAUUAUUGUGCGCAUUGGCCUACGAAAAUGAAGUGUUCUUCGUCUCUUCUUGUUCAAACUGGUGCACAAAGUACCUUUUUUUGGACAUUCUCAUCAAACGUAUCAAUAAAUUAGCUUUAACACCUUGAAUCUUUCUUGUUGGCUUGUCCUUAAGAGAGGACUUCUUACAAGAGAUAACCUUAUAAAAAGAGGUUGAACUGGCAACACAUCUUGUGUGUUGUGUGGGGCUGAAAUUGAAAAUAUGGACCAUCUAUUUUCACGGUGUGUUUUUACUCGUUUUCUUAUAGUGAUGUCUAUGGAAGAUACCCAUAGGAGGGAUCUGGAUGACGACGUGGUCUCUCUUUGGGAUAGGUGGAUGGCCGGGAGUGGACUGAGACCAUCUUAUGAUAGUUUGACUGGUUUAGUAGCAUGCUGGUGGGUUACCUGGCAGGCUAGGAACGAUACGAUCUUUCGUAAUGUCCUACCGAAUCCCGUAUUGUUAGUCUCCAAGAUCAAGCUGUUGACGAACUCUUGGAAAUAAGCUUUCUCGACUAGGCGAGUCUAGCCUCCGGUGUGUUUUUUUUUUUUUCGUGUCAUGUCUUGCUCGAGGCCUUGGUUGCCUUACCCCUCCACUGAAUGAAGCGGGUAGCGUGCUACUUAUUUCUUAAAAAAAAAAGAAACAUCUUGAAUAUUCCACGGGAUGAUAUAUAUCCGAACACAAUCUUGUUUAGGGCAAUGUUGCACCUACAAUAUUCGAGGCGCGCGUAAAGGAGAUGAGUACAGUAUGGAUCAAGAAUCGAAUGCAAUAUACGGUGGACCCGUCACUACUUUUUCACCAUCGAAAGCUCAUAAACACUCCACAAAUGUCACAAUUGUCGCGUGAUGUGUGAGUAGGAUUUUAGAUACCAUUAACUAUUGGCUUUUGACCUGCCUCAAUAGUGACUCCUUUAAGAAGGAUCGAUCUAGUGGAUCUUAUGAUCAUGUUACUCUACUCGACCCCAAUUCACUACCAAAUCACCUUUAGUAAUAUUAUUUUAUAUGUUUUUGUAUUUUUGAAUGAAAUGUCUUACCUACUAAAAUAAUCCUAAUUUUGAAAUAAUUAGUAGCUUGAUAUAUAAAUCGAUGUUCACUUAAUUAAUUACCUGCUUAAUUCCUCAUUCCACCGAAGGAUUCAUAUUACAUAUUGAAACUCUACUUGAACAACACUAUCUUUAGGUACGAAUUUUUGCACCCCCCAACCUUAAAUAGAUUUGUGUCUCCAUUGCCUUCGCUCGUUUUUGAGCUGUAGCUAUAUUUAAUUGAGUCGAACACGGAAUUAUAUAUGAUGUUUUUCACCUGGUAGCAAGAUAAAACGAAAUGGAUUAGUUUUUUUAAAACAAUACUGCUUGGAUAAUCCUUCAUCAAAUAUAUUAUAUCAUACAACAAAGCCAAAUUUCAUCCAAAUAUCUUUUUAUUUUUCUUGCUUUUCUUAAUUGUGACUUAAACUCGAUCGAAACUUAUUGCUAAAAACACGAAAAUUGUAACCAAGCGAUCUCCUGAUUGGGGGUAUCACACUUGCUUGUCCAAAUUGUACCCGAACGCUCAUAGACCUUUCUAGGGUUACAUGUAUCCAUCGUCAUGGAAUCCGAUACCUAAUCAUCGAGACGUAAGGCGAACACUUUUAAGAGUUCAAGAAAUGCUACAUUUGAAAGUUCGAGAAGCAACAUAAAACUUGGAUAAAAGAUCGACAACCAGCGGUGCAGUUUACCCCCUAUAUUAAGACUUAACUCGGUUACGCGGUGGCUAAAAGUACUGUUUGUAAUGCUUUCCACCACAGCACAGUCCGAUAAAUAUGCGAUGCUGUGGUGGGGAUAAGCAUCGUUUUGCUUUUCAUCAUCAGCAUCUUCGUCAUGAGGAUCAAAAGAGGAGAUAAUAAAGUUGGAAGAAGCCAAAAAUAUAACCCGUACGUAUUGACAAAAGCGACAGGCCUUUUCUUUCUUGUGUCGUUGUAUGGGCAAGUUGCCACUAUAUACGAAUCUCGCAAAAAAGAACCAUGGGUGUGUAUAUACGUAUCCCGGGCUUGUAUUAUCGUAUAUAUUAUGUGUAGUCUACAACGUUACGUUUUACAUUUGCUAUAGAAAAUAAUAAAAUAAUUAUUAAAAGAAAAAAAUAACCUACCAUGCACGUUUCUUACGUGUGAACAAUAUCAUACAUUUAUAUACGAAAAGCAAAAAUUUAUGCAGUGUUUGUACCGUAGAACCUUUUCAUUAGUCUUUCACAUUGCUUUAAGAAUUGUACUGAUUAAUUGUGCAUGAUAAGUUUUUCAAGUCAUAUGAAGUUAUUGAACUUUAAUCAAGAAUAAUAUGAUUUUUUUUUCAAAUUUUUUUUAUAUUUUUUAUAAAGUUUUAAAAUUUUCUCUUUAUCUUUUGUUUCAAGUAUAUAUACUCCUGAAAAUUUUCUCCGAGGAUUUAUUUGAAGGAAUUUAAAUUUUUAGAAUGGUAGAUUUGAGUAUAGAUGGACAUAUAUGAAUGUAGAUUUGUGUUGAGGGGUGUAUAGAAAAAUUAUCCAAAAAAAACAAAGAUUCAAUUAUUUUUCAUAUAAGAUGAUAAUGUUUGGUUGGUAUUUGUUUAUGUCUUAUAGAGAAGGUUUUUUUUUCGUUGGUUCUUUCUCCCCAGCUGUUCAGCGAAUACAUUAAUGCAAUAAUAAUAUGUUCUCUAACUUUUGAUCCAAAUUAAAUUUUAAUGCAUAUCAUGUAUAUUGAUAAGCUAAAUCAAUUAUUAAUUGUCAUAUAUACACAACUAAUUUGUCAAUAAUAUUCAGAGGAAUAUAUCAUCUGUUUCUAGUGCAAGCGGUAAGGGGCUUCAUGGCUGAUACUUAAUCAUCCAUGUUCGAAAUCUAGUUAUUGCACGUUUAUAGCUAACUUCAUUUUCUUUAUUGAGAGAAAAUUUUAUAAUUUUGAAUAUUUACGACUUAAACAUCAACAAGGCCUCAAAAAAUAGAAUGAUAGAAAAAGAGAGAUUAUUCGAUUAAUUAGAAACUAACAUCCAAGAUAGAUCAAUUAAUGGUUUUUGAUAUAUGUAGACUUUUUUAAUAUCUGAAUAUCGCAGAACACAUCAGUUGAACUAAUUAACUUUGUUUUUGACGCUUCUAUCAUGAAGUUUCAGAGAUGCGACAAAUCAAUAAUUCCGCGUGUUAUUCAAUCAUAAAAUGAGAAUAUUCUCUCCAAAAAGCUUUGUUCUAAUUCCCACCCUGAUCAAGCCAAUUUGUUCCAAGCCCAAGCCUUAUAUACCACACAUAUACAAUGUGGUCCAAAGUAAGGAUGUGACAUAUUGGACGGUUAUAUUCCAUUUUAUCAAAAGCCAUAACUUUAUAGAAUUAUUAUAUAUAUUAUGGUUAAUAAUUUGAUGGGGUAAUUGGUGAAUGUGAUUGCCUUAGGAAAAGAACAAUGAGAUUGAGCUUAGCCAAUUGAUUUUGAGAGGCCUAAAUCAAACCAUUUGUUGCUGCUGAUUGUAGGGUGCAUGAUGGUGUGGGUCACAUGGUGUUGAGUUGGUUUAAUAAGAUCAUACGUGAUGGUGGUAGCUGGUGCUUGUUCAUGGUGUGAAUUCAAAGAGAAGUUCAAUUCAUGGGGGAUUUAGAUGCAAGUGAUGGGGGAUUUAGAUGCAAGUGGACCAGCUCGACCCAAACCGAGGACGCGAUUCGAAAUUAAAAUGAUUUAGACGUCGAGCAAUUCUUGUUCGCUCGUGUGUUGGAUCUAGUUGGAUCUAGUUGCUAGAAGAACCAAAAGUAGCUUUUUCAAUAAAAUUUCCUCUAGAAGCUUACCAUUGCGAUAAUGAUAACUUCUUUUAACUUCAUAAUAUUAUUAUCGACUGUCUCUGGCGCAAGUGGUAAAUGGCUUGAUAAUUGGUAUCCCAAGUUUCAAAUUCGAAUCCUAAUUAAUUCAUAUUUUCAGCUAAGUAGCAUGCUAUCUAUCUCUAAAAAAAAACUUCAUGAUAUUGUUUUUCAAAGAAACAACUAUCGCAAAAGCUAUGUCAAAUAGGCACUUCAGUAAACAUUUUGAUCAAAUAGCAACAAAUAAGAUUUUGAAAACUUGAAAUAAGAUUUUACCCGAAAAGUAAUAGUUCUAAUUUAAAACUUCCAUCUUUAAUUGAGUUGCGAAGCUAAGAAGUUUCAAUGAAUAUGUGGGCCUGAAAUGAACCUAGUUGGAUUUAGGCUCGCAUUACAUUGUUUGGGCCCGGGCAAUCCGACACUAUAAGUUAGAUUGUGGACUUAGGCUACAUUGUAAUGGGCGGGCCAAAUUACCUCUUAAUUAAAACCAAAUUUAUUCAAAUAAACCCCUCCAUGAGGGAGAAAUUACCGUUUGCCCCUCCGUCGUCGUCACUGCGGAUAAGGGAUUUUGUUACCCACUCACAAACCCUAGCUGAGAGAGACCAACAAUGGCUUCUCCCUCCUCUCACCUCCUCCCCCUCUCUCCCUCCUCCGCUCCCUCCUCCUCUCUCAUACCCCCAUGGACGAAGACACAGACGAAGACGAAGCCCACUACCAGAACCCACCCCUUCUCCUCUCUCCACUCCAAACCCACCUUCUCCCUUCCCCUCCACCACCCUCCUAGGGUUUCUCUCGAAGACCCGCUUCUCCAAACCCCCUCAAACCCCUCCCCGAAACCCCACUCCACCUUCAAGAACUCCAUCUGGGUCAACCCCAACAGCCCCCGCGCCGCCGCGCUCCGCCGCCGCUCCGCCGACUCCCGCUACGCCCGCCUCGCCGAGAUCGCCGGAACCCUAGACGCCGCCGAGCCCUCUGACGCCGCCAUUGCCGACCUGCUCCUCACCUCCUUAGGCCACAACCCGUUGGAGCACGAGGCAGUGAUCGUCCUCAACAACAUGGAGAGCUCCCACAACGCCGUGCUCGCGCUCCGAUGGUUCCAGAGUGUGAUUAAGGUCAACAAGGAGGUAAUCCUCUACAACGUGACCUUCAAAGUGCUUAGGAAGUGUAGAAAUUGGGAUGGGGUCGAAACCCUUUGGAAGGAGAUGUCGGAGAAGGAGAUAAACCCUGAUAAUGUAACAUUCUCUACUGUGAUCAGCUGCGCCAGGCUCUGUAAUUUACCGGCUAAAGCCGUGGAGUGGUUCGAGAAGAUGCCCGAAUUCGGGUGCAACCCAGAUGACGUCACUUACUCGGCCAUGAUCGAUGCUUACGGCCGAUCGGGCAAUGUGGAGACCGCUCUUAAGCUCUAUGAUCGUGCCCGCAAGGAAAAAUGGCGACUUGAUCCCGUUACGUUCGCCACGGUUAUUAGGGUUUACAGUUCUUCGGGUAAUUUCGAUGGUGCGCUCAAUGUGUUCGAGGAAAUGAAGGCACUUGGUGUGAAGCCAAAUUUGGUUAUUUAUAAUACUUUGUUGGAUGCCAUGGGCCGGGCUAGUAGGCCGUGGCAAGUGAAGAACAUUUAUAGAGAGAUGAGCGACAAAGGGCUUUUGCCUAAUAGGUCCACUUACGCCGCGCUUCUAAGAGCGUAUAGUAAGGCUCGGUAUGCUGAGGAUGCCCUGACUGUGUAUAGGGAGAUGAGGGAGAAAGGGUUCGAGCCGAACGUAAUAUUGUAUAAUAUGCUUUUAUCUAUGUGUGCUGACAUCGGCUGUAUCGAUGAAGCCGCUGAGAUUUUCGAAGAGAUGAAGGGAUUACCGGAGAAUUGUCAGCCCGAUAGUUGGAGUUACUCGUCUUUGAUCACUGCUUAUUCUUGUAAUGGGCAGGUUUCGGAGGCAGAAACGAUGUUGAAUGAGAUGUUAGCAGCGGGUUUUCAACCUAAUAUUUUUGUUCUCACUUCGCUCAUCCAAUGCUAUGGAAAAGCCCGACUCACUGAUAAUGUAGUAAGAGCUUUCGACAAGCUCGCGGAGUUGGGUAUCACACCGGAUGACCGAUUCUGCGGUUGCCUUCUGAAUGUGUUGACUCAAACCCCAGAGAAUGAGUUAGAAAAAGUGAUUGGUUGCAUCCAAAGAUCUAAUCCUCAACUGGGUUCUUUAGUAAAGCUACUUGUAAAUGAGAACACUCCGAUUAGAGCAAUCAAAGAAGGAGCUAAUGAGUUAUUCAGCAAUAUCGGUAUUGAGGUGAAGAAGGCUUAUUGUAACUGUUUGAUAGAUCUUUGUGUUAAUCUCAAUCAAAUGGAAAGAGCUUGUGUGCUUUUUGACCUAGCACUUAGACUCGAGAUUUAUACAGAUCUUCAAGCGAAAUCUUCUACGCAGUGGUCUUUACAUGUGAGAAGCCUUUCGCUGGGGGCGGCUUUGACUUCACUGCAUGUUUGGAUGAACGAUUUGUCGAAGGCUUUGCAGAACGGGGAGGAGUUGCCCCCAUUACUCGGAAUCCAUACCGGCCAUGGCAAGCACAAGUAUUCUGAGAAAGGGUUGGCUUCGACUUUUGAGUCGCACUUGAGGGAGCUCAAUGCACCGUUCCAUGAGGCUCCCGAUAGGGUGGGGUGGUUUCUGACGACCAGCGUCGCUGCUAAGUCGUGGUUGGAGGCGAAGAGUUCGCCUGAGUUGGUUACUGCUUAGGUAUAUGCAUUUUCCUACCUAAUCAGGAUGUUGUUUGUAAGGAGGAUUUUUUUCCACUUUUCAAUAUACCAUUUUUGAUCAUCUUGAUAUAGCCAGAUGCUCUGUUUCUUGCAAUGUUGUUACUGUGGGGCAUAAUGGUAGCUUUGUCAUAAACUUGUGUUCUGUCUCUCACAGUUCGUAUUUGUUUCAUAAUAUUUAAUUAUUCCUUUACUUUGCUAAUAAUUUUCCAUAAGCAAGAUGAUUUAUUUCCUAGGACCUGGAGGAUACACAGGUAAAAGAACAGUUUUGAGAGCACUGAUUUGUGUUAGAUGCUUGAUAAUAGUUACAUUUUAAAAAUCUUACAAGGUGCAUAGGAUCCAGCUCCUGCAACGGCUAUGCUUUCAUGUGUCCUUAUUGCCAAAAAUUGGUCAUUCUGUUAGUCAUUUUCUUCCUUGUUUUGCUUUUUCUCUCAUUGACGGUUUUAAUUAUGAUAUAUCGAGUCACUGGCUACAACUUAAUGCAACUGUUCAAUUAGGAUCGAUCAAGCUCAACUCAUUUCCACCCUUUUAUCUCAUUGGAUCCUCAAAUCACACUACCAGUUCAUACCAUUUUUGCAUGUAGAAUUGACAGAAAAUUCAUCAGAAUAUGCAAUAGAAAAAAGUUUGCUAGGUUUACUAGCAGUCUUCUCAAAUUCUCAAAUGUUUUACAAAAAUAAAUAAUAAUUGAAAAGAAAAAAAAAAAGAAAAAGAAUGACCAUUCAGCACAAAUAGAUUGUACAAUAAUGUUGAUCUUAUCUUAUGGGCCCAACCUCCUAGAAAAACUAGCUAAAUGACAAUAAAUUGCAAUACGAAAAAGAACAUCAAUCACCUAAGGCAAUCCAAAAUUUACCCCCUCUGUGUAAUCACCUAGCAUACACCUAGUCCGCUUUUCUACUGUGCAAUAAAUAGUUCCCCAUAUUAAUUUCCAUAGGAUCCAUACUAUGAUGCAAACAUCAAUCCUCAGCAGAUGAGAAGAGUCGCUUUUGCUCGAUUGUUCGUGUUCACUUUUUCUGCGUGAUGUACACAACAACAUCAAUAGCUACGCGAAUGGGUCCCAGCGAAUUUCAAGGAUGGAUGAAUUCGAGGCUGGUUGCGGUGGGGGUCAAGCCAUGGUCAGCCAAAUAUUGAUCAUUGAAGAACUUGCUAAGAUGCCUCAUCCCACUGUCGCAAAGGAUUGUCACAAUUGUGUGGCCUGGACCUAAAGCUCGUGCUACUCGUACAGCUCCAACACAGUUCAUGGCUGAAGAGCUCCCGACGAAUAGGCCGUCAUUCCUCAGAAGAAACCUGAGAAGUAAAACCGAUCAUCUAUUAGAGCAACAAAUAGCCAUCGAGUCUACAUACCAUGUGCUAUGGUCUACAAUCAUUGUUCAACCUCCACUAUCACGUUACGGCUACAUCAUAGACAGGUAAAUUGCAUUAUAUAUGUAUAAUGGACCAGUAUUAAAAGGCCAAAAAGUUUUGACUUCUAAACCAUGAUUUUUUGCAUAUCAUCACCUUAUCGAGAUGGCGGUUAUCAGCGCCUAUAACUCAUAGCAGGAGAAGUGGUCAUACCUUCAUAAAGACCAAUACUGUUAAGGAAUGAUAGAUCACAGAACGAAAAUAAGCUCAAUGCCAAAGCUUCUAAUAGGUAUCUCAAAUUAGUUUACAACUUUUUUUUUGUGUUUUAUGAUCGCACAAACAGUUAGGCAUCACAACUUAAUAAUGUUCAGAUGAUUAACCUGGACAUUUCGACAGCUUCCUUAUCAGUGCCUCGGUAAGCUCCAUCCAACUCUGCCAUCAUGAAAUUCUUGGUCACUCUGUUGAUUCCGAUCCCUUCUGUAACUGUAUCAAAAGGGUUCUUCAGCCUUCGGCCUUCCGCCUCCUCCUUAGUGUACAUCACUCCUCUUGUCACCUUAUUGAACAGACCAGACCCUGGCGGGUCAAUAAGGAAGCAUUUGAUCUUCGGAUUCUUUUCCUGAAAGGUAACAAGAAUGAAAAAUUCUACUAAUAAUACUAUUCUAACAAUAUAAAGAAAUUGUGAAUUAUAAGAAGGAAAGAAGAAAAACCUUGAGAAAUUGAGAAACUCCAGCGACAGUGCCACCUGUGCCAGCAGCAGCAACAAAGGCAUGCAAAGAACCCUGACUUUGUUCCCAUAUUUCGGGUCCAGUCCCCUCAUAGUGGGCCCGAAAGUUUGCUAAAUUUUCAAACUGAUCAGCGAAAAACCCUCCUCUACAAUCAGCAGAGGAGAUGGCAUUGCCCUGUUCCCCUUGCGGCGUAUGACCAUUCAUGUGUACUGAACCAUUGGCUUCUGUUUUGUUCGCUUCCCUUUGCUUUGCCGCUAACUCGGUUGCCUCUAACGCCCUCCUCCUUGCUACGUUAACAUAGUGGUCCUUGUGUGUAAUGGAAACCGGCCGCACUCUUUCUACGGUAGCUCCAAGGGCCUCCAGUAUUUGAGACUGGAAAAAGUACUUCAAACUAAGAACUGAAAUGUACAAACAAAACAGUAUAAACUAGAAAAUAACUUCUUGUACUACUGCUUGUCUGCAUAAUCUUAUCAAAUCUCAUAGCUUUUCUAGAAUAGUUGAUGGUUCUUGACUUAUAAUCCGAACUCGGCAUAUCAACAAAACUGAUUUCAACGAAAGGUGACCAAAGAACUUGCAUACCUUCUCAACGGCGACGUCGUCCGGGAUAACAACAUGGCAUUUGCAUCCAUAUGCAGGAGCAACAGUGGCCAGGCUUAUAGCAGUGCUCCCGGCGCUUCCCUCGGUAACUACCCCGCCCCGCUCGAGCUCUCCAGUUUCUAAAGCCUAGAGAAAAAACAAAAAAAAAUCACAUUUUAGAACCCGUCGCAAUCAUAAUUUACGCUAGAACUUAAAUGAUCCAUCCUACUGAAAAACAAACUAAGGAUCAUAUAAAGCACAGUAUAAGAUUCUAAAAUAAAGUUUUUACAGAUAACACACUGUAAGUAUGGAAGCCAAAAUUAUACAUUCAACACAACAGUUCACAAGUAAAAUCAAAUAUUGAGAAAGUAUGAAUCUGAAUAGAUGACAACAUUAAAGUGAAAUAACAAGAUUACUUAAUUGCUCUCUUAUGCAAUUAAAUCACUAAAACAACAACCACAAAGGAAACCCUAGAACAAACAAAGGUAGUUAAGAACGAACAGAGAGGGAUCAAUCACCUCUUCAAUGAUUUUAGCCGCAACCCGAUCCUUCACGCUCCCACCAGGGUUCAAAAACUCGGCUUUCCCAAGAAUCUGAACCAAAAAUUUACAAAAAAUCAACAUAUAUAAAAAAGAACACCCCAUGUUUCUCCCCGUCACCUUCCAAGUUGUCGAGCGCAAAAAGGAAACCCUAUAAAAGGUAGGGCCGAAUUGUUAGUAUACCUCGCACCCCGUGGCAUCGGAGAGGCUGUUGAUUCUGAUGAGCGGCGUGUUCCCGAUGGCCUCGACGAGGCCCUUCCUCUUCGUGCGAUUCCUAGGGUUUCCUCCGCGGGGUCUCCGCCAUGGGCGCUUCGCGCUUCGGCUGAGUAGGAGCUGGUACGAGACGAGGGCGACGGAGAGCGCCGNCGAGCGUUCGCCGCCGCCAUAUAUCUCGAUCGCUCUCGAUCUCGGGAUUGGGGUUUUGUUUGAAGAGGUUUUUUCCGCUUUGCAUAUCAACCGCUGUCAGAGUGUUUAAUUUUGCUUCAGACCCUUAAAUUUUUAUAAUUACAAAAAAUUUCCUUUUUGUGCUCUUAGUAGAAUAUAGUGUUCCUACAUUGGCCUUUUGUUUCCUUGAUGGCGUUAUGAAAAAAAAAAAUCAUUUUUUAUAAUUAAAACAUUAAUUUUAUUUAAUUUGAUUUAACUCAAAUACUAAACAAUCAUCAGAUUUAAUAAAGAUGAUUAUCUACAAAUUUGUUUAGAUAAUCAUCCCAUUUCUCUCACUUGCGCAACAAAUAAAUUGGAUACUGUUAAAGUGAAGAACAAAAAUACAUAAUUACAACAAGCUAUUCAACCAUCCUUCAACUCUGAGAUAUAUAAUCAGCACAGUUUCACAUUUGUUUAUACAAUAGCCACCACAAGCAAUUAAUACAAACAUUUCAAAAAGAAACUUAAUAAUAACCAAGCCUAGCUUUAGAUCUAACAUCAAAUUUUUGAGUUCCGAAUUUUACGAUCACCUUCAAGUUCUGUACUUCUGCACGGCUUCGUCGAGUUUCGCAGCCCUGCAGAAUCAAUUACCAUGUUAUAACUCAGAAAAGCAAAUAUGUGCUCCUCUUUCAUUUCGUCGUCUUUGUGAUUACAGGUUACAUAUUCGCCGUUUUAUACAACGGUACGAGGAGAUUUUACAGAUCACUGAAACCUAAUUUGCGAGAAGCAGUUACACUGCUCCUAGUUGCUGAUCAAAGCACCUGUUUGUAACUUCGCUCUUUCGUUUAUUUUCCUUCAUCAUGGAAAGUGGUGAUUCCUUUUCUGUAGCCGCUGCUUCGCUCCUCGUCUUCACUGAUUCAUCUUCCUUUUCUUGUACCACCUAAAUCACAGAGGAAACAAAUGAACCUACCAACAUACAAUUCAAUUUAUCUACAAGUUGCAUUUCGUUUUUUUUUUUUUUUUUCUCUAACCUGGAUUUCGCCGUCUUUGGGACUAAGAAGUCCUCCUUUUUCCUCACGUAAUUUUCUCGAGUUGAUAACCUCCUCUGAAACACCAUUACUUGGUGGCUCAAUCUCAGUAUGCGCAUCAGCUUUAACUUGUUGUGGUCUGGGAACAUUUUUGCCGAAAUGCGCACUAGAGUUGAUAUUUCUUCCUUUAUUUUCCUUCCCAGUAUCGUCGACGAAUUUCCUCGAUUGAGCCCAUAAGUUCUUCCUAACAAGAUAGUAUCCGUUAACGGACUUUCUGGUACUGUCGACACUUUCCGAUACUGAAUUAGGCUGAUUUGAUACUUUUGCUGCGACAGAAGCCCGUGGCUGAGAUGUCGAUCUUUUUCUCUCAGCGCCCUGGGACAAAGAAUUUGGCUGCUGCAGCACUUUAGAAGCAUGAGUUUGCCUCGGGUGAGAAUUCGGCCUUUUUAUCGUCACUUGCUCAGAAUCAACAGCUGCUGUUGCUGGCAAAUUCGAUACAUUUUUCAACCCUUCUUCUAAUGCCUUCAACCUCAUUUUCAGUUUCUCCUGCAAAUUUAGUUAGAUAAAGUUUAAGUAAAAUAAGAAGAGAUCUAAAUUGCAGGAACAAAAACAUAAUUUGUCAUGCCACAUACUUUAAGUUGUGAUUCGGCCUUAGCUGUUCUUUCAGCUACAGCAAUCUUAUCUCUCAACCUUUGUAUCUCUGCCUACAAAUGCAUUAUACAAAUUAAUCCAAGGAAAUAAGAUCUCAUCGACUGCGAAGAAACAACUUGAAAAGUAACUAAAAAACGGUGAGUCAUACACCUGGAAGAAUCUUCUCUCUUCUAGCCAUUGUUUAACAGGCAUGACUUUAUCUCUAUCGUCCUUCCACUCGUUGGCCGCCACCGAUGCUACGCGAUUAGCUGAAACUCCAACUCUUGCUAAUUCCCUCUUGAGAAUCCUCUUCUCCUCCUAUAAGAUUAAAGCAUCCUCUGUUGUCUCAAAAAAGAAAAAACACUGCAUGGAGAUUAUUUCAGAAACAGUUUUGGACAAAAUCAUACUUUCAUCUCAGAAACUUGGCGCUGGUAGUCUCGUACAGCAUUCGCAGCUGCGCCACCAGCAAGAAUGGAUUCCUCGAGUUCACGAAUAGUUUGAGUAAGCUUUUCGACCUCCACAGUCCUUUGGCGAUUCGUUUUCUCUACGAACUUUUUUUCUUCCUGAGAAUGAUGAGGAAUGAGAGUUGUUAACAUAAUACUUUUAGCGGUGCUUUCACAUGUACAUUCCUGCAAAAUCAGCUACUUUAGGAUCUUCUUUUAUCUACCAAAUUAUCUAUGGUUAGUACCUGGCAAAUCUCUAUUUGCCGCCUCAGCUCAAUAUUCUGGUUUUGCACUUCCUCUACAAUAAGCGCCCGUUCGAGAGCACCGCAUAAAAUAUUUUCUGCUUCAAUCAGCGCUGCCUCUUUCGACUUCGUAGCCCUUUCCGAAGCCUUCUUAUCCUCUUGGAGCAUAGCAACCUGCGGCACAAAUCCAGAAACUCGAAAAUUCAAAGCUCAAACAACUAGUCACACUUGUUCUUUGCAGCACAAGGCGAAUUCGAAUUCGAACCUCGUUCUUGUAUCUUUUGAUCUCAGACUCGAGAGGUGCGACAAUAGCUUCGAGCGGAAUUGUUUUCUCAUCCUUUUGUCCCGCGUGAACUCUUCUCAACGCCGCUUCGGCAGCGAACUGCGCCGCCAAUGCCUCUUUCUUCUCAUUGGUUAGCCUCUUUAUUUCUAGAUUCUGUUAUUCUUGAUUCUAAAAUAGUGAGCACAAUUUUCCAUUUCUUUCUCUUUUUUUUUAAACAAAGUUGGAUUCAAAUAAAGGCACCUUGUCCUGAAGUUGUUUCUCGGCAGCUCCGAGCUUUUCAUCCAGUUUUUUCAGUUCAUUGCUUAGCUGCAAAAUAUGAAACGUCAGAUACACAAAUGUUCACACAAUCAGAAGUGGAUUUUGCUUCUACUGCCUAUACUUGCAAUCACUAAUGGAUGAAUACAUUAUUUUGUACAUCGAUUACCUCGACGACGGCCUUAUCUUUCAGAAGCUCUGUCACCUUCAAGGCCUUUAUCUCAUUAUACGCGAGUACGAGUUCUCUCUCCUUUUCUGCGAAUCAGUUCACAAACAAAAGCCAAAGUGACAACCAUAUGCAUUAGAAUAACCAACACAGAUGUGUGAUAACCCAAAAUAAACCAAAAAUUAAGUUAAAAAGUAGCCAAAAGAAACCGGAUUGAAGAAUACGACUAAUGGCCUGUUUGGUCUCACUUCUGCUUCUACUUACAGUAACUACAUUCUGAAUAUAAGAUUACGAGCGUCAAAAGAUAUAAGCGCAAAUUUAGCGAUUCUACUUUUGAUUUUGUUGUGGUCUAGUAAUCCAAAAGCUUAAACUGACAUAUGAAUAUAUAUAUAUAUAUAUAUAUAUAUANCUCCAAUCGAUUAAGUUCGAGUGCGAGAGGAUUGGAAUGGCUGGGAAGCAUGUCUUUCCCGCCCAAACUACCCAUGUUGCUGACAAUUCUGUGUUCUCAGAAGCCUCUGUUUCCCACCUCACAAGUGACUAAAGUGAGGACUCCUGCAACCAAAUGAGCAGGUUUGGGCCCAAUUUAUGAUAUGGGUUUCGUUAAGAAGAGCCCAUUCUUUUACUCAAAAGAUACAGAGAGGACAAGAGAGAGACAGAGAAGAGAGAGAAUGCCGCGUUGCAGGUAGAGAGAGAGAAAGAGAGAGAGAGAGAGAGAGGGAGAGGGAGGGAAAAGGGGACCAGCAGAUGCACUGCUUUGAAAGCCGGCUACAGCCGGCCUUGGUUGAUUGGGAUGGAAAUGGAUUCGGGUUGAUGGAACUUUCGUCCCGAUCCAUUCUGAAUAAGACGCUAAGUGAUAGGUAAGAGUCAAAAAUAAGAAAGGAGAAAUAAUCUGUUUUGAUCUUCUAUGAAGAUAGAGGCGGAUAGAAAAUCUUUUUCUUUCUGUGAACCGUCGUGAUCUGUUCAAAAUUUACUAAAAACUCACUUUCAUCUUGACUCGCCACAAUGAAACAGUAAACGAGAAAUAUGAAUAAGAUGUUGACCCAUCUAAAUCCGUCAAAAAUAUUGGGCGAGAGGUUCCCGCCUCCUGCAGCUCCUCCUGGAUCCACAUUGUUUGCAUCCUAGUUUAGUGGGUAUUAGUAAUCCAUUUGUUGGUAGAGAUUAAUGGGGUGACUUGAUAUUUUCUAAAGUGUAUAUAUAUAUAUAUAUAUAUAUAUAUAUAUAUAUAUUCUUAUGAGAAAUAAAGAAAAAAAAAUUAGCGUCUAAAGACUCUAAACUCCGCACCCAAAUAUUUAACAAAUGAUAUCUUAAAAAGUCAUGAAUUAUAAUAGUCAUACGAAUAGAUCAUCAUUUGAUUUAUUAAGAGUAGCAGUUUAAAAUUUUAUAAGUUUUAAUAUGACGGCCUUCUGAACGUACAAAUAAGUCUAUUAAGUCGAACUUUAUUUUGAAAUCUAUACCAUAGGAUCUUAAAAAUGGAGCGUGUAAUAUGUAUUUGUAUACCUUGUGUACAAUAAGGCCAUAAUUUUAGGUGAGUAUUUAGAGAAUUAGAGAAGUUUAAAGCACAAUAAUAGACAAAAUGGAAACAUUGGUAUAGACAUAUAUGCUUACUUAAUAAGAUUCUCACAACUGGUUCUUAAUUAUCCAGAUGAUGUCGAUUGAUAUGAUUGGUGAUAAUAACUGUCUCGGACUACUAUGUGUAGGGUAAGUAGUGAUGAUUGCAUAGCUUGACUUUUUUGGGGUUUUAGGUGAAGGCCAAAAUUAACACAUUAUCAUUUACAAUGUUCCCUUUUUUCACUUCAUAUUUGCAUCUUAGUGCUUAUUAUUAGAAUGUUUAUUUUUUUAAGAAAAAAUUGAGUUAGUAAUUUAUAACUUCUUCUAAUUAAAGAUGUUCGCAAAUUAUAACACACGUACGUAUCUAUAUAUCAAGAAUUUAUCAAACAAAGGCUUUAAAGGCUUGAAGUAUGUAAGAAAUAACAUAAAAAGGACUUCAAUAAAAUUUAUUGGUUAAUUUGUUCCUGGAAUUCAUCUAAUUAAGGCUUUAGUGGCUUAGAAAGAUAAAAGGUAAAUUUCAAUUUGCUCCCCGUUAAGUUUAACGAUACUUUGUCGCUCCAUAGUUUAAAAAAUUGCAUAUAACAAUCAUGUAAUCUUACUUUUCUUUCACCAAAAAAUCCAUCCGUCAAAUAAGAUAGCAAAGUAAUUUUUUUUAAAAAAAAUCAUACAAUGUAUAUCAUGUUUAGCGAUAGUUUCUUACAGUAAAAUAAAAAUAAAUUGAAAUGAUAGUUAAAUAUAAUUUUUUAAACCGUGUAAUGGUAAAAUGAAAACGCAAUAUUAAACUGCAAGAUAGCUAAUAAGGUAUAAUUUUUUUUACCACAUGAUGAUAAAGUAGAACUACGUUAGAUCACGGUGAGGUAAAUUAAAGUUUACCUAAAGAUAAAAUUGGUGGGGGGAAAAAAGGACCAAGUCCCCACCUUAGCUUAAAAGAAUGUCACAAAUGUUGCUAUACAUCUUAUUCAUGAAUCUCUCACAUAUGGCUCCAGUGGUCUCCUUUAACAUUGCUUUAGUUUCUUAUACGACAAGGCGACAAAGGAAAGAACACAUCCCCUACCAACAACACCAACAAUGACCAUCAAAUAAAAUAUACCUAACUUAAAAGAAAUCUCUAGCAAUUAAUCUUUUUUUUUUUGAGAGAUAGGUAGCACGCUACCCGCUUCGUUUAUUUCAUUUAGAAAUAAACUUAACUAGAAACGUGAAUCAACUAGGAUUCGAACUUGGGUCUCGGGUACCAACCACCAAGCCCUUUGCCGCUUGCUCUAGGAACGGGCGGUAUCUCUAGCAAUUAAUCAAACCCACACUCUUUUGAUUUAGAUUCUCUUUUGCUCAUGCUUAUCUCUUUUUUGUGUGGAUGAGGGUGUAAAGCAGUAGACACAAAUUAGCUGGUGAAAACUAUGUGUGAGUACAUGCUUUUAUUUUUGAUAUCUAAAAUUGAAGUGGGGGUUCCACCAUGGAGUGUCUCCUCCUUUUGGCAACAUGAUAUGAAGAUUAUCAACAGUCCAUCAACUUAAUUAUGGGGGCUGGUGAAGGCUAUUGUUACCAAAACCAUGGAUGCGCUACUUCUAAAAAAAAAAAAAAAAAAAAAAAAAAAAAAAAAAAAAAAAAAAACACUAUUACUAUACCCAAUAUUGCAUCAGUAAAAACUAGAGUUAGUGUUGUUCCUUUUUUUUUUCCUUUCAUUUUUAUGUUUGGAGUUGAGGCUCGGAGAAUUAUUUCUUUUGUUUAUAUUCAAACCCACAAACUAUUUCGAGCGUUCGGACACCAACAGCUAGAUUUAAGCACGGGUGAUAAUAAUUGUUGGUAUAUAUUUCUUGAUCCAUUUUUUACUAAAUCAAUCUUUUGUAUAAUAUGGUAUCGAAAUCAACUCUAAACUCUUUUCAUUCUGUGAGAUGUUGGGAUCAAUCCCCACUUUUAAUGUCUAACUAAGAAAAUCCUUUCGCUCUAUGGGCCAUGCAGCAUUAUGGUAUAUCAUGUUCAAGCUUUAUGACAAGAGUAAUACUUCUAUACUUUUUUUUUUUUUGUUACCGUUCAUUCACGUGUAUUCAACGGCUCGGAUUUAGUUUUUUUAAAAUAAUGACCUACAAUAGCAGGUCACUUUAGGAGAGGUACCGGUUACCAGGUAUCUCAAAAAAAAAUAUUUUUGUCUUUUAAUACAUGGGCAAUUUAGUCAUUUUACAUCUACUAUAUUUUCCAAAUUUUUAUUUUUUCUUUGUUUCCUUUUUCUCUCUCUAUCUUUCCUUUCAUAAUUUGGCAUUUCAUAUAAGAAAAAUUUCAAAUGAUUUGACAAUAUAAUCAUUGAAUUUAAACUUUAAAUAGUAAUAUGAAAUUCCUCUAAUUUAAAUUUCACUUUUAAAUUUAAAAUUUAAUAUUAUAUUCAAAUUUAUAUUUUAAAAAUUUAAGUUUCAUAUAAAUACUUUGAAAUAUGGUAAACAGAAAUAAUUGUUUGAAUUCUAGUCUUCUGGUUUAGGUUUGGUUUUGGGUUUCGAAAAAUUGGUCAGUUUUGAAUUUGGAUAUGGAUUUUUGAAAUCCGUCGAGUUCGGAAAUAAGUUUUGUGAUUGUUAGUCAGAUUCGAAUUCAAAUUCCUAACUAUUUUUUUUCUCACCAAUAAUUCUAAUCUUUUUAAUUUAUAUGUUUAAAAUUAUAUUUAAAAUAUUUAUUAGCUCUAACAGUUAAAUUAUCAUUCUGUUUAAAAUAUUUAUUAUCUUUACCGGUUCCAAAUUGUUCUUAAUGUUAUUCGGUUCAAUAGGUUAAAAUCAGAUUCUUGAUAGAAUAGGUCAAAGUCUGAUCAGUCAAAUCAAUCGGUUCAAUCUAGUUUUUAAAUCAUUGAAUUUAAAAUUUAAAUAGUAAUAUAAAAUUCCUCUAGAGAAAUCUAGUUGUAGAAAUCUUACUCUCUAAGUUUUUUAUGCAUUACGUUUUAAACUGGUGCGAAUAAACUGUAUUUUAAAUCUUGGUAGAAAUUUAGUUUUUAAAUAGUAAUAUGAAAUUCCUCUAAUUUAAAUUUCACUUUUAAAUUUUAAGUAUUUAAUUUUUAAAAUUUAAAUUCAUCGUAUUUAGAAAUAAAACUAUUUCUAAAAUUUCUAUAAUUUAAAUUAAUGCAUAAUUUGAGAAGCACUAAAACAUUUAAAGUAGAUUCCUAAAUUAAUGCCUAAUAAUUGCAUAAAUUUGGUUAAUCAAUUAAUUUUCUAAAUUAGUGCUAAUUAAUGCAUAAAUUUAGGACGUCAAUUAAAAGUUUUUUUAAAUAUUGUAUUAUUUAAUUACCAAACUAACCUUGAAUAAAACAAUCAUUUUACCUGCUAAGUAUUAAAGUUACAUUUUUACCCUCUAUUAAUCAACGGUUAAGAUCUUUUUUAUUUUUUAAAAAAAAAAGUACCUAAUCAUUUCUCUUGGUUUGAGACCACCUACAAUGUGAAAGCUUAGGAAAGGUUUUUGGGAGGAUUUACAAAUGAGAAAUAAGUUAAUAAGUUAUUUUUCACCUAUCAAUUUUAGUGAAUUAGUCAUCAAUUUGAAAAACUUUUAUGAUUUUAACCCCAUGUACUAUAUAUGACUUAAAAAUUCUACUCUUUUUUUUGGUCUUUUGUGAUUAGAACUUUUCCUUAAAGAAUGAUUGGAUGGAGAGUGUGUACACUUGGAUUUUAACUGUUUCUUAUUGAGUCCAAGAUAUGGUAGGUGAGCAGUAACAUUGUGAGGGGGACAAGCAUGGUUUGAAUCAAAGAACUCAAUAAGAGAAUUAGGGUAGGUGAGGAGUGGUGACAUGAUCUACAGAAGUCGGCUAGGGGAGAGUAGUCAUUGCCGAGUUAGGCUUUGUAAGCUGAUACUUCUAGGGUUUGACACCAACUUGCGUGUUUAUUUCAAUGAAAGCAGAAGGGGUGAAGUUGUUCUCGGCUGUAAAUGCGCACUUUUGUUGUUUCAUUCAUCAUAAAUUAAAUUCACCUCUAAACUCUACUUUCUGAAAACACCAAAAUUGACUUCGUUCAAAAUCAAUUUAUGUGAGAAAAAAAGAUAAAAGAAUAAUAAAAAAAAUCAACUGCUAUAUACGGUGGUGUGAAAAUUUUCAGUAAAAUACAAAAAGGGAUAAUUAAAGUUAAAAAUCAAUUAUUGGUAUUUUGUCAAACAAAUAGAUUUAUUUAUUUAUUUAUUUAUUUUUAUUUUGGUUUCCACUCCCUCUCUCUUGAUGGGGAGAUGGGAGGGAUAAGAAGGGGAUAUUUACUUGAAGUAAGGCAUAAGUAAAUUAUUCACUACUUAUCCUUUACCUGUACUUUAAUAAGGCAAAAAAUUAGAUUAAGCAAUUAGUACGUGUUUAAUAAUAUUUGUUAAUGUAUGGUAAUAUGGAAGCAGGAUUAAUAAAGCUGAAGAAUGAUUGGUAUUUUUAUUACAGUUUGUAAUUUUACAAAAGCAAAACUUUUACCUCACUGACCGUCCCCAGAGCAAGUGGCAAAAGACUUGGUGGUUGGUACCUGAGGCCUAAGUUCGAAUCCUAGUUGAUUCACAUUUUCAGCUAAGCUUAUUUCUAAAUAAAAUAAACGAAGCGGGUAGCAUGCUACCUAUCUCUCAAAAAAAAAAAAUCCUUUUACCUCAAGGCCACUCACAAAGCUAGACACGCAUGCGUAAAGUGAUAGCAAAAUUUUUGAAAGAGAUUUUUCCAAUGAGAAUUAAAAUAUGUAGAGUUUUUUUUUUUUUUUUUUUGAGAAUUAUACCAACGAUCCACCAUUUUAAAAUAGCUAUCCAAUCUUUCAAAAUUUUAUUUUACUAUACAAUUAUUCAAUUUAUUUUAUUUAAGUCAGUCAAUAAUAUUUUGACUUUAAAAUUUAACCCAAUUAUUUACUUUAGUAAAUUUUUAAUUUGCGAGAGUUGCAUGAAGCAUACUGAUUAAAUCUAUAAAGAUAAAGAAUACAUUUACAUCUUGAAGGCAAAGUGUUAUUAACUUACUCAAAUUAAAUAAAUUGAAAGGUUAGAUAGAAAAAUUAAAAUUUUUAAUUUAUGGUUUGAUAGCCAUUUCAAAAUUAUUGGUCCAUAAUUCAGGUAAGUUAUAUAUAUAUAUAGAGUCCGGCUAUUAUUCUAUUAAUAGGAUUGGAGCCAUUGUCCUAUCAAGUCGUUUUGAUUGAUCGGAACUUCAAAUUGAUAAUCGGCACCGUUGAAAUUGAUCUACACAAUUAAAAAUGUUUAGAAACCAAAUUUUGUAAUAUUUAAAAAUCAUUAUCAAGUUCAUCUUAAAAGUUAAAAAAUGAACGGUCGUAAAUGAAUAACCUUCUUAAAAUAGAGGUUAGACUUUCUCAAUUCAUAAUCAAAGUUAUUAAACAUUAUCUAAAUAGUAUAAAAAAUUUUCUAUCAAAAAUUCAAGCAAUUUGGAUUGCUCUACACCGUUAAACAAGCAAACGGCUCAUAGAGGCCGUCAAAAAUUGUCGAUUUUACGAUACUUUGAUCACCAUGUAAAUAAUUUUUAAAAUUUAUGAAAUUUAGUUUCUAGAUAUUUCAAAUACUCUAGAUCAACUUCAACGGCUCUGAUCAUCGAUUCGGAAUCUCGAUCAUCAAAAACAAUUUGAUAGGACAAGUGCUCCUAUCCUAUUAAUAGGAUAGUAGCUCUAGCAUAUAUAUAUAUAUAUAUAUAUAUAUAUAAUUUUUGUGGAACAUUUAUUUGAAGUUCAUGACAUUCUCUAGUAAAUUUUUGGUGAUAUUAACGUAUCAACUUCUUGAUUGGUUUUGGCACGAUCCAACGGAAAAAACAAAAAACGUUCACUCUACAUAUUUUCAUGUAAAUCUUUUCAAUUUGAGUCUUUCUUUCAUAGAAAUUCCUAAUAACUUCACCUUUAUGCCCCGUAUCUAUAUACAGUUCAAGUUUUAUAAGCUUUGUAUAUAUGUAUAUUCCUAUCUUUAUACAAUUUCAAAAAAAAAUUCUAAUUUACUGUGUUUUCCAGAUGCCAUUGGGAAUACUUGAAAAGAACACCUCUAACAAAGAAACUGCAAAUGGUUAACAAGAAAAGAAUUGAGAUCAGUUUUUUAAAUUACAAAGAAAAACACUUACAUAUUAUUGAAGUGGGGUAGAUAUAUGCUUCUAAUAGCAUUAAAUUAUUGGUGUUUAUGAAGUUUCGGUCUUUAAAUAAAAGAUUGUGGGAUCGGAAUGAUCGUCAUCCCUCCAGAUCGAGCUUAGGGGUGGUUGGCGAAAUAGUAUGAUUGUAGAUCUAAGAAAAGUUGAUAAUAUUCUGUACGUGCUUGGUGCUAUUAGAAGCAUUAAUUCAAGCCAAACUCUAUCUUAUUAGUCCUAAUAUUUUUGUAUAUAACUACAACAUAUUUAGUUACUAGUCACCAUUGGAAACAUAUCCACUAGAGAUCAUUUAUGGACCUAAUUAGAAGUGAGAGUCGACGUACAUUCAGAACACUUACAAACAUAUGCAUGUACAAAACCUAAGGAUAUUCUUAAUUAUCAAGGUAAGAUAAGAGUACAAUAUAUACAAAUCAAUUAAGUACUCUAACAUCCACAAUAUAUAUAUAUAUAUAUAUAUAGAGAGAGAGAGAGAGAGAGAGAGAGAGAGAGAGAGAGAGAGAGAGAGAGACCGAGAAAGAAACUAGAAUAUUAUUGAUUUAUAUAUAGUCCCCCUCUCACGCACACCAAAAAAAAGAAAAAAAGAAAAAGCAUGCAUGCAACCUAUAUAAGUUUAUAUGCCGAUAAUUAUAAGAUGCCUUACGUAUUUACACAUACGUACCAAGCUCAUCUCCUUCUCCAGCUAUCACCAGAAACUUAUUGAGCACAUCACAUUAAUUAAUACAUAUAUAUAAUACAUAUAAUAUAUAUGUUCUAGCACAGUUUUUAAAGUUGAUCAGGCCAUAAGAAGGCACCCAUGGCAUAAUCUCUCUUCUCCUCAAGAGACCCAUCAAAGACCAAACCAUACUCCCUCAGCAACAAAUCCAACCUCCACUCCUCCAUCUUCAUGUAGUCCUCUUUCUUGCACCGCGGGUAGUGCAGCGGCAUCUGGAACCCCUCGUAGCUCACCGUUCGAAUCUUCGCAGCCACAGGCGACUUUUUCAGGCGCGCGUCGACGACCCUCGAGCAGUCGACGAAUUGGCUUGUUAGAAAUAGUUGGAGGAAGGAUUGGAGAGCCAUCGAUCUCGCUCUCACUCUUAUUUAACUCCCUCCCCCUCUCUAUCUCUUUUGCUCUCUUCAGCUUGCUCAUAUUCGAGGAGGAGGGUGUAGUUUAUUUAUAGGCUCGAGUCGCAGAAACAGUUGCUUGGACUCGGUGCACCACAUGCCGCAUUUUGAGCCACAAAGGGCCUAAAAUCAUUGAAUCAAUUAUUGGAUGUGUUAUACGACAAACCAAAACUCCGUAAAUUAUUUAUAUGUAAAUAUAUAUAUAAUUAAUUAAUAGGCUAGUUAACACUUAACAACACAUGCACUUAAGACAAAGUUUAAGGUGAAAACGAAAUAUAUUUCGUGAAAAAAGAACAAAUUAAUAUAGUUAGUUUGAUUUUACGAUAUUAAUUCAUAGCAACCCAAUAAUAAUGAUUUUUAUGAAACAUGUUAUUUAAGCAUGACUCAACUAGCACAUAUAUGCAUGGUCAUGGUUUUAAUUACAUGCACACAAGCUACACUUCAAUGUCAUGCCCAUUUAUGAUUAGUGGAAGGAUACUUUUGCGUGCUCGUUUGGAUCAUAAGAUUCAAUUAAUAAGAGAUAAUUACACAAUGUAGACUAUUUUGCACACUUAAGAGAAUUUUAAUUACAACAACCUGCUUACGCUGAUGUGAUAGAUUUUAAUUGUUUUUAAACUAUCAUAACUAUUAUUUUUUCAUCUAAAACAUUAUAUCCGAUCAGCAUAUUCAAAGUUAUUUAUCAAAUGUGCAAAUAAGCAUUAUUAUUAACUCUUAGGACACGUUUGGUUCAAAAUUGGAUCGAAAAGCAGAAUAGAAAUGAAAAUUGAAUGAAAUUGAAAACAAAAUGAUAGAAAUUCUUAAAUUGUUUGGCUUAUAACAGGGCCCAAAAGUUAAAAUCAUGAUCAAAUAAAAAAUUCAAAAUAUUUAAAUAAAUUUUAGAUAUAAAUUUAAAUUAGAAUUUAAAUCCAAACUGAAGAAAUAUUUUUAAAAAUUGAGUUUUGAAUAUGCAAUUCAAAUUCCAAUUAAAAAAUUUAUAAUUUAUUCUAAAAUUAAACAUAUGUAUAGUUAAAUUUGAAUUUAAAUAAUUCUCGAUGAAAAAAAAUUUUCUUUCCAAUCUCUUUCAGAAUUGAUUCCCACUUUUGCAAUAGAAAUUAUUUAAAGAAAACUCAGCUCCCUUCCGAAAUCGCUCUCAAACGAAACACCGACAAUAAAAAUAUAAACCAUUCGAUCCGAUCUCCCUGAUAGAAAUUUUUUUCAAGAAAUUUGAUUUGCCCUAAAAUUAAAAUGGCUUUAAAUUAAACAUGAAAAAGAACCAUUUCGAUUUUCAUUUCAAAUGUCAAGAUCCUAUCAAUGAAUAAGAGGUGCCCUUGUUAACAUUGCAUCUAUUGAGAGUGAAAUUAUACACAACUUACUUAAUGAAUGAAGCAGGUAGCUUGCUACCUAUUUCUCAAAAAAAAGAAAAAAGAAAAAAAAGAAAUUAUACACAACAAAUGGGGAUAGUAGCUUAACAUGAUUGGUUUAGUAUUUAUUACAUUGCGAUCCACCUGGCUUAAUAUGGGGAGGAUUGGGAUUCCGUAUAAGGAUUUAAUGGAAUGUGAUGUUGAUGUUCAACUGCAUUAAUUAUUAGCCCCUCCCUCAAUUAUUGAAUCCAAUUGGCCCCCAUUGUUCCCUUAAUUAAUUGAUGAGAUUAUUUGUUGCCUCUUCUUUUCUUUUUUUCUUUUUAUUUUUUAUGUUUUUUUGUUUCCAAAUUGUGAAUAUAUAAUAUCACACAUUUUAUAUAUCCUGCUAGGAAUUUAGGAACUGUUCGGUUUCUCAAUAAUGAUUUAUCAAAAUUUUUAAUUUUUUGUCGUUUAUGAUUGAAGAAAAAAUAAGUAUUUUUGGAUAUUUUUUUUCCAUAUUUUAUGAAAAUUAGUAUACUAUUUGUAUAAAAUAUGAAAAAAAAAAGAGCUUGAUUUUUCAGAAACAAAUGAGCAAAAAAUUUAAAAACGAUUUUUCAUAAAGAAAACUUUUUUUUUGAAAUUUUUUUCACACUGUUUCGACAAGCCAAACAAUCCUGUAGGGAAUAGAACGCAAUUGGAAUUUGGCUGCUUAAUUUGUAGUGCUAAAUGACUCCGACCAAUUCAAAAUUUUAAAUUUAGAGAUGAAUAAAUUCCUAUAUAUUGUAUGGUUAUCAGAUUUUCUUAAUUCUGUUCAAUAUGUGAUCAUUUGUAUUCAUAAGUCAUAACACGGUUUCUUAACACAAGAAAAGCGCUACAUAUACGCGGUAGGACAAAAUAGGUCAUAUAAAAACUCGCGAGUUAGCAAGACGCCACAAAUAUUUUUUUUUUUGAGAAAGAGGUAGCAGACGCCACGAAUAUUGUUGUAGAGAUAAAAGUCUAUGUGCUGGAAAAUUUGAAAACAUGGGAGUUGUUCAUGAUCAAACUCUGCUAAUGUUAAUUAAAAAGACGUGGAUCGAUUAAAAUGCUUAAACUGAUAGGUGAAACUAUAAGAGUCCUUAAUUUUAUACUACAAUUAAACCCAAAAAAAAAAAAAAAUACAAACAGUAGGUUGGAACUUAACUAAGUUAUUAAAUUUCCUUAAGCAAUUAAAGCAGAAGAAUUUAUUUUUAACUUGCAUUUUAGAAUCCUGCAAUCUUGCUUCCACCAUCAAUUAUAUAACCACAAAAUAAAUUUAUAAAUUUAUUGUUUUUGAAUUUUUAAAACUAUAAAUUUAACAUUUAUAAAUUCUUAGAUGUAUAAAUUUAAUAAAUUUUAGUGUGUUUAAUUUGAACAUUUAUAGAUCUAACUUUUUUUUUAAAAAAAAGUGUGAUUUAAAAUUCUGCAAUCCUACACAAUCAACUAAAAAUAUAUUUUAAAAACAAAUUUAUAAAUUUUAAAAUAAUAAAAAAUAUUAUGUUUUAAUUUUAAAAAUAUAAACUUAACUUUUAUAAAUUUUUAAAUGCAUAAAUCUAAUUCAUAACUAUAAAAAAGUUUGGUCAAGUAAUUUAAAUAUUUAACUUUAUGUUUUAAAAUUUUCACAACAAUUUCACAAAUGUUAAAAUAUAUGAAUUUAAAACAUAAAUUGAAAACUUACAAAUUAAAUAUUAUAAUUUUAAAAACUUAUAAAUAUAAAUUUCGGAGGUACGUAGUUAUCACUAGCGUAAGAUUGAUAGGAUGGAUGGAUGGUGAAAUUUCCUAAAUUCCCUCCAAUCUUAAAAAUUAAAAGGUUGGGAUUAUUUAUUAACAAAAUAAAAAAACAAUUGGCUUAUCCUUGAAACUCACAAUUAUUAUAGUAGUAUAGGUAUAGAUACAUGGAACAGGAGCAAUCAUGCGUGCGUAAAUUCUUUAUUAAUAUAUUAAUUACUAUCAGUUUAAGUCAAAAUUCUUGUUAAUUAUAUUAAUUAACAUGACCAUUAAUGUUCAAUAAUGUUAAUUAUUUUUCCAAUAUUAUUUUGUUUUUGCUCAACUACAUCAUCAUCAAAUUUGUUAUAAGGGACUAUUGAACUUAAUUUAAUUAAGCAACCUCCUCAGUCAAAACUCUUCUUUAAUGUCGAAAUUUCCAAACAUAAUUUCUCAGUAAAAACAAAUUUUAGCUCGAGUAAUUUCAUUUUAUAAAAAUUUGUGCUUGGUUUAGAUGCUACGCUAUUUUUUUUUUUUUUUUUUUGAGAAAAAGGAUGCUACGCUAUUGAAACACAGAUUUUAUUGGGCCAUUACGAGCCCAAAAUCGUUUCAUUUGGAAACGAUCUAAGCCCAUUUUCACCCAACAUUAUUCAAAAUAUUAUAAAACAAAAUAAAAUUAUAAAAUAAUCAAUAUCAGCAAUUUGACGCUAGUUUUUCUUUUUGGAAACUUUUGUUUUUUUGUUUCUUCUUUUCUGUUUUUCGAUAAAAUACCAUAUGUAUAUUUAUAUAUAGGUAUAUAUCAUACAUCUCUCUCAUUUUUGAAUUCACAAAAGUUCAAAUAAAUUUAGUAGAAAAUAAGAAAAUAAAACUAGCAAAAGAAAGAAGAUAGAUCUUCAGGAAGAGGAUUACGUGUGGAGGUUAGGGUCUUAGGGAAGGGCACGUGUACGUGGAUGCAUGCAUGAAGUGCACUUCACCCUGGAGUCCUGGUCCCGCUGCGUGCAUGCGUUUGUACAUCAUUUCAAGUCAAUAACUUUCCACUUUUAUAUAUAUACACCAAAUAAAUAAAUAAAUAAAUAAAUAUAUAUAUAUAUAUAUAGAGAGAGAGAGAGUCCGGCUAUUAUACUUUUAUGAGUAUAUUGGCUCUCUUAUACUUAAAAAUUUCGGCCUUUAGAUUUAUUUUAUUAAUCAUUUCCACCCGUUACAUCAUACUAUUCAACAAACUACCCACUCAACCCUAGUAGGGGAUCAUUAUUAUUCUAAGUGAGGACCACCAUCAACCUAACCAUACAUCCCACAAUCAACAGUUAAAAAUUCAUGAGUACAAGAAGGACUAUACUCAUAAGAGUACAGUAGCUCCAACUUAUAUAUAUGAUAAUGGGGAAUAUAGAAUUGAGCUAGAGUACUUUUAGAAGUAUCAUCUUUUUGGUGCGUCUAAAUUUUUAGCCCUUGGAUCUUCUCCUUGAUUACUAAUAGCCUUUAGAUCAAGCACUAUUCGACCUACCACCACCUAUCGCCACCUACCACCAUCAUCUCAACUCUAUAUCUCUCCAUCCAAAAGCUAAAAACUCAAAAGCACCACCCCUUUAGUGCUUUUGGAAGUAUUCUAGCCCAACUCUGAUAAUGACUAUGAUAAUGGUGUUUCUUUUCAAUAUUUUUUCUAUUGAAUCCAGAGUCUACUGAGAGUUGGUGGAAUAAUAUAAUUUAAUAGUGAAAAAGUUACUAAUAAAUACUAUUCAUAUGUUAUGUUAGAUAACCAGCUUUUAUAUAUAUAUAUAUAUAUAUAUAUAUAUAAAAUUUCCCUUUCAUUAAUCAAAUCUUUCCUUGCGUACAUUGUCCAAUGGUCUGAGACGUGCGGAAGUCCCUAACCUUUGUUUGUUUACUCUUUAUAGCUAGGAAAAUUCGAUUGUGGAUGUGCAAAAAUAGAUUACUUCAUGCGUGUGCGUGACGUGAUGUACAUUAAUUUUAUGCACAUACUGGUGGGGGGGCCAGUUCGAGAGCAAAAAAUUUGUGAGCUUUAUAAAUUCAACUGCAUCUUUUAUCUCAGGGAAGUUGAUGAAAAGUUGAUCUUCAUACAAUUAUAAACGGGAGUACAGAUGAUCUCGUCAAUUCGAUGUCGAAACAAAUACGGGUGAAGCAAAAAAUUUGUGAGCUUUAUAAAUUCAACUGCAUCUUGUACCUUAUGGAAGUUGAAAAGUUGAUCGUCGUACAAUUAUAAGCGAGAGUUUAGAUGAUCUCAUAAAUUCGGUGUCGAAACAAACGCCAACAGCGAUCACGUUUUCGAAUUCAUAAGUUCAACCGCCAAAAUCCAGAAAACAAACGGGCUCUACAAACAUGUCACUUAAUUUCAUAUUUCAAUCCAUUAAAGGACUUUAUAUAUAGUGAAAAGACUCUGAUAAAGUACAGGACAAUUGAUCUCGUUCAACUGCAAGAUAGGAUAAGGACUAUACAUAGGUAUAACGGGGGAGGGUUCAAGAGGUGUGCAAAUGAUGCAUCUGGAUCAUUGUAUUAAUACAUAUUUCUUUUUUUUUUUUGAGAAAUUAUUAAUACAUAUUUCUAAACCCAUAUUAUAUAAUACUAGUAAAGUCUCUCGCGUGAUGCGACGGAGAGAUAAUAAAAAUAAAAUAAAAAUUUAUGAGAGAAAUAAAAAUAUGGGAAUAUAUAUUUCAUGAUCGUUGAGAAUGAGACAGCUGGUGAUGGCACUGUACGCCGUUCUUAUCGAGGAUACUUGAGAAACAGCGAAUCGGAGCCGAAGGGCUCUAAGCGGCGAGCAAGAGAAAAAGGGAAAGAGAAGAAAACAAAUGUAAAAUUAUAGAAAGAGAAAGAGUUUUACUAAGAUAAAAAAAAAAGAAUAUAAAAAAAUUUAAAACAAACAAUAGAUCCCACCAUCCUGAAAUAAAGGUGGUACAUCUACAUUAGAUUCAACCAUAAAAAAUCAUGUAUAGAAUAUAGAUUUAUAAUAUAUAUAUAUAUAUUAUAUAUAUUAUAUAUUAUAUAUAUAUAUAUAUAUAUAUUAUAUAUAUAUAUAUAUAUAUAUAUAUAUAAUCGUCGAGUCGUGUCGGAAGUCUGAAAGAUGGAAUUUGGAAGCGAGGGAUGUUCGCGCCUAUGGUGGAGAUAGUAACAUUCACGAACUGGCACAUGGGGGUGCGGAUAAAGAGUUUAACCCAGUUGGCGGCGAUAUGGUGGGUCAUAUGGGCGGAACGCAAUAAUAUUAUCUUCAACGACGCGCGACCCAAUGCUUCUCAGGCUCUCGUACGUGUCAAGAGUCUGAUCAAGGAUUGGACGGAGGACACCUAGCUUUUGGACGGAGGACACACAACUUCUUUUUUUUUUCUUUUUCCUUUUUUCUUUUUUUUUGCUGCCUGACUCUCAAGGAGGCCUUAGCUGCCUCCAUUUUGUUCGCCUAAUUCAUUUUACUUAAUGAAUGAAACAGGUAGCUUGCUAUCUUUCUCUCAAAAAAAAAGAUUAUAGAUAUAGAUGUAGAUAUAGAUAUAGAUAUGAGUAAACUCAUUCAUACUGUAAGAUGCUGAUUUCGAUCAAUCUCAUCCAUUAAUUUCACAUACUUUUGAAGCGUUAAUGUAUAUAUAUUUCUGAAUUUAUUAGUAAAUAAUAUUUUUGGGUAACAGAUGAAUAGAUGAUACUUAAAGGAGGUCUUCGCGUGCAUCGGGCCUGAGAUGCGGCCGCUGCUGCAUGCAGCAGCGCCGUUCGUGCUACAUUUCUUUAAAAGCGCUGCCACAUAAAUGCAGCAAAAAGCAGCAGCAGCAGAAGCUGAAGCAGAAGCGUUCUUUGUUGCUGUACCCUCCCCCCUCCCCCUACCUAGGAAUAUUAAUUUGGAUUCCACACCUUAUAUAUUAAUUUCUCCUCCUAGCUAUAUAUAGCUAUAUAUAUAUAUAUAUAUAUAUAUAUAUAGAAUUAUAGAUCCCUCUCUUCUAUGGCUACCAUGUACAUCAUCAUGUACUACUCAUCUUUAUUUCUUUCCCUACUUUAUGUUAAAUAUAAAAAUGUUUAAAAUAUCGUCCUAUAAUAGUUUAAGUUUUUAGAGUAUAACGGUUAUUUCAUAUGGUAUCAAAGCAGGAGGUCCUGAGUUCGAGUCACGCCAGGCUCCUGGCAUAUUAAUUUUCUCCAAUUUAAUUCAAACUCACGUCAUGGACCGAUUAAAAAAAAUUUCGAGCCCAGACGUGAGGGAGAGUAUUAAAUACAAAAAUAUUUAAAACACCGUUCUCUAAUAGCAUAAGCUUUUAGAGUACAACGGUUGUUUCAUACUUCAUACGUCACCUCGAAAGGAACAAUCAGAGUUAAUUUGCCUUUAAUUAAUUGCUUCCAUUUUUUUUAUUUCCUUUCCCACUCUUCUAGCAACAAUCCACCAUGCUCCAAUCCCUUAAAACAGAUUUUAUAAUAUUUUAUAAAUUAUACAAUUCAAUUAUUAAAUUUAAAUUUUAAAAUUAUGUCAUAAUUAUUUUUUCAUAAUUUAUAUUUUCUACUAAUUAAAUACCCUCGCAAGUAUUAAUUUAUAAAAUUUAUUUAUAAGCAUAAUAUUAUUUUUCUGAAAAUUGUGUCAAUGAUUUUAUAUUAAAAUUUUGAAUUAAUUGCACACGGCUCCUUAUAAACAUAUCGAAUAGCAGAUAAAUUUCUGCAGAGUUCAAGUUUUCAUUUUUAUCUCUACAAAAGUUCUAACGCUUUCAAAUAUAUUUCUACUGUUAGGAUCCGAUAGAAAAUUACAAUUAAUUAUAAGUAAAAUACUUAACCUUGAUUAAUAAAUAAGAUAAAUUAAUAUUUUUACGCCUCUUAUAUUAUAAUAAUCUUAUUCACUUAUGGAAGGUCUUUUUUGCACAAUACUAAUCGUUGAGGCCUUUACAUGUACAUAUUUAUGAUGAUAAAAAUAUUAUUUUAUUUAUCUGCUGUUAAAAAAAAAUAGUGUUCUAACGGCAACAAACCAGAGAAGUAAAUAUAAAUAUUACUGUAUUUUUUUUUUUUUGCAAAGAUAAAAGUGAAAAGUUAAACUUUAUAGGAAUAUAUUUGCUAUUCCAUAUAUUUACAGUGAGCUGUAUGCAAUUAAUCCUAAAUUUUUUCACCUUUUCUUUUACAUUGAAUUCCCAAUAAAUGUGAUAUUUAUGAUAUUGAGAUUAUGACAAAAAUUUUAAAUUAAGAUAAUUUUUUUUAAAUUUAAAAGUAAUGUAAACUAAUCACACGAUCAACCAAAUUAUCACUAUCGGAAUGCUUUAAGAAGUUCUUUUUGCGCUUGUCGAUUUGAUCAUCCCCAAUCCACAUACAAACAGCACAAAUUCGUGGGUGAAAGUACUCCUACUUAUCAUUCUAUUUGGAACAGAUCAAAACAAAAAAAGAAUUUAUAUCAAAAUUUUGACAUAUCAAAAUGGAUCAAGAAAAACUAUGUAUGCGUAAUUUCUUCGUGUUUCGCUUCAUUUUUUUUUUUUUUUUUUUUUUUGUAGAAAUGAAAAUCGCUGCGCAUGCACAUGAGCCAACAUAUGAUAGCACGUGCCAUCGCUGCGCAUGCACGUGCCUCGUCGACAACUCCGCCCCUGGAUUCGUACACCUGGGCACCAACACUGAACGUUAUUUCCCAACGUCGCAAUGAAGAAGGAUCCCUCCCUCGCUCUCCACAGAGGAGCCUCGGAAUUCGUGAGACUUGAUGCCAAACACAUCACGGCCGUCGAGAUCGACCCGACGUCCAAUCAGUGACCGGGGCCCACCGUAGCACACGCGCACACAAAGAUUAGAUCCCUCACCGCGAGUCAAAGAUCAUACGGCUGGAUCUUUCCGUAACUCGAGGGGGGGCAUUUAAUUCAGAGGCCUCGAACGGUGAUCCCUAGUACUCCGUAGGCCGGGAGCAUCGUUUCGUGAACAGGGCCUUUGAGCGCGGUUGGGAGGUGCACGGAUGACGUGGUGAACCGAGCCCCAGGAACAAAUGGACGGUGCGAUUGUUUAAUGUGCGCACGCAUCGUAAAGAAUGUCCUCCCGCGUGAUGGAACCCCGUCCCCCCGCACGGUGGCGAUCGCCUCGGGGAACGUAAUCCGAUGUGACCCCACCCAUUACUCCCGAGACGAUUCCCAGCCGUCCGAUCACGAUCCGACGAACCGGGCUGCCGACCCGUCAUAAAUACGAGGGCCCGGUCCAUCAGUGGCAUUCCCGUAAAUAUUGGGAGAAAGAGCGGCCAUUGGUGUAAAAUAAAUGCGUGGCGUGUGGAGGGUACAUAAAGCGGUGGGCAGUGCAGCCAGUGCUCUAUCCUUUUCAAAUGCCCAACCGUUUUGGGGGAAAAAAAACAGGGAAGUGGAUUUCGCCAGCAUCCGACGGUGGAGAUUUAAUCAUGGGCUCGCUCAGCAUCUCGACCGUUGUCGCCUUCGGUGUACUCUUCUCCUUGCUCUGCUGCGGUGCGUUUUCGUCGAGUUAUAUUAUUAUUAUUACUCGGUUUGCAUGCGAAGCUUAUCCGAUGGCAAUUAUGUAAUUUUGGUGAAUUUUUAGGGGUGUUGUCGUACGAGAGCAAAAUGCAUGGUACGGCAGGGCAGGUGGGUGGGGCGAGAGGUCGACGGAUCGUCCCUUCCCCGCGCAAUCAGACGGCCGGGACGCGCAAGCUCCUCGCAGUGGGUACGAUCCGACGGCUCAAACUAACUGAUGACUAACUAACUAACUAACUAACUAAAGUGCGCUAUACAUGUUCCCCCAAACACAUCUCAUUGUCAACAUAUACACGUUGAUGCUUAUAUCAGUACUUCUAUAGCGCGUGGAUUUUCUACUAUAUGAACAAAUAUAUGAUGAUAAUUUUGUGUGGACUUAUAUAGCAGUGUUCAGUAUCUGUUCUGUCAGUAAUAAGAAUUAUAUNUAUAUGGACGGCUGAUAUGAUAUUUUUGAACAGAUGGCGGUGGGAGCGGCAGCAGAGAGGAGAUGAUGAAGAGGAAGAAGAGGGUGGAUCGGAUGGGGGGGGAGGCGUGCACGAGGGAGGACGUGGCGGUGUACCAGGGGGCGACGGCGCCGCUGCCGAACGGGAUACCGACGUACACGGUGGAGGUGCUGAACGCGUGCGCGUCGGGGUGCGCGGUGUCGGACAUCCACGUGGCGUGCGGGUGGUUCAGCUCGGCCCGGCUGAUCAACCCGCGGCUCUUCCGCCGCCUCCGCUUCGACGACUGCCUCGUCAACGACGGCCGCCCCCUCGCCCCCGGCCAGUCCCUCUCCUUCCAGUACGCCAACUCCUUCCCCUUCCCCCUCGCCGUCACCUCUCUCUCCUGCUACUAACUAACUUUAACUAACGAACUAAUUUUGUUACCUAAGAAGUACAUAAGAAAUGAAUGGAGAAGUGGUUUUAGUAUAUGGUAUGAUGAGAAUAAUAAUAAUGUACUCUAGUUACUAUAUAUCAGAGCUGUAAUGAAUGAUGAAUUUAUAUUAAUAUUUGCAACUACUGGCUUAUUUGUUUGACAAUUAAUUUGGGAGAAUCAGCACACGUAUAGUUGUGGUGUAGAUGCAACAUAUAAAUACUUCUUUGGCUUGGAAUUCUCCGGUCGGAUCGACCGGACCGCGAAUGAGACCAGUUCGAUCGGUUGCCGAUUUUCGGGUCUCACAACACAAUUUUUAGAUUCGGUCUCGUUUUCACGGCUCGUGUUCGACCCCCACCGACCGCGACUAACGCAGUUAGAGCUACAAAAGUGGUGCGACUGUUACCAGUUCCGUCCAGCGUAGCCAUUUGGUUCAACUGGUCUAGUUUCUCGAAGUCGAAGGCGAAUGACCGGAAUUCGACCGGUUUUGGCUCGGUCGGUGCCUGAUCGGUUCGGGACGUGCUUGGCCUCGGCUCCUCAGUGGACUCAUGCCUGUGGGGGAGCUCAAAUCUCGGGUGUCUACGGGCCGGUUGGGCUGUACGAUCAAUGCCGGGACCGUUUUCGGCCCAAGAGUAGUGGAAUUCUAAUGCAGAGAGCCCAUUGGGCAAGCCCAGAAUGAGCCCACCACAUUUUUGGUAGUUCGAUCAAACGCUUUUAUUUGUAUAAAGAUUUUAAGAGGAGGACAUUUUAUAACAAACUUGAUCGCCAUUCGUAUCAUCUACGUAUAAGUUACAGCAUCACUAUCCUAAAUAAUCAUUAUACAAACUUUUGAUCUCAGAGGAACUCUACGAAUCCAGUUGAGUUAGGCUUGUCAAAUCGACAAAAGUGCAUACAAACGGUGAGUGUCGCAACCCAAUUUGGUUCACCGAAUUGGCAAAAAAAUUAGUUCAGGCUCGUCUAAGUUUUAUGUUCUCAUUUCUACAAUAAAAAAUCAAAAGACCUGUGAAGAGUCUAUCUUUUUUUCUUUUUUUUCUUUUUUUUCUUUUUUAAGAAACUCGUUUCGUCUAUUUUAUUUAGAAAUAAACUUAGCUGGAAAUGUGAAUCAAAUAGGAUUCGAACUUGGGUCUUAGGUACCAAUCAUUAAGUCCUUUGUCACUUGCUCUAGGGACGGUCGGUGUGAAGAGUCUAUCUUCGUAUGCCAAUUCCAAGGCUAUGAGUGGAGUUAGCUAGUCUCAUAAUUACAAACAACCCCCUGUCAAAAAUGAGUAUUCGUCAAGGCCUAUAUUCUAGCAUGUGCGUGAUGAUAUAUACUUUUGUCUCCUGGAAAGAUUAUGUAUAUUUUGUGCAUAUUUGGAACACAUUUCUCUCUGUCGUUGGAUAUAAAAUAUUUUAUAUCCGUACUUGCUUUCACGUUGAAAAAACAGAAAAAUUGUACAUCUCAAAAAGACUUUUUUUUUUUUUUUUCUUUGGAGGGUCCCUAGCCACAUGCACUUUGUUUCUUUCACUCAAACAAGCAUUUUAAAGCAUUUGAUACAAUAAAGUUGCAUUCUACUCAAAAUCAAACUCUGUCAAAAACAAAAAACAAAAAAAACUUAAAAAUCUCUCAGCCCUAACAUAACCCAUCUCAAUUUUAACAGCGAAAUACACAUUAAAAAGAUUAGCCAUAAAAAGGAAAAAAAUGGGACCGUCGCAUAGCACAAUACAAAAAGCACUACAUUUAACUUAUUUGCCAAUUUCUCUAUGCAAAUUCUGAGCAUGCAAACCCUUCAGUUUCUUUCACUGAACACAACAUAACUAUAUCCCUCGACGGCAAAAAAACUCCGACUCCCAAGCGCAUUUUUUAGAACGAUCUGCAUGCAUCAACAACUACAGGUACACUGUUAUUACCUCUACAGGGACUUGUAGAGGACCACUGUGACAUACUUGGCGAGAAACCGGCUCGUCGAUCCGAGCGCCACCACAGGAGAAAAGUUCUUGUGAAUGUAGAGAUGGUUGAGCACGACAUGCGGAGGCCUCGAGAGAGAGGACGACGAGCUGUUUACGUUGGUUGGAGAGUUAAGAAUGGUGAGCUGCAGCUGCGGAGGGACCGCCGGGGGCUCCUUUGCGAAAUCUUCAGGCCCGAGCAGCCAGUUGUUGUAGCUUGAUUCAGGAGAUUGAGGCGACUCAAAACCCGCGAUGCUUCCAAGGUCAUCGGGAACGUAUUCCUGCAUGCAGAAAUGUUGCUUGAGUAGAGCUUAGAUAUAGAAGCAUAAAUUUCAAAUUAGAGUUUCCGCUUUCAGAGUUCGAAAGCCCAUUUUGACUUCUGAUCACCACAAUAAAAGCUCCAAAUACCUAAUUAAUUGCUACUUCUUGGAGUAGAGAAGCGGUUUGAUAAGCGAAGCCAAACGGGCGACAUGUAUUGAUAUUUAUGGCUCUGAACUAAGAGGAGCAAAUAGAAAAAGCAAUUAACGAAUACUCAGAUAAGCAUAUUAAUGCCAAAUAAUCUGAAUGUGUCAUAAAAUCUGAUCAACCUAUGAAAAUUACAUUAUGCAGUGUUCUGGUUCCUUAACAGAUGUGUGGAAUUUUAAAAGUACACAAAAAUGAAACAACUUUAAAGAAGUAUUCAGCAGUAAAAUCAAAUGAACUUCUCCCUAUUCACUACAACAAAAACGGUCUAUAGCGACACUUUUAAAUGUCGGUACAGGUCAAAAAAAGUGCUGCUAGCUAAAUUACCGACACUUUCUAAAAAUGCUGUUAUAUAUGGGGGUCGCUAUAUGUGAGGCCGCCUCGAUGUUUGGCACCCACUCCUCCAGCGACCUGAAGCGGAAGGACAUAUGGCGAUUGUAGCCCUCUAUGGUCUCUGUGAGAUCCUCGUGGCCGAACUCCAACCGUCGAAAUCCUACCUCGUCGGCUGCAACGGCGGAGAAGGAGAAGGGGAGAUGGUGAUCAAUUUUUCUUUUUUUUCCUUUUCUAUUUGUAAUCGGGCUGAGUGGGCUGGGUUGAGUUGGUUGAGUAGAGUAACUUUUUGUUUUUGGUUGAAUUGUGCUUUAUAUUUAGGUCUUAGUAGAUUUUUUAAAAAAAUUUUGACAUAAAUGAGACACUUACAUAAAAAAUGUCUUAAAAAUGUAUCUCUAUAACCUAAUUCUAUUGUAGUGAUUCUAGAUAUAAUAGAUGUACAUACCCAUGAUUUGGAUGCUAAGCCAAAAAUGCAGCAAUUUAAUAACGAAAUAGGAACUGAAAUCCAAAUGCAUACCACCAUGACAUGUAAAAUUUAUGCAUCGGCAUAUGCAAUGUUCAGAAGCUCCACUGGAACUACAUCACUUGCAUUGUGCGAUUUGAUCAUGAAUCGUAGAGACCAAGAUGGAUAGUAGAAAAUUAUUUCAGAAACCAAGCCACUAAUUAAUACACAAGGAAUGAUCGAAACUAAUAAAAUAAAUUCCAUGCAUAAAUUACCUUAAUGUCUAAGAUAUUGUACACAUUCCCGGCGGCAUCACGAAACCACGGCAUGUCGGGAGCGUACUUCCACUCUCCAUCGACAAUGAAUUUAUACUGGUAGUAGCCCGAAGGGAGGACUUUCAUUAUGGCAAACUCCUUGCCCGAUCUUUGCAAGAGCUUCCUAUAGCAGCGACAAUAAGAAGUGCCAACUAACAUUACAUAAAUAACAGUAAAAAAUUAAUGCACAAAAUAAAGGUAAAAACAUCCAGACACAGGCCGAAACUAUAACACAUUUUGAAAUUGGUACCUGAACUAUAAAGAGUUCUGGUUUGAUUAUCUAAUUUUUCAUUAUUGUUCAUUUAGAACUUAUUAAUGUAUUCGAUCAAGAAAGUUACAGAAAAUUCCCUCGAAUAACAAAAUAUUCCGUCAGGUUAUGGAAAAUUCAGGUACCCAUUUCAAAAAGCAGUAUAGUUUAGGUCACGUCCGUAAGUUUUUACCUAAAAUUUAUAGUUCGCCAUACUUUGUUUUCCAGUUAUCCCAGGAACCUUCGACAAAGACUUCCCUGCCACCAUGGCUCCAAGUAAUCAUUGUCGGAAUUCCUUCUUCAUAGAAACUUUCCUCGUCAACGGAAUUACGAGGACAUAAAUUGCUUUGACAAUACAUCUCCCCCACUUUCUGAAGCGGAACCAUUGGGGUCUGGAAAAAUAAAAGAAGAAAUAUGACCUCUCUUUUUUUAAAUAUAUAUAUAUAUAUAUAGAGAGAGAGAGAGAGAGAGAGAGAGAGGCUCCUAUACUAUCUAUAGUACCGGAGCUCCGGUACUAUAGUCUCAUUUUAAUUGUAGGGUGUUCAAAUCAACGAGUUACACUGUUAGAACUGAUCUAGGGUAUUUAAAGUUUUUAGAAAUAAAAUUUUAUAUUUUUUCAACAUAGUAUAUUUUAUAAUCAAACCAUUUCAAAUUUGUUAAUUUUCAAUGACUACUAUGACGAGUUUGUAGCUUAACGGCGUAGAAGAAUAUAAAUUUAUUCAAAUUUUGAUAGAAAAUACUUUAAACUAUCUAAAUCAAGGUCGACAUCCUUGAUCUUGAAUUCAAAAGUUCUAUUCUCAAAUUUUAAUAAUUGUUCAAUUUUUACCGUUCAUUUUGACAUGAUUUACUUAUUAAGUAAACGAUGUUGAAAAAAAUUAAAAUUUUAUUCGUAAGAACUUCAUAUACCCUAGAUCAUAAUUGACGGUGUGGAUUGUUGAUUUGAACACCCUAAGAUCGAAAACAAGACUAUAGUAACGGAGCUCCGGUACUAUAGAUAGUAUAGGAGCCUCAUUCUAUAUAUAUAUAUCCUCUGAAACUUGAAUAAGAGAAUAAGAAAUUCCAUCAACAUAAGAUGUAUAUAAGUCAAUUUAUAAGCAGCAAUACAAUAAGUUUGGUAUGAAUUGCGAGUACAACAGGCUAAAGUUCCAAACUAGGCAAUGCAUUAGGAAUCAGUAGGAGUCGUGCUUUUGAUAUUAAGGGGAAAGGGAACGGUUGCUGCGAACAGAACUGAAGGCAUUAGGAUGUAUUAAUUGAUGAAAUGCAUUGCAAAAUAGAAAAAUCUCGAUAAGCAUAAGUCGGUAAUUUUUGAGGUAAAAGCCCGUACGCAAACCAUCAAAAAGUAUAGCUUGAUUCCAUCAUUCUACUGUUUUGGGGAAGAAAACAAGCACAUGGAGGAAAACAUAAAUGUCUCCAAAACCAUAAGCACACAAGUUGAUAAUUGAAAUUAAAUACCAAAGCAGUUGCAAUUUUAGUUCAUGCACGAUGAACAACUCUCGAAAAUACUCGAAACAUGAAAAUAACUAAUUAAGGAGACAGCUGACAAGUUUUUACUAAGAGAAUUGUCUACAUACGGAUAUGCAAGAUAAGCCAAAAAGGUCAAAAGAAGCAAACUAUCACUUGCAUCAACAUUUUAUAUGCCUUCUUUCUCAAAGUUCAAUGUAACUAAUUUCUACCAAUUAUAUAAGAUUGCUUAUAUUGAGAAACUACAAAGGAGAAAGAUUAAAAAAAAUCGACAAAUUUGAGUAGCUGAUAUCUUAACGAUGGAUGGAAAGCCUCUUAAAAGUAGCAAGCACUGUUAUCAUGCACGAAGUCGAUAGCGAUGAAAAAUGAUGCCGACAUGUAGCAUAGUAGCUGCUAUAAGUAGAGCCGAUAGAAGAGAAGAUGCAAUUCGGCUGCAAAGGAUACGAAAAUCCCAUAAACCUGAAAUCAUCUCUUCAAAAACAAAAAAGGGACUAGCUACAGAUUCAAUUAAUGUGGCUAUCGUCGAGUAUAAUAUAUUAAAAAACAAUGUCCUCUAACAAAUUAAGCUUUUAGAGCAGUUGUUUGUUCCACAUGGUUCUGAAGCAGGAAAUUGAGCUUAUUCAUUGCCCAGGUAACAAUUACUGGAGAAAAGGGAACAAGUAUAAAUGUAAAGAGAACUUAGUUCACAUGCACAUAACAUAGUUGAAAAUAGAGCAUACUUCAUACCAGGCUUACCACCAUGAUUCCACAUACAAAAUAAGACAACAUGAAUAAGAUCACAAGUAACAUGCAUCUACAUAUAUAGGAGACACCAACAAUGAAGGAAUCAAAAAGAAAAGGAAAUAAAGAGUUGUUCUUAGUACCUAGUUAAAAAGAAAUGCUCAGGAAACAGACACAGAAAGGAAGAGAGAAACAAGUGCAGGAGAAUUAACCUGAGGAUUAAAGAUCAAAGGAGGUGAUUGCCCUGCACCCAUUGGGCUUUGAGGAGGGCUCUGCCCCAUCAACUCCUCAUAACCUCUGUGUGCAAGAGAGCUCCUACCCUCCCCUUCCUCAACCUUAACUUGUUGCCCCUCCUCCCUAACACUACUAACAUUACCCAUCACUCGAAGAAACCACACCAAUAAUCCUCCACACAACAAAAUAUGAUCUUUAACACCCAAAGCCCACUCUUUCCAAUUGUAGAGAGAGUGCCAAGAGUAAAGCUCCCUCCUUUACUCCAAAAAAGCGAACUACAUGAUCAAAUGAACAAAACCCAUCUGGGAAUCAGCAAGAAAACCAGGAAAAUAUCACUACCUACUACCCAAAAUUUGCUCCUCAACGCACACCAAACCAAAAGCUAUAAAGUGAGAGCCAAGGGCUCUAAAAGGGCCCCAAAACAAAAAAAAAAGAAGAAAAUAAUCAUAAUAAAGGGGGAAAGAGAAUAUGGACAAGUGAGUGAGUGAGUAAUUAGCAGGAAAAGAGCGAGACCUUUGUCUCUGGAAACAGGGCAGGAAAAGGAAACCACCCACUCCCACAGUCACUCCAACACCCAGCACCCCCACAACACCCAUUUUUGGUAUCUGUUCGUUUGAACGUACCAGCAUUCUCUCUUAUGGCAAAAGAUCAUAUCAGAUCGAGUCACAUUCGAAAUAAUAAUAAUUUAAUUUAGAUCGAGUUAUGUUCGAAGUGGAGGCACUCUAUCUGUACGCUUUAAGUGAAUUAAUUAUAUAUUUUUAACUGCUCGAAUUUAGAAGAUUAGUGGUUAGCACCAACGACCUGACAAUACCAAAAUAAUAAAUUUUUACAUUAUACCAAAGAAAAGAUUACAAAAAAAAUUGUAUCGGACAUCCCGCGAGUAUAAAAUGCAUUCUGCCACCGAUAAUCUGUAAAAUAAUUUUGAGAGCUGAAUAUUUCUGCACACGAAAAUGCACUCACUGAAGAAUCCUAAAUAUGUUUGUUAACUAGAGAUUAUAUUGCAUUAAUCAAGAAAAAAAUUCAAUUAAGAGAAAAACAAUUGAAGGGACCAUUUGAAAAAGUGCAUAAUUGAAUGAUCCUUUUGCAUUUUCACACAAAAAAAAAAAAAAUCAAAACUCCACUUUACCCUCUUAAUUAACAUUUUCUUUUAAUCAUUUUCUUUUUUCUUUUUCUUUUUUUUCUUACUUUUCUAUCCUCCAAUGAGUUUGGAGAACCCCAUCCCCAAGUCAUCAUAUCUCUUCGGACACAUCUGAAACCUCCCCCACCUCACCAAAUGAAACCAAAUAAAAAAAAUAAUUAAUUAUAUUUUUAUAUAUCAAUAAAUUAAUGUUUACACUAACCAAUCACUGAUCGGAUAUUUGCCUUCGCGCACAGCACGUGAUAACCCGCGUGUAAUCAUGUGACGCGUGUCCGAUGGUCGUGUAUUUCGUACACGUGUAAGGAUUUGGCUGGUUUCCGUGAGUAGCGUCGCACCAAAUAGUUAUUCGCGGGGUUGGAUGCUGCCUCGGCUCCUCCUGACCGUUGAAACUGUGGGAGUGGGAGUCUCGAUGUGACAUCACGUACCGUUCAUUUCUCUUUUCUUCUCUUUCUAUGAUAAAACCGAUCAAACCGUAUUGGGACAGGGAUCGGGACCACAACUUGUGACUCUCCAGUUAGGGUGCAGAAAUAAUCGGGCGCACCCGGUGUAACCGAACUUCUCAUGCACCGCAUCCUAUUUAUUAGACCUAAUACUCUAAAAUUAAAACUUAAUCUUUAUAUAUUCAUAUAAAUGUAUUAUAUAAUUUAUUGGGUGCCUUUAUAGUUCAUUGCAUGAAUAUGCUAUUUAUUUAUUUUUUAUAAAAAUUAUGUAGCUUGUGAUAUUUCGUAAAGUAUGAUCUAGUAUAGAGAAUAAUAUAUAAUAUUCCGCCCUCAAACAUAUUUUUUAAAAAUAUGAUAAAUAAUUUUAUAGAUAUAAUAUAUUAUUCUACUAAAAAUUUAAGAUAUUUUAUUCUGACAUCUAAAUCAGAGUCUUAUAAAUGUAGAAAAUUUAUUUCUGAGAUAUUAAAAAUUUUAAAAAAUCAGCAAUAUAGAAAAAAGUAUUGCUUGAUUCAUGAUAGAAUCGGCAUGUAAAAUUUUGUAAUUUUUUAUUUGUAAGAUAUUUAAAUUUAGUAGGACAAAUUCAGUAAAAUUUUGAUUAUGAUUUUUUAGGCAAAUAUAAAAUGGGGAUUUAGUAGUGCGGUGUAUGGGAUGUGCUCGUACACCGAGUUCAGGAAAUUAUUUCUCCUGUAGGGGGGGUGGGCUUAAUGAACUAUUUGACUCGCGGGUGUAGCACGGCGUGACGUGGCGGGACCCACAAUGGGGGGUAGUAAUGGGCCCCGCGGGAUCAACGGCUGUGAUGGGGCGGACUUUGCCAAGCGUCAUGGGAACGGCUGCGAUGCUAUCGGUGGGUGGUGGGCCGUUCUUGGACGGGCCGCUGGCCCAGAAACUGUUGAUAGUGCUCGUUAGGCAUCUCGGGUGGGACCCACCCUCGUACCAAAAAUGGUGAUAAUUGGGCCCCCACUUAGAAAAUUGUUACGAAUAAUCUGUCACUACUUGGGUUUGGGAUUGCGAAAAAAUAACGUUAAGCGGUAAAAAAGUACGAUUGAAAAAUACUGUAUUUCGUAUAUCGUAAUGAAUCGGUUACGAUAUAUUUUUUACGGUCCCACCGGAAAAAACAGAGACAUAGCCUUGUAUAUUUUUAUCUCAACUCUAUUUUAUCUAAUAACGUCAGAUAAGUCUCAAUACCACACUAAUUUUAAAGCACAAUGAAUAAUAAAUGAGUUUUUUUACACGAACGAGGGGCCCACAAGUCCUUUUCAAUUAACAAACUUUUAAUUAACUCCUUAAAAAAAAGAAAAUGAAAAAGAGUGGUCCCACCCCCCUUUUUUUUUUUUUUUUCUUUUCUUUUUUGGAAGCUCAUAGAAAUAUUAGGAAACAGAAUCUUUGUAGCUAUUGGAAGUAGUUAAGGGUCGAUUUCAUGAACAGGAACAGCACUGUGCGUCAGAUGAGAAUCCAACGGUGGGGACAUCUCUUUGGGUAAUUAGUUAAUCCCACUAAAUUUAAUUUUCAAGCCAUACGAGAUUAUGCACUUUUAAUAAGAUUUUGAUUUAGUGUCUAAAUUUUUAAAAGCGUUUUAUUUUAGUUUUUGCCUUUAAGUUAAAUUCACAAUUUUUUUAAAAAUUUUCUCAUAUUUGAAGUCUAAAAUUUUAAUUUAGAAGCUACUAAUAUCGAAGUUAAAAGAAACUUGGUUGAAAGUUCAGGGGACUAAUGGUGUGAUUUAUUCUUAUUAUAUUUAUGCGAAGAAUCUGAUACAGAAUAGACCUUCCCACUUCAUAUAUUAUAAAUUAGUAAGCAAUCAAAUUUCGUAUGAAACUUUUUGGAUGCAUCAUGAGCAACUUUUUGGAGCGUGGGGUGGCUUCAGUUUCUCGUGAAAGUGUACCACUGUGUAUGGAUUGGUUCUGAGUCCCCACCACAUUGCAUUGUUUGCCAUCUGGUAGAUCAUUGUCACUUAUCUUAAGGUCGGGAUUCGAGCCUCUGUGUAUAAAACAGGGAUAACUUAUCUUAAGGUUGGGAUUUGAGCCUCUGUGCAUAAAUUAGGGGCCUGUUUGAUUUUAUGGAUCUUGGAGGUUGAACUCGUCACUUGGAUAAAUUCAUAGACGUUGGUGUUUAUUUUGACAUUUUUGUUAUUUGUUUCGUUUAUCUCUUUUAUAAAUAAAUUUAGCCGGAAAUAAAAAGCAACUAGGUUUCGAAUUUAGGAGCUCGGGUACCAACUGCCAAGUCUUUUACCACUUGCGCUAACGGCGGUUAGUGUUUGUUUCGACAUUGAAGUUGUAAAAUCAUCUGAACUCUCAAUCACAAUUGUACGGAUGGAUAUCGGUCCUUUCUCUUCAACAUUUAUUAUGGGCUGCAUCAGUGGGCCCAAAUUAAAGUUGCCUUGCUUUGGUGAUUAUUGGGCCAGGCCUACUGGAGCUUUUGCCGUAAAAUGGUUUUUUUUUUUUUUUUCUUUCAUCUAUCCACAAACCAUUUAUUGAAUUUUCAAUCGAGGACAAUUUAUAACAUGAAAAGGACUAGUAACAAAUAUUUAUGCGAGGUAAUAAUACCUUUGAGAUGGAGCCCAUUUGGUUCACCGUUUGAUUGCUACAUAUAUAUAUAAAAUCCAUGUUAAUAUUUAGCAUAUUGUUUGAUACUAUAAAUUGAACUAUAGUAAAGCAGUGAAAACUCUGCAGCAAGUUAUGUAGAUACUGCAAUAACACACUUUAGGACGCAUUUGGAUUGAUGUAAUUGCAAUUCCGUCGUAUUUGAAGCUUUGUAAGAGUAGUAAAAGCUUUUGCUGUUGGCGGAGUUCAUGUUUCUACUCUUACUAAAUCUUAUUUAUGGCCGACCGCAAUUAUGUCGAUCCAAACACCCCCUUAGACACUGCGAGCACGCCGUCACGGCGAGGCGUUCUUCGACGUGAAAGCCGGUGGGAUGCCGGGAAACAGAGGGCUCGGCGGGAACGGGAACGGGAAUGGAGGGAGCUGAAAAGCUGGCGGCGGCGGCGGCGGAGUCAGGAACGGCAACGGUGGCAAGUUCACGAACGGCGGGGGCGACGGCUGGAAAGGAAGCGGCGGCAGAACCGACGGUGGAGGCUGCAACGGGUUCGGGGGCAGGAACGACGGCGGCGAUGGCAGGAAGGGGAAGUUCGGCGUCGGGAAGAAGAAUGCCGGCUGCUCGGCAUUCUGUUCGGACUCCGGAGAGGAUCUGUCACGUCGUCGGUCACAGAAUUCCGGCCGUUGCAAUGGCUUGAAGGCGAAGAUCCCGGCCGAGAGCACGCGGACGUCAGCCGCCUGCCACCGCGAUUUGAACCGGUGGAGGAGCAAUGCAGCAGUUGAUGGUGCCGCGCAGAAAGGGUCGCUGCUCCGGAUCAGGUUCACCGAGCAGGGCCGGACCGACUUGACGUGCUUGGUUACUUCAGCUGGGAGGCGGAUUCUGAACACGCCGCGCCGGUCGGUCAAGACUUCUUUUCUGAAGCUCGGCCUUGCGGACUCGUCCCGGCGGCAUUCGAUUGCAACCGUAGCACCUGCAGCAGUUGAAAUUACGUACCAAUUCGUAUCUUAUUUCGUGAGACAGAGUGGCGCGACGAAAAUAGAAGAUCUACGUAAAAAUCGCGAAAAAGUUCGGCGAUCAAUAUUUGCGCAACCUGAGAUGAAUCUGCUGGACUCGGAGAGCUUUCGGAGGAAGCAGGUGUCGCAGAAAACGGCCCCAACCACCACUGCAGGUGCGAAGUGCUUCUUCCUUACGCGGUGAUGAGCAGCAGAGGAACAAAAGAAGAUGCAGCAGUACAGCAGGAUAACUGCUAAGCAGUGUGCAGUUACUUUAGUACCCAUCAUUGAAACACACUGGACCAUGCAACGUGCACAUAGACACAAUACAUGCUUCAGUAUUUAUAAUGAGUGUGUAGCAAAUUAAAUAAAAAGAUGAAAUGCAUGAGAAUAUGGAUUUAGUUACAGUUAUUUGAUUCUGAGUACUUUUAGUUGCAGCACAUGAACAUUUAAAGCUCCAUUUAUGUCAAUCAUACGGAGAGAAAUACAACACCCAACUGCGCGCGAAGAAGAGGAGUGAAUGAUCUAGCUAGUAGGCACUAGAUUCAAAUUAUUAAGAUUAUUUUUCGAUCAUUUCGAAUGAUCUUUUAGAUAAUAUGGUUACAGAGUCAGUCCUAAGAUUUUUUUUUUUUUUCCGCAAGGAAUAUUUUCAAACCAUUUUUUGUUAGAACGAUCUUCUGGAUUAACACAAAUUACGUUUUUAGCGUGCAAAGAAACAGAAUUUAUACAAGUAAAUUUAUAAAAGAAAAUUAAAAAUCUUCACCCAAAAGGAGGAGGAGAGAAUGGUGAGAAGUGCUUGGCCUCUAUGUGCUCCUGGCCUUCGUGUUGUGUGUGGGCAAUUGAGGAUGAGGAUAGGGAUAAGGUUCUCAUGGGUGCUUAUCUAGUUUAUAUAUUUUGUUGGAUUUGUAUGUGUUUUUUUGCUUGGACUAUUCAUUUUAUUGUAUUUGUCAAAUUUUGAUUUGUUUAUGAUUAUAUGGGGCCAUUAAUCAUAACUUCUAUUUUUUGAAAUUUAAAAUUAUUUACUAAAAUAACUUUACUACUUCUUUUGCAUCGAAUUAGAAGGAAAAAAAAAGAAAGAAAAACUUAUUCAAUUAUUUGAAAACUCUAGUAUCUGGGCUUGUGAUAGUGCUGUGUGAAAGAGUGAUGAAUAUAAACAGUAAGCCCCACAAUUCUCUGACAACUUUAGCUUUUCAAAAUAGGUAUGGCUUUAUGAUUAAGGAGAUGAAUUUAGGCUUAUGAUAAUUCAUUGCACAUGAUCUUCUAUUCAUUCUUUGGACAAAUUUGACUAUGACAGAGCUCAUUUUGUUGGUAUAAAACAAGAUAAAGAGUCAGUGUUGAUGUGAUCUUCAAUGGAUUUUCCUAAGUUUGGGUUCACGGGUUAGGGAGUCAAAAAGAGUCACACCAACUUCACAAGUUUGUGGUGAUGUUUGUUGAUAAGAUUAUCUACUACUUGAAGCCAUUUAUGGUGAGAAAUAGCCUCUUUUUUCUAUUUACUUUGGUAAUUGCAAGCAUUCCAAUCAUUUGUUGGAUAAAAUUGAAGGUUCAGUCGAUGAGAAUCCGACUCACGAGAAUGACGCACUAAUAAAAUAAAACUUGACUGUUCAGUAUUAGUCGUUCAUCACUUUUUUUCAUUUGCAUUAUGAUUCAGAAUCUGUUCAAUAUAUGUGACAGCAUCUGCAAUUCACUUCAUUUAAGAAGUGAUGAACUACUGAUAUUGAAGCAGUGCAACAAUACAAUCAUUGCUCGAGUCUAAUUAAUUGAAUAAUAUGCAUUAACCAAUCUGAUCAUGUAAACACAAUAAGGUUUAUCAAGUGUGAAAAAAUAUAUCAUUGCAGACAAUUUUGACUGCACUCAAUGCUACAGUCUUUCUUCACUUCAUGCCGAAAUAUAGAUCAGAAAAAAUGACACAAUAACUUCAGUGAAUCAACUUCGAAUAUCAGAUUCCUCUUGAUCAGCUUCUGAGAAGCUGAAGAAAAAUGUUAUUAACCUGUCUGAUUAUCUGUUUUACAAUCUCUGUACACAUUGUUUGACCAAAAUCCAAAAUUUGAGGUCCAAAUGUGUGUAAAUAAGGCAAAAAUUAUACUGUUUCUUCGAAAAUUGAAACAUACCAAUACAUGCUGAUGAUAUUUUCAUGCUUUCUCCGGUAUGAAAUCACUUCUCUUUCACAGAUUAGCGAAAUGGUAAUCUUUUAAUUAUCGAUACAACCUCUAACCAAUGGAUGUGUGAAAUCGACGUACUGGUCCCAUAAAUGCUUGUACCUGGUAAUGGCUAACUUCAGCCAGGGCUUCAUGUUUCCACUGUAAUGCACCACUGCUGCAGUUUCAAUUAACCUCUCAUCAAUGUCCACAUCAAACCCAAGGCCCAAUACAUGCCAUCGUCGAUCAAGUGGCUCCAUUACCCCGUAAAAUGCAAGAAGACCCGGUGGAAGUGCUCCUUUCUUCCAAAUCAUGUGGUCCACAUUUUGGUCCUCCCAGUAUUGGUACUUUGCCGUCACGUUUGCCUUUCUCCAGGCAAUUAGAUCAAGUAUGUUCAUCCCGAACGCCCACCCGCAAGAUUGCGGGUCGAAUUUAGAGCUAAUUAGUGGGUUAGAGAAAUUGAGAUAUUUGUAGAACCUGCGAAAUGAUUCGAGGCAAGUCUCGACCGCUCCGAUCACGUUGCCAUGUAAUUCUAUGGAGAAAAGAGGGGUCAGAUCCUUCUGCACCACAACAUCAUCAUCGAGAAGAACCACCUUUUCUAAACUUGGGUGUAUUUGGGGAAUAUAGAACAGCAAGUAGUUCAGCGAAGAAACAAACUUUGCAUUAAACCAAGAGAACUCUUCUAUACUUCGGACUUCAACGGUGCACCCUUUGUAGUCGUUUAAUAGAAACCAAGAGGUCAUUGCCCAGUAAUUGAUCUUGUUCGUGACCACAUGAAAAACGAGCUGCUGAGGGUGGUCGGCACUGGAGACCGUAGAGUUUACGACGACUGAAGUUGCAAUUAUGUUAUCAGAAAAUAUACAGAAGUGGUACAAAUUAUUGUCCACAAGCCUAGGUGACUUCCUAUACUCAUUUUUGUGUCUUCUAAUUGUUGGGUUUUGGAACCAUUCUUCCGUGAGUUUCAUAUUCAAACAGUGAAGGCUUUUGGGCAAAGAAGCUUCUUCAGAAGCCAAUCGACCAAACUCCGUGCUUUGAACCACCGCGGCCUUUGCACGCUCCUCGAGGGCGAGGGCGUGGUUCUUUAAUGUUGUUAUCGUAGUGCUGAUAUCAUAAUGGCAGUCCUGGGCUUUGUAUAUAAGCCGUGAGAGCCGAGUUACUAAAGGACGAGCUUCUUCUAGCAUGAUGAGCUUCCCUGAAACAGCUGCUUGAGAAAGCAGUUUCUGGUGGUUUCUAACCUGCGAACUGAGCUCCCAUGCAAGCUGAAGAUUGUUGUGCUCCUUCGCGAUGAUUAUGUAAGCCUUAGCUAGCGUCACCUGAUCGACCAACUGCCUGGCAAAGGAUGUGCUGCUCAAUAGCUCAUGCGUAAAAUUAAAGCUCUCAUUAGGGGGUUCUUCAAUCGCUAGGCUCUUAUCCUACAAAUUUUAGAAACGUGCGCAUCUUAGAUGACUUGAAAAGGAAUCACAUAUGAAAAAAUCAUGGAAUUCAUAGAAUGAUCAAUGAACUUAUGCUUCAAUAUGUUGAAAACGAAAAGAGAAAGUUCCAUUAAAAAGUAGCUAGACCUUCGCUCCAACUUUAACCUGGUAGUUUGGAAUAACUAAUAAAAGAGAAAAACAGUUGUAGUAACAUACAAGUUUCUGACCAAUGAAAGAUGGAGAAUAAAUGACAUAAACUUUCAAAAAAUCAUUUCAGUUCAUCCCUGUGAUUAGUUUCAGAAUUUUGGUAAAAACAAAAACUUCAUAUGCUAAAAUUCCACUUCUAAAGAGUCCUCUUUUUUCUUGUUCCUAAACAGAUUCAUCAUUAGAGGCGAAUAUGGGUCUUAUCCUACUUCCUAUAUGUCGGUCGGUAACAAGUGGUUGGAUAUUGGCAUAGCACUUCAUCAGGCUCUAUUACACAGACAGUGUAAAAAGGAUUAGAUUCCAUUUUCUUUUAGUAAGGACUAAGGAGAUAAAGACACUUUUUUCCAACCAUAUAAAGUCUAAAUAUAUAACUGUUCCUCAUUAGACAAACUCUUGAAACAAACUAGCUGUAGAAAGACCAAAGAACCUGAUAGGUCAUUGAAAGUCACAUGAUUCCACACAUUGCAGGGCUCCACUGGUUUACUUGUAGCAUAUCAUGCUUUUCUUUUGAUGGAAAGUGCCUUUUCCCCAGCAUUUACCAAUGAAAGUGAAUUAAAAGAAUCUUUCCAACAACAUCUUUAAAAUCAAAGUAAAUUAGGAAGCAGUCACAUGCCAACUCCUGGAAAUUUCUACCAACUUGACUUGACUUCGUAACAGUAAUAUGGACCCAUUACCAACUCCUACCACAAUACAAGAAUUAUUUGGUUGCAUAUAGUUACAACUGUACUGUAAUACGAUGUUCCGUUUAGCGCAUUUGAAUUCAACUACUGAAUCGGUCAGAAUUACACCCAAAUUGAUCGUAGUUUUAACUUAAGUUGGAAAAUAUUUUUGACCUAAAUGGGUGUAAAUCUCGCCAUUAUAUAUACAAAGUAAUAAAAUUGUAUAAAUAGACUGUUUUAUAUUAUAUUCAACCAAACAAGAUGCACACAAUACCGAUGUUAAACCUCUUCAGUUCCAAGAGGUCUAUCAGUACAGGUGACAUGAUUCACUAAUCACAAGCACACAAAUCAAAACUAACUGAGAGAAAACAGUAAACCAACUUGGUAUUUUCAUCAAAUCAAGAACAAAUUUAACCAACUGUUGGAUCCAGAUAUUACCUUUUUGGGUUCCUCGAUCCGUUCCUGAUGAUGAUAAUGGUGCAGAGCAAAGAGAACUGCUCCCGCGAAGGCGAAGAUCCCGAGGAGCCAGGACACCAAGAGAGAGCGCCUCCUCCUCUGCGGUCGCCGGAGCUCCGCCGCCCUCCGCCGCAUGCCGCCGCCGGAGCUCCGCCUCCUCGGAUUGUGUGCACUAAAUCCGCUAUGUAGGAUCCCCAAGGCGCUACCUUUCUCACAAAUUCGGAAAGAGGCGGCCUCAAAACCCAAAACCCGUGUCGCAAUUUAGUCGAAAAAGGUGGGGGGGGUUUAAGUAAAAUUUGGAUCGGAUUGGAGGUGAAAAUGAAGGGCUUUGACUUUUCGAAAUUGGGGUAUCAAAUGGUGUGCUAUGAAUGAUUGAUAGCAUACAUGAAUGGUUUUGUAUUGUGAUUUAACUAAUAAUAAUAAUAAGUUGGCGUAAUCAAGUUUACAUUUUGGAGAUGGUUUUGUAGAAAUGUGGAAAAAGUUUUGGAUUGUUGACAAGUAAUUAAGAAAAAGGACACUGCUUUUGGUUGUUUGCUGCUAAAUUUGCAGCUUUUUCUUCCUCUUUUUGCAUUUUUUUGGAUAGAAAGUCCGCAACAUCUAUCAGACAAAUUUGGGCCUGACUAGCAAAGAUCUUUGUCUCACCAUCCAUAUUUUUUCUGAUAUUUUUAAUAUUUAUUUUUAACAUUUUUUUCACAUCUAAACUAAAUUUUUUUUAUAAGACUAAAACAUGAAUUUGAAUAAUAAGAGAAAAAUAAUGUUAGAAAUCUAACCGAACUCGAACUCAAAAUCCGAUACGUUGAUCUCAUGUUAAAUAAUACGAAGUAAUCAUUUAUCCCUAAAAUAUUAAAAAUAUUAUAAAAUAUUAUUAUUUGAUAAUUUAAGUUUUUGAAGAACAAUAAUUGUUUCAUAUUAUUUAACAUAACAUUAAGAAACAGUAUUUUUAAUAUUUAUAUUCAAUAUUUUGGUAUUUAUUUGGGCAAAAAAGAAUGAUAUAAACAAAUCAUGUUUUAUAGACACAAAUCAAAUUUAUUAAAUAUAAUUUAAUUCAAUAUAGAAAUAAUAAAUAAAUCCAAUAAAAAUUUAUUAGAAAUAUACUAUUUUGUUAGUUUAGUUUAAAAUCUAAUUUUUAACACUAUCUUGAAUUAAUACUGAGAUUUGUCCCUAUAUUUCUCCUUAGAAUAAGGAAUAUUAGUGCUUGUUUGACUCCACUGUUUCAUUUUUUGAGAGAAAAUCCGUACGUUGUUUUAUUAGCAAAUUACAAGUACAUCAAAUAUGACAAAAGAGUUAGACAAUAGACGAAUAUAAUCGUAAAGUUGCAUUGGCAACAUUACGAGUGCAUCUGUAUUUUGAUCUCUUCUAACAUAGGAAAUAGUAAUAUUUAGAUACAAUCGCAAUAAAUUUCUACACUCAUUAAUGAGAUAAGCGAGAGUCUAAUUUGACAGUGUAUUAGUAGAAAGAAUAGAAAAAACCUCAUUCCAAGCAUUACUAUAAAUUAUAAUACUAAAGGCUGGUCAUGAGCUAACAAUUUGAAGAGCUAAUAAGUUAGCAUAUAUAUAAUAUUUUAAAAGCUGCCGAAAGGAAUAUUAUAUGCUAUCUUGUUUGACUCCACUGUUAGAUGCAACGGCAUUGGAGAAUUAUUGUAAUGUAUCAAGGAAAGAAAAUAGUUAUUGAAUAUUAUUGUAUAUUUGUAACAGAAUAACUGUAAAUAAUUAAAAACUUUUUGGCAAGUUUACUAUCACAGCUCCACUAUUGCUAUGUAAUAUUGAAAUGACUAAACUAAUCAUCUCAAAUGCAAGUGGAAAAAGGCUUUUUUUUUUUUUUAGAGAAAGGUAGCGCGCUACCCGCUUCAUUUAGAAAGUAAGUGAAUUAAGCUACAUGGGUGAGGCAACAAGGCCUCGACGAGGGACGGACGAAAAAAAAAAAAAAAAAAAAGAAGUUCGAUCUUCGUUGGACUAAGUUUCCUCCACAGGUCCGUCAACUGUUUAAUCUUAUAAAUACCGGCUAUUGGGUUGUUCUGGGUCGCCGUAAAAAUCGCUCUGUUCCUGGAAUCCCAAGAGACCCACCAGCAGGCUAUCAGACCUAUGAGACUGGUUGAGGUAGAUUGUGAUCUCAAGUGGAAAAAGACUUGAUAGCUAGUACCUGAGGUUUCAAUUUCAAUGUAUGCCUAGUUGUUUUAUAUUUUCAACUAGAUUAAGAUCUUGUCAUCUGUAAAUUAUUUUGAAAUAAGACUCAGAAGUUAAUCCUUUUCUUUUAUUAUGAGUAAGUUGAGUUAAUGAUUUUGCUAACUAGAGAGUGAGUCAAUCAAGUUCUUGUCAAUUUCUAAUAAAAUACAAAAAAUUAGAAAUUCAUGACACUCUACUUUUUGAGAUUUUCUUCUAUUUUUCUCUUGGAAUUAAAGAAGGAAAACAUUUUUUUAUUUUUUUGUUUUUUUGGAGGAUAAAAGAAGGGAUAGCAUUUGCUGGUGAUGGAGAAAUGAUUAAAGUUUAAGGUACUUCGCUUUGUAGAUUCCAACUAGAAGAGUAUGAAAGGAACAAAGUGAAGCUUUUGAUUUGUAGUAACUUUAGUUCCUUUGGCCAUUGAAACAGCUAGAUCACUGUCAAAUAAUUCACACUUUGUGUUCCAUCACAAAAGGCACAUAUGCUUGCUGAAAAUAAUUCAUGCAAUUUUAGAUUUUUUUUUUAAUUGAGAAAUUUCUUUUAAAAAAGCUUUCUCAAAUUGCAUGAAGAAUUAUUUUCAUCAAGAAAUAGUGUCUUUGUAAUGUAGUUCUUUUUUUCUUUUUUUUUUUUGGUUUUAAAGCCUAGGGCCUAUCUUAAAUUCAGACCAACAAAUUAACUGUUAUCGAACAUCUUACUCCGAAUAAAAUCUUUUAUCGAACACUUCAUGUUUAGUUCAUGGGGUAUUAAUAUAGAAUUACAAAACUACAAAUGAUUUAAUCAAUAAAACUUGUAAAUACAAUCUUCAUCUCAGCCAAAUUUUUCAUAGUUAAAAAAAAAAAAAAAAGCUCAAGGGAGAACUCAGAAAUUACCCUUCUCACACAUUUCGGUUUAGUUUGAUUUUCUUUUACUUUUUUCUCAUGGUUUUGUUAUAUUUGCAUACCAACUAUAGAAGAACUUCACCUCCUGUUUUGAAGUACUUAAAAUAACUGUUCUUUUCAAAGCACGAAGCAUAUGAAAUAAUCGUUAUUUUUUAAAAACUUUAGUUGUCAAAAAAUAUUGUUAUUAUAUUUUAUGCUCAACAGUUAUGGUCUCCAAGUUUCUGCUUGAAAUAUUUUAAUAAGCAGUAGAUGUGGCCCAGAAUUAAAUGAGAGGAAAUUAUAUGAGACGACGUGGCAAGAUUUGAACUUGGAAUUUAUUAUUCUGAUGUCAUAUUAAAUGAUGUAAAUAUAAUAGAUUUUGAUGUCAAUUGCAGAUUUGUAUGGAGAUCAUUGCAUUACGUACAGUGAAUAUGUACAAUAAAAAGAAUAUUAUGCUAAUUAAUUUCUAUAUGUACCAUUAUGCUAUGCAUGUCGCAAUUGAUUAAUUAUAAUAUUUUUUCAUAAUCACACUAAAACAUAAAUAUAUAUAUAUUUUUAAAUAUUUUCAUUCUAACUUUAAUUUGUGUAAUAGCAUUACUUAACUGUCAAUGUUCAUGUUCAACAUCAUGGCGCCGUUACCGACCGUCCCUAGAGCAAGUGGCAAAGAGCUUGGUGGUUGGUACUCAAGACCUAAGUUCGAAUUCUAGUUAAUUCACAUUUUCAUCUAAGUUUAUUUCUAAAUAAAAUAAACGAAGCGGGUAGCGUGCUAUCUAUCUCUCAAAAAAAACAUCAUGACCCCGUUCUAUUGACUUUUGAUUCGUACUAAAAAAACAUCAUGGCUCCGUUCUAUUGACUUUUGAUUCGUACUAAAAAAACAUCAUGGCCCCGUUCUAUUGACUUUUGAUUCGUACUAUGUAGCUACCGAAGAUAUUGAAUGGGUCCAUGUAAUAGUUGAGAUCUCCACUGGGGAUUCUUUGCUUACACAAUAAGCACUCUCACUGCUUUAUCUUUUUCAAUUUUCUUUUUUUUUUUCCAUCUAUAUAACUAGUAAUUUUACAUCUAUUAAGGGCUUGUUUGUUUGCACGAAAGUAGGCUGAAAGUGGGAAGGAAAAAGUAAUUUUCGGUGAAAACUGUCUACUUUCGUUAUUUGGUUCACUAUAAUUUUAUUACGCCCGAAAGUCCAGUUCAUUCAAAAUAAUGAAAUUGACUUCGCCCUCCCACGGGGUAAAGUCAAUUCCGGUGAAGUGAAAAAAAGGCAAGAGUGGGAUUAAUGUGUUAGGGUAUCUCCUCUCUACCCUUUCAUCCAAAUAUAUUCAAUUGUGGAAGUAAUUAAAUUUUUUAUUUUGAUUGUAUGUCUAAAAUAUGAUCAAAUUUGGUUAGAUAAGUUUUAAUAUAUUUUUUGUUUAAUAUGUAUAUUUAAAAAAUGAUGAAAAAUGAAUUUGUUAAAUGUUAAUAAAUUUUUAACUUUAGAAUUUUAUUUGCUGCAUUAUAAUAAUUUAUAUGCAAACAAACAAUAUAAUUUUUUAAAAUUUUAUUUUAUAAUUAUACAUAUAUAUAAUUAUAUACAUAUAUAAUUAUAUUAAUUUUUAUUUAUUAUAAUUUAUUAUUCACUAUAAGUUACAAAAUAGACAAUAAUAUAACUUCGGAGGUAAGUAUACCGAGGGUGAAAAGUUACACUUUUUACGUCAUCUACUUCCUACCAAAUAAACAACAGAACUCGCAAAACUGUACUUCCACAGUUAAAAACAAACAGCAGAAGUGAACUAAUUUUCACCCCAACACCACUUCAACCCAAAGUCCACUUCCACCCUAAGUCUACUUAUAUUGAAACAAACAUACCCUAAUUGUACGUGAUGCGUACUAACUCUUUAAAAAGAUAGAACAGGUAAAAUGACUAUUUAAUAUGAAAUAUACUUACCAACCGUUCUUAGUGCAAGUGACAACAGUCUCAAGUUCUAAUCUUAAUUGAUUCAUAUUUUCAGCUAAAUUUAUUUUUUAAAAAAACAAACAAAGUGAGUAGCAUGCUAUUUAUUUUUAAAAAUAUUUAAAAUAUAUAAUUUAGCUGAAAAUAUGAAUCAAAUAUCAGCAUAUGAAUUGAUCAUAUGCAUAUUUAGAAUAUUACAAAUGUUUAAAGUUCAAAAAAAAAAAAAAACACGGGUUAACAUAUUUUGAAAAUUAGCAAAUGUUCUAACUUUAGGGGGAAAAACACAGGUUAAUAUGUUUUAAAAACCAAAUUAUGAUCUCUGAAAAAAUUUUCCAUAUCACAUGAAAAUUAUACGCCUCUUGUUUUGUUCUGUUAAACUUAAGCCACAAGAGGCCCGAGCCGUGUCAGACGCGCGUCCAUCGCGCAUCCUGACAUGAAAAUAAAAAUAAGGAAAAACUUCAAAUACCACCCUUGUGGUUUCAUACUUUUUCACUUUAGUAUCUUAUAGUUUAAAAUAUCUCAAUUUAGUAUUCUGUGGUUCAAAUACCAUCCCGUUAAUAUUUCAGUAAAUUAUAUACAAAAAACUUCAUAUAACCCACCUAGAUAUAUUAAAUAUUCGCUUUAGUCCCCUUUAGUUUUACGUUUAUCACUGAUUUAACAUAAAAAUUAUUGGAGUCAAUAAUAAAAAAAUAAAAAUAAAACCACAGGACACUAACUUAAUACACUUUAAAUCAUAGAAUACUAAAGUGAGAAAGUACGAAACCACAGAGGAGGUGACAUUUGAAGUUUACCCGGAAAAUAAAAAGGGGUGUGGAGAGGACUUGUGUGAGUCUUCAAGAGGACUUGCGUGUGCCUUGUUGGAUACGGAUGCAAAUUGAUUUGAAUUGGUAGAGCUUUCAUUCUAAUUAGUUUAGAAUUGGACAAUAAAUGAAACUAAUAAAUGAAUAUGAGGAGUAAAUGGAAGUAUUUUUUUUUUCAUCUGAAAGAUAUCCAGGGCGAGAGAUAUAUAUUAAAAGAAUUGAUUCGUCCUGAAUCAGCUCCGAAUAGAAUUUAAAUUAUAGAAUAAUUUUUUAUUUUUUAAAUAUUAUUGAGUCUUAAAUCAGCAAAUGUGAUUUAAAAGAUAUUUUCUUUGAUGAUAUUUUUAUUAUUUUAAAAUUUUAUUCUAAUUAAAAUAAUAAAAACAUAUUGUGUUUAAUUUAAAUUUAAAUAAAAAAUAAAUAAAAUUUGGUUGGUGGUGUGAAUUUUGAGCAAUGGUAGAAGGCAGUUUUUUUUUUUUUUGAGAGAUAGGUAGCAUGCUACUACCGGUUUCGUUUAUUUCUUUUAGAAAUAAACUUAGCUGGAAAUGUGAAUCAAUUAGGAUUCGAAUUUGAGAUCUCGGGUACCAUCGACCAAGGCGUUUGUCACUUGCGCCAGGAACAGUCGGUGUAGAAGACGGAUUUUUAAGCGGGGCAGGUUACGGGAGACAUAUAUUUCGUUUCAUCACAAAGGAGGGGCGGGAAGCGAGACAGGCUUAAUAUAUGCUGGGUGGGUACGUAGGAGGCGAGGCAGGAUUCUCUCCGCCGAAUCCACCCCGUUUGCAUCCCUACUCAGCACACAGGGAGGGAGUGGUGCUUUCAACAAUGGAAAAAUAUUAUUGCCUACACUUGAUGCAUUUUUAUAUAAUUAUACAAACUACAGUCUACAACUAAUAUUUGAUACUUAAUAUUUAAAAUUAAAAUCUAAUUUGGUAUGAUUUAUAAUAUUUAAUAGCCAUAUGUAUGAACAUUAUAAGUUUUAAAAAAUAUAUUGUCUAGACAUUAAGUAGUUUUAAAAAUCAACUAUAUUAAGAAAAUUCGUUGUUUGAUUUAUAAAAUUUAUUAUUCAAAAUUUAAAAUUUUGAUAUAUAAUUUUUUAAUGUUAUAAAAUACAUAUAAUAAAUUAGAUUCUACAAAAAGGAUUUUAUGUGCGGUAAAUAAGAUGUACUUACUUAUACACUUGGUUACCGUUUGGUUUGGGUAUAAGCAAGAACUAGCUAUUACAGGAAUAGGUACAAGUAUGGAGAUAAGAAAAAUAGCGUUGGGAUGAAAAUUGAGUUGUUUCCGGGGAUAAGAAAAAUAUUAGGUAGUUUUAUAUAGAAAAUAAAGGUGUUGGUGGGGAUAAUCGAGAACUACUAUUCUCGAAUAAAAUCUAGGUUGAAAUUUAAAAUUUUAUGUUGGAAUUUAUAAUUUAGAGCUUAAUACAUCUUUGAGAUAUGGGAGCUGAAAAUUCUUUUGUUAGAGUGAAUUAUAAUUUACUUUAUUUUUUGGAGUAUAGUUUAACUAUACUUUAAAAAUUACGUCAUUUUUUUUUUCCAAACGCUUCACAGAAUAAUUUUUCUACCAGUCUAAUAUAGUUUAACUAUGUUACGUUUUCAGGAGUAUCCAAACG